UAUAGUGUUCUUCAUAACUUGCAAGAGGCUACACACAAAUUAUUUUAAUGCAAUUCUACCAAUUCAGAAUUACAAUUCAUGUGUCAACUUAAUAUCUAUAACUUGUGUCAGUCGCCCUACUUAAAUUCAAAAAGAUAUGUAGAUGCAAAUCUAGGUUUUCAUUUAUUUCGUUUUUCCAUUUAUUUGGGAGAAGGAGGGAGGGGAGAGGGGGCUGGUAUUGGGGAUUACAUUUCCUUCUGAGUCAAAAACAUGACAGCCAAAUGCCAACACGUGAAUCCAAAUUAUUGGAUAAGUAUCCAUGUUUUGUAUGCCAAACCAGGUUUAUAUUGCACCUAAGGCCCCUCUUUGUCAAAUCUCAGGAAAAUAGCUAGUCAAUCCAAGUUCAUAACAUUUUGAUUUGUCCAAACUCCAUCAUAAUUCAGCAAACAGUUCCUUACGACCUCAUGUAAGAUCAAAACAAGUACUCGAUCACUCUCCCAAUUCCUAACAAUUCCAAGCUUUAUUAAACAGAUUAUACUAAGAGCUUCCAGAACAUCGCCGAACAAAUUACAUAUUAUAACGUUAUAACAACAACGUAAUUCGCAGAAUUCAACUCUUAUUCAAUGUGCUUUAAAUAAAAAAAUCGAUUGUUUAACAACUUUAACACAAAUCCGAUGUAAAACCCUAAGUCAAAUUGGCUUAUAGGACUACAAUUGAAGUAUGAUUGAGAGAGAGAGAGAGAGAGAGAGAGAGAGAGUACGAUUGUAGGUUAAGGGAGGUGAGGAUUGAACGGUUGCUAGACUCGAUCUCCCAGCCAUGAAUGCGGAGUCCUCUACGUCCGUCCGGUAGAAGCUCAGCCCCGGCGGCUUUAACCUCUUUCUCGUCCGCUUCCCACUCCAUCUUUGUAUGUGAGUCGGAGUCGUAGGUGGUGUUUGCUGAAAAUUUGAGAUUUGCACUCGACCCACGCCAACUAUAGCAUCUAGGUUUGAAUGAUACCUUCUUCCAAUUUUACUAUUUCAGUUUUAAUGUAAUGUACGAAUGAUCAAAUUAUUUUUCAUAUGAAUUUUUAUAUUUUUGAAACUUCAAAUUUGGUCCCUAUAGUCUUUUGUUUUUUCCAUACAACUUUGCAAAAAUGUCCCUGUGGUAUGCAAUUUUUUUGGGUAUUAGUCCAAACCUUAACUUUUUUGGAUUAGUGAUCAUUUUGGCCAUGUUUGUACGUAAAUUUGGUCCCUCGUAAAAUUGAAAUGACUGAAAUGCCCUUCUGAUAUAUUUUUUUAUGUUUUUUAUCUAAUUUAAAUGAAAAAGAAAUUAAUUAAUUAAUUUGGGCCUCUCUCUCUCUCUCUCUCUCUCUCUCUUAUAAUUGACCCUCUCAAAUAAACCACUGAAGACGCAAUGUUUUUGAUGAUCUGCACCCUCGAAUAAUCCAUCAUCGUCGACGAUUCUCCCCCCCCCCCUCUCACCACACAAUUGCCGUCUACUUCCUCCUCCUGCACCGUCACCGCCUGCUCCUUCCCUUCUUUUCCCUAAAUCCUCACAUGAACUCACCGAUUUCUCUCCAUCAGGCACCAAUGACAAACUUUGGAAAGCACAGUUAAUUUUGCUUGGAAUUCAUCAAUAUAGAGCCCGCUUCCAUUCUUUUUAUUGUAAUUUUUAUUUCGUCGUGUACUUAACUCUUGUAAACAAACCCCAAAUCCACUGCAACCCGGUUCGUGUUCAUUGGAGAAGUUUUUUGUUACGUUUUUUAGAACUUGAACAGAGAAGGGGAAUCGAUGCUCGACCAAGGACAUUGUGCUUCUUUGACCGAAGACUGACAAAUGUGGGUGGGGAACUCACCGGCCCUACAACAUAAUUUAUUAUAGGUUUGAUUUUGAUUUGAGGCCAGACCUGUGAUGUUUCCCCUUUUUGUGUCUGGAAAAAUCAAUUCCAAAAGUGGUUUGUACAGGGGUGGGGAACUGUUGGGAGAUGAAGUGAAAGAAUGGUGUGAUGUGUCUGAUUGUAGGUGCAACAGGUUGGUCCGGUGUUUGAUAUUUGGUUUAAUCAGCAUGUAUGUGUGUGUGUUGAAUCAAGUUCACCGGUCUGUGAAACCUCAUAACAAGUUGAAUCAAUGUGUGUAGUUUGUUGAACAACGUGUUGUGCGAUGAAUAUGUUUUUCGGAUCUGAGAACUUAGGAUUUUUUUUUCAGGGUUCAUCAAUGUAUGUGUGAUCGAUGUAUGUAUGUUGAAUAAUAGUUCAUCUUUGUGUCUUUUGAAUCGUGGCUUUUUCCUUGAUCAGAUUUCGACACUACCUCAUCAGAUUUGGGUUCAUCAGCGUGGGAUGAUAACGGAGAGAGAGAUAGAGAGAGAGAGAGGUGGCCCCACUUUUUUAAUUAUUAAAAUAAAUAGAAAACAAUUAGAUUUUAAAAGAAUGAAAGAAAAAUGAAAAAUAAAUACCCCAAGGUCAUUACAGUCAUUUCAGUUUACCGAGGGACCAAAAACGCAACGAAACUACCUCAAAAGGACCAUCAAUCCAAAAAAGUCGUGGUUUUGACUAAAACCCCAACAAAAUACAUACCACAGGGACCAUUUUUGCAAUUUUGUCUUUUUUCCACGUGAUACAUCUCCCUUAAUGAAAUUCGCAAUAAUAAGACAAAACACACCAUAAAAAUGUAUAAAAGGGAGUUAGGUAACCAUGCAAGUGUUCUGUUCGAGAGGAAUAAUAGUUUGGAAAGAUAAACAUUUUAAGAAUUUGAGAAAAAAAAAAGGAGACAUCAUGAAAUCGUAUCAUCUAUCCAAUAUUGGUGAUCUUUUUGCAAUAAGUCAAGAACCUUUCCAUAUCUUAAAAUAUAUCUGGUGGAAGAAAAAAAUUAACUAAAGGUAAUUAUAAAUACUUGAGAAAAUUAAAAAAAAAAAAAUCUUUAUGGUAUGUAUAAGAGAGGAGGGAUUCGUUCCCUCCCAACCCACUGAACCCACUGCCAUAAUAAUUUUUGUUUUUUCUUUUUCUUCAUCUUUCUCAACCCACAACACAUGGAAAUCAUAUCUUUCUCAACCCACUCAAUCCAAUCAAUUAAAAAAAAUACAAAACAACUAAGGUACAAGUUUUAAAACACAUGGUACAAGAGAAAAUGAGAUAGAGAUGAUGAAGUGGGUUAGUGAAAUCAAUUAACCAACCUGUUCAAGCGGGAGUGGUACCGUCGGUAACUCUAUUGCUAAUUAAGAUUUUACCUUUGAUUUUUUUGUAUUUUUUUUAAUUGAAUGGGUUGAGUGGUUUCAAAAAGAUAGGGUUUCCGUGUGUUGUGGGUUGGGAAAGAUGAAGAAAAAUAAAAGAGAAAAAGUGAUGUGGCAGUGGGUUCAGUGGGUUGGGAGGGAAUGACUCCCUUCUCCCUAAUAGGCAUAUGUAUAGUUCAACUUCAAAAAAAUAAACAAACUCGGUUCUUGUGUUUUUGUAAAUAUUAUACAAAUCAUCCUUAAGUCGUUAGAUCUAAUUAGAGAGCUACUAAAUUCCUAAUAAAAUGACUUUUUUAUCUUUUCUUUUAAUCUUUUUUAUAGUUUUUGUUUUUGAUACUUUUAUUUUAUUAAGUUACUUAUUAUUAAAUUAGAAAUGGCCCCACUUCACCCAUGCCCUAACCCUUACUACCACUGUCGCCGCCGCUCAAUGCCGCCUCCCACUAUCACCUACCGUCCGCCACUUCCCAUUAAACAUAAAUAUGAUUCUAGUGUUCCUCUUAUUCGUUGUAAAUCCUAAAUGUCCCAUUCUUAUAAACAUUAAUAGGUUCAUACAUACACCCAAAUUGAUUUCCUAUAAGUUUAAGAACUAUAAGAUUGUUAGUCAUAUUUGCUUAGGUUGCAAAAGGAAGAAUUGACUAGUCAGGUACAAAUUGAUCCAACACUUGAUGCAAAUCAAUGGAUUUCAAAAAAUUGAUCAACUUCAAUAGAUUUCAGAAAUUUGGAAGAUGAACAAGUAACCAAGAGCUAAUAUGAUCAGAAGAAUCCACAACAUGAAGAAUGCAAUAAUUACAGGAUGAACACAUGGGCUUUGAGGUUUGGUUUCUAUGUUUCUGAUUUCUCCUAUAGAUAUCCACCAAGAUAAUCAGAAAACUAAAAUGAGUCAUCAACAUCAUCAAGUUAGAACAUACCCAAAUUAGGUUCAUUUUGAUUUCGAUUUCUAAGUUCCGAGCUUCAUCAAGCAAGGUUAAACCCCAAGAUGCAGAUCUUAGAAAAAAAUGCGCAAACCCAAAAAUAUAAACCUUGUCGAAAACCUAAUGAAGGUUGUCGGUGACAUUGGAAGAAGAAAUAUAGAAAAUGAUACGAAGAGUUGUCAUCGCAAACCUCCAUCAACCAAUGUCCAAGGCUUCCUAUGAUCAAUCCUAGCAUUGACGAUAUCAGAAACAUGAUGAAGGCUUUCGUGGUUCGUUUCUUGGAUCUGAUGUUGAAAUCAGGAAAUGGUAAUACAUAAGUUAUAAUAUUGGAGAAGAAGACACGGAUGGUGUGAAAGAUUUAGUAUGCUCAAGAGUCAUAUUAAAGUGAUAUUGCUAAUUAAUAUAUGACACUAAUGGGUCAUACUAAAACCAAACUGAUACAAUUGAUUAUUUUUUAGAAAUUAAUUUUAAAAAAUAUUCAAUAAACUUAUAAUUAAUUGGAAAUUAUUUAUAUCAUGGAAAUAUUAAUUUUCAUUAGCAAGUAAAAUAUCAUAUGGUGUGAUUUAUUAAGUCAUGUACAUUAUUUUGGACUAGAAAGACUUUUUUGUCUUUUAGCUAAAAGUUAAAGUUGUAUCUUAUAAAGAGUUAUUAGAAUUUUAUAAAAUUAUCUUCUCUCUCUCUCUCUCUCUCUCUCUAUAUAUAUAUAUANNNNNNNNNNNNNNNNNNNNNNNNNNNNNNNNNNNNNNNNNNNNNNNNNNNNNNNNNNNNNNGAGACAUGUAGGCUUUAGGGUAUAAAGUGCUUAAAGUGUUUAGAACUCUUUGUUGGAUUAAGGUGUCUAAGCUAAUAACUAAAUUGAUAUAUUCUUGAAUUAGAAACAAAGUCCAUUUUGGAUUGCCCUCAAAACUAGUAUUUGGAUAGAAUGACUUUUGGAAGAAGAGACUGAUUUGUUAAUUUAUUAUAUGUUUAAUAAAUUAAUUAGAAAUUGGAAUAAAUAAUUUAUUAAUAUAUGAUUAAUAUAUUAAUUGGAAAAAGUAAUAAUUAAUUUGGAAUUAAUCAGAAUUAAUUUUGGGAUAUAUUGGUUAGAAUUAAUUGGAAGUACAUGGACUAAGCUACAAUUUUUCAAUAGUUGAACAAAAUAGGGUUUCUAGAACCUUCUAGAUAGGGCUAAAUUUUGGCUUAUCUUUCAGGGUUUUAGGAUAAUCCUAUUGGAUAAUGAUACUAGAUAAUUAUCUUGAAUUUGAAAUAUUAUUAUUUAAUUCAAGAUUAGGGUUUCUAUGGUUAUCCUAUAGCCUAUAAAUAGGGUCCCUUGGGAGCCCUAUUUCAUCCACUCUAUUCUUCCAUACAAGAGAAAAAAUUUUGCUCAAGCCUCCUCUCUCCUCAAGUAUUCUUGCUACUAGGGUUUUGGGUACAAGCUAUUAGAGGCAUCCAUUCUUUUGGUGUUAAAGAUCUAGAAGAAGGAUUCUACUUUGAUUAUUUACAAUAAUAAUCGAAAGGUAUGUAACCCUAAUCUAAUAUGAAUUUCAAUUUCAUAGCCUCUCUCCUAGGAUUUCUUGAUAUUUAUAGUUAGUUGUUAUCAAUAGAGAAAAGUGUUUAGGUCAUUUUUGAUCACUUAACUUUUGGUUUUGUGCUCAUUUGGUCACCUAACUUUAAAAAUUGUGCUCAUUUAGUAACUUAAUUUUUAGUUUGGUCACUUAAACUUUGGAUUUGUGCUCAUUUGGUCACCUAACUUUAAAAAUUGUGCUCAUUUAGUCACUAAACUUUCAAAAUUAAAAGUUUAGUAACUAAAUGAGCACAUUUUUUAAAGUUAGGUGACCAAAUGAGCACAAAUCCAAAAGUUAAGUGACCAAACCAAAAAUUAAGUUACUAAAUGAGCACAAAGCCAAAAGUUCGAUGACCUUUUAAAACUUAAAACGAGUUAAGUGACCAAAUGAGCACAAAGUCAAAAGUCAAGUGACCAAAAAUGACCUAAAACCUAGAUAAAACAUAGAUCAUUUCUAGGUUGCAUUCGCUUUGGCUUCAACGAUUGGGUCACCCAGAACAUCAAGUUUUCAAACACCUUGUUUCCAUUAAUUUUAUUUAUUUUUUGAGUCAUAAAAACAGUAGCUUAUGUCAGUCAUGUCAGCUAGGCAAACAUGUUUUCCUGCCUUUUUCUUUAUCUACUUUUAAUUUUUUAUUUCUAUUUCAAUUCAUUCAUUCUCAUGUUUGGACCUCCCCUAUGUAGAGUAUUAGUGGUAUUAAAUACUAUGUUAUUUUUCUGGAUGAUUUCAGUCAUUAUUUUUUUGUGGGUUUAUCCUUACGCACUAAAUCUGAAGUGUUCUUUAAAUUUCUUAAUUUUCUUGCAGGUGUAGAUUUUCAAUACGCAAAACUAUGUGAACUUGGACUGCUGAAUUAUAAAACAAAGCAUGUCUUUUACCCUUUUGAGAAGAAGAAAUUCCGAUGUCGCUAUGAUUACUAUUGGGCUUCUAUAUUUGAGGUCAUUCUUACUUCAACCUUUUUUAUAUUACAUUAUUAUAAAAAAUGGAAUUCUGAUGUCAUUCAUUUUCAGGUUGAAUAUACAUACCACUCUAGUUAUCCUCAUAUUGCAUUUGCAGAAGCUCCUAAUGAGGCCUUACCACCCAAUUGCAGACCCACUAUCAACACUGCCUAGAUGGCUAAAGAUAAAUUCAAGGUAUUUCAUACAAGACAGAACAAAACACAAAAAUAUUGGUGAUGUUGCCCUAAGAUAUAGGUAGAUGGUUGUGACUUUUUUACUCAUUUUCGAUAUAUCUAUGUUGCCUUUCAUUGAUUGAAAGUUCAUUUUUUUUACUUUAAAAUUCUAACAAGAUUAUACAUUUGGUAGAGGAAAACAAAGGUAACAUGAAGGACUAAAUAUGAAAGGAAAAGUUGAAAGAUAAAAAGGUAUACUUAUGAAACCGAUAUUUUUUCUUUUUUAUAACUUUUAUAAAAAUAUGUUUUACUUUCGAUUAUAGAAAUCAACAUUCUGGUUGUGAUAUAUUUUUAGGAUAAUUUGGUAGAAUCAUCUAAAAAGCCAAGUAUAUCAUGAGUUCCAACAUUGGUUGUAGUUCCAUUUUCUAUUAGCACGAAUAAUCAUUUCCUGAUUUAUGUUCUUAGGAUUUUUAUAACACAAUCGAUUUACUUGUUAAUUGAUGCAACAUUAAGUGGGUCAAUAAAUUCCUUAUUGAACAAAAUAACCAAGUAGAGGGGUAAAAAUGGGACGUUAUUAGUUUUAUUCAAGCUCGAGAAGGUCAGGAGACAAACCAUUUAACAUUUUGAAAGGUUGAUGACUAAUGGCAAAGUUUAGUUUCUAAAAAAAUUAAUUGGUGUUUAUUUCGACAGUUUAACCUAUGGGUUAGUUGCAGUUGUAUCAACUGCCAAGUUAAAUAUGAGUUGGGAGUUUUAUGUGAAAGUUAGAAAACAGGGCAAAUGAUGGAGAGUAAGUUACAUGUUUGUCUUUGAGUAUAAUUCAUUUUUUCAAUUAUAGUCUCAAAAUGUUUUCUUUUUCAAAAUUUUAUCACUUAUUUGAGCUUAUUGCAGUGUUUUUUUUUUCACUUUUCUAAGAAAGUGCACUAUAUUUUAGAGGAAAGAAAUAGUCAUUUUGAAAAAUGAACCAAAAAUGAUAUAAAAACUUUAAAAUUAAAAUGGUUUGGUUGUUUUGUGUUUGUAAAUACAUGUGUAUUGUUGUUUGGCAAAAUAUUUACCAACAAAUUGUGUUCUAAGAGUGAGUUUUCAAGUUACUUGCAAAAAAAGAAUAAUAUUAAAGGACAAUUUAUGUAAUUUAUUCUUGAUUUUAACUUUGGAUCAUUAAACUUUGUUUAUUUCUUAAUCAAUUACUUGAUGAUAUGUUCACAGGUUUUACAAAGAAUCCAAGAUGAGUUAAGAACAUGUAACUCAGACUUGCAUGUAACUGAAGAAACCAACAAGAUAUUGUUGGGUGAAAAAAUGUUAUUGGAAGAAAGAAUUGCAAGGCUUGAAAAGAAGAAAGUUGAUAAGGUAAUAAUUUAAGUUUUAUUUUCUUUAUUUAUUAAUAUUCAGUUAUACAUUUGCAUAUAUAUUAAAUAUGUUUUACAUAAUUUGUUAGGUACGGAUGCUUGAGAAAGAUUUAAAACAAGACAACAAAACCUUGAAUUUCUAAACUUUAGAAAAAAGUGGCAGAGCUCACACAAAAAUUGGCCAAUGUCUACUCUUGCAAUUAAAGAUAACGAGUAAUCAAAUUUACAUAUAAAUCUUAAAGAAUUGGCGGAUUUAUGGUAAAUUUAGGGGAUGUUUGGCUUAGCCUUUUAGAGGCCAAAAGUCAUUUUUGAAAAAGUUGCAAAAAGUCAGUUUUAUGACUUUUUCAAAAAGUUGAUUUUCCUUCUAUCCAAAAUCCAAAAGUAGUUUUUAAAGGUCUUUUGUCAAACAUCUUUUACUUUUGAUCUUUUCCUAAAAUGACUUUAGGUCUCACAAAAGCUAAGCCAAACACCCCCUUACUCUUUGUUAUAAGAGUAAAUUACAUUUAUGGUCCCUAAUUUUAGCUGAUAUUUGUAAUUUUAGUCCCAAUAAUUUUUUAUGGCAAUUUUGGUCCUUUGAGGCUAUUGUAACAUUUUUGGUCUCUGAGUGUAGCUUAAUUUGCAAAUUUGGCCCCAAAAAUAGUCACAUGACUUGAAUUAGGACAAAAAACGUUACAAAACUUGGUUUUAGGUUUGCUAAUUAGUUUCACUUUUAUGUUAUUUAGGUUUAGGUUUUGUAACAGAAGAAAAGAAAAGAUGUAUCAAGACAAGUAGGUAGUUUGGAAGGGGGAUGUGGACCCAAAUCUAGGUAAAACGUGUUUUGUAUAGCUGGCUGAAUGACUUAAGUGUAAUUUUUUUUGCCAAUUAAGAUCUUACAUUUUUUUGUAGAUUUAGACGGGAAAUAAUAGGUUUUGGAAAGAUUUCUUAGAAGAGAUUUAAUACAAAUAGGACAAAAGAUCGACUAAUUUUGGAGUAUGCUUUGGUUUUAUUAUUUAUGUUUAUUAUUUUUUUCGAUUCAAUAAGGUUAUUUUCUUGAAUGUGCUUCCUGGAAUUUUUAUCCUACAUAUGGAGCAUUAAAGGUCACACAUUGGACUCAUGUACUUACACAUCAUAACCGGAUAACCGGUUUACCAUCCAAGAUUUAGAUGACCAUGAGGUUUUGUUGAUUGGAAUAAAGGCUAGAAUAUAUAUAUAUAUAUAUAUAUAUAUUUUUUCAGUAGAUGUUGUANGAUUACUAGAUUAAUGAAUUUUGAUGAAUAAAAGUUAUAGCAGUAUUCAAACCUACACCAAUGGCGCAGACGACCUUCAUCUAGUUGCAAAUUAAUAUAUAGAUAUAAUUGUUAAAUAUAAUAGAUUUACUUAAAUUCAAAAUAGAUAAUUAAGUUAGAUUAAAUAAAGUUUUAUGUUGUAUGAUAUCAUGGAAUUUCUAGUCACAAAAUAGAAUUUUGUAAAUAUAAGAUGUUUAAAUAUAACUAUUUAAAUGAAAGAUGUUUGGAUUGACUUAAUUAUCUAAAUAUGUGAUAUAUUAUAUUACUAUGACUUAUAGUUAAAUAGAUAGUGAAAUAAAAAUAUUGUUAGACUACAUAUUUAUAUUUAUAUGUUUGUUUUUAUGGGAUAAUUUGUGUGGACCAACCUAGAUGCCUAAGAGCACCCACACUGUGCCAUGUUAAGGUCUUGCAAAUGAUUAACAACUCAUCAUUAUUAAACUAUUUUUAGAAAGAGAAACCAGGGCCACUAUAAAAAUAUUUGCAAACCUUUCAUAUAUAACAAGAUGAAGUCCUAGGUGGCACUAAAUUAUUGCUCAGUGACAUUGAAAAUUAUACUUAAAAGACCCGAUGUAGAUGGUCUAAGAUCUUAACAUUUUUUAACGUGACAUUAAAUGAGGGUUUAGUUUUUUUUUUUUUUUUUUGAAACGAUAAAUCUAACAUGCUUUUAAAACUAAUUCUUGAUUCUAUCUAUGUCUACGACGGGAUUUGAACUCUCAAUCUNAUAUAUAUAUAUAUAUAUAUAUUGAAACGGUAAAUCUAAUAUAUUUCAAAAUUAUUUUUUAAAUCCACUUAUGUUCAUAAUGGAACUAGAACUCUCAACCUAAAGAGGAAGGACAACAUCGGAUACCGUUGGAUUAGAAGUAACUUCCUGAACGAUGAUCUAAUGUUGGCUUUAUAGUUGAUAUGGAGGUAAGUUAUCAAAAACACAUAUCUUUCACUUUAUUUUGAACUUUUUUGAGUUAUCCUUGCUACUUAAAAUAUUAUAUGUAUGUGUGCAUUAUGACAUAUAAUCUCUGGAAAUUGGUUUGAUUAUAAAAUAAAAAAUCUUAUGUUUUUGACAAAUGAUUUAAGCAUCUUGUCCAUAUCAUGUUAGGAUAAGUGUGACAAUGUGGUCCUGAGUAUCCAAAUGCACAAUUGUUUAUGGUUUUUUUGUGAUUAGAUUUUUAGAUAAUCUUCACAUACACAAGUAAAUGCCUCUACCCCUUAGGUGGCCUAAGAUGAUGGAUCACGGUGCCUUGUUUGUGGAUGUUAGUGCAAAAGUUGAUAAUGUCAUCUGUUAUGAACCCUUCACAUUCGACCAUCAUAUUGUAUGCAGUAACGAGUCUAGAACGUAAAACCAUGUGCUUCACUAUUUAAGUGAAACCAAAAAAAUACAACUAGCGGGUUUGGGUUGGGUUGUAUAAGCAAUAAAUAAAUAAAUAAAUAAAUAAAGUUAUUACAAUUAUACCUGACGAGGUCUUAUAUCUUGAUAUCAACGGUGAUGGAGAGUCGGCACUCGAUGGAUGACAUUGGGUGAUUUUUGAUUUGCACAAUUAUGUAUCACGGUAACAACAUAUGUUACGAAGCGGGAGAAGAACGAUGUGUUGAGAAAUGAUUUUUUUUGACUUUUUUCCUUUAUUUAUUUGAUUAUCUUUAAGUUGUAUUGGAAUAUUUUUUAUUGGUUUAUACCUUAAAUGAAUCGGGUGCCUAUUAAAAUAUAAAAUCCGGGUUUUUGAAAUCUUGAUUUAUAUACAGUUUCACUCGAAAUUAUUAAGGUAUGUCACAAUUUAUAAGUAUGUAUAAUCUCUUAUAAAAAAAAAAGGUAAGUGAAGUAGGCAUAGGUCAAGUAACACACCUUCUAUAUGCUUAGACUCGUUCCCGAUUGUAUGAAAUCACAGUUAUUGCGGUGGUAUGACGGUUUUUUAUAUUAUAUAUUUAUAUAGAAUUCAUAUAACAAAGUAUUAAUACUAUAUAGAUUUAAUAUCAUAAAAAAGUCAUAUAAAAACAAUAACAUAAAACAUAUUUAAUAUUCUAAUAUAGUAAUAUGUAAAUUAAAAAUAUCAUAUUUAGAUCAACCCGGUAAAGAAAUUCAAAUUUUGGUUUGGCCUCAUUAUAAAGCCAAAUUUAUUAUAAGGAGUAGCCCACAAUUGUUUUUAUUAUAUCAAGUAGCCCAACAAUGACUUACAAGUAAUAACGAUUGUAACAGUGUUAUAGUGUUGACAUGAAUCACUGUAAAUAGGGCCACCACUAUUUGAUAAUCUCCUUCUUACGAGUCCACAGAUUGCUAUAGCAUGCGAUUAACUGCCUAGAUGACAUGGACAUACGAUUAAUAUGGCAAAACUUGACGGUGUUCUCCAUUAUGAGCUCUACGAACUCUUCCAUCAUUUGUGAGUUGGACUUAUGAGAUUAACAAGGGGUGAAAAUAGUUGCAUGCAUUGCAUUUUAUAUAUGUUAUAACCUUCAUAAACCUCUUUUACGUAAAUUUGUGGGACUUAUGUGUCCUUUUUGGAAAUAGUACUAAUAAAGUAAAUCUAAAAGCAUAUAAGGCUCCUUUAUUUGAUUGGGUUAUUAAACCAAAGUGCUUCAUGUGUGUCUGUGUGUGUGUGUGUGUUUUUAAUCAUUUUCAAAGGUUUGAUUUGAGUAAGUUGGAUUGUUGUCCUUUACUCUAAAUGAAUCAACCUCUGAUAACUCACUAGGCAAAUCCAUUGCCUAACUUAUUGUGAUAUGUAUUCAGAUUGAAGACCUUUGACUUAGGGAUUGUCUUGGACCUUAAGUAGGCCGUAAAAUGUAUGGUGAGCUUGAACCUUAUUUUGAUAUGGUUAUUGUUAACCACCUUACUAGUUUUCAAACUUGAUUAAGAUUACCAUUUUGGGACCAAAUCAUUUUUCUGCAAAACAACAACUUUGAAUUUUUGGGAAUAUUUUUGUUAAUGAUUUUUCUUAAGUAUGAUUUUAAAUAGGACCAAAACGAAUAGUGUUACAAUUUAUUAUCAGAGCAAUGGUUUAAGUAAACUAGGUGCUAGGAUUAGUAUUUGGGCUUAAAAUAUGAUUGCUCUAAAGAUGUACAUAGGUAUCAUAGUUGAUUUUGGAGUUCUCCUUAGAGAUUUAUGGGUGUAGAUCUCUAUAUGCUUAAAAAGUUGGAAUACGUACUACCAAAGAAGAGUUGGAAAGAAAGAGUAAUCAUGAAAAGUCUAAUAAAUAUCAACAUCCUAUGAUAGAACCUUAAAUUGAUGGUGUGCAAGAUUGAAUAUAUGAGAUGGAGAUGACCUUCUGAAUGUGUUCAUGUAAGAAUAACUCAAGGGUAAACUUUGCAUUGAUAAAACUCAAUACAAAAAUAUGUUAAUGAUGGAUCAUCUCAAGGGAAUGGUUCACAAACAUGUUAUCAAAUUAUCAUGGAAUGAAUUUAAAAAAGUACUCAAAGAACAAUUUAGUGACCGAAUGAAACUCGAACGAUAGUGUACGAUAUCCUCAUGUCCGAAAACAAUAUAAAGAGUAAAAGAAUUGUAUUAACAAGUAUAAGGCUUGUUGGUGAUUUGUUAUAAUCAAUAUUAUUUAAGUGUAAUGAGAUUAAUUUGUUGACUACAAGUGAUCUUGAUAAAUAUUGAACUAGUAAGGAAUGUGUGGAGUACACACUUGUUUAAGUUUGAUUAAGUUUUAAAGUACAUUGUCAUUUAGGGGGAAGCCCCUGAACGAACGGGGGUUCGAUGGCAGCGCCCCUGGGAGCGAGGUCCAAAGGGGGGCAACCCCUGGCUGGGGUCAAGCUUCCAGGUCAGCACAAUUUUUUUUAUAUGAGUUAUGUUGCUAUAUAAAAAAUGUAUUAGAAAUCCGAAUUCUUGUAAAUGAACCCGGUUUUUUGACUUCAUUUUGACAUUUAUCAAAAUUCGGUUUUAGUGACAGUUUAGGACUGUUAUAAACUGUCUUUUGACAGUUUGAGUAGUUUUUGGACAAAUAAAAUUGCCUUGACAGUUUUCAGACAAAAAAAAUAUUUAAGUAUUUUGGUCAUAAUUUUCUUGGUACAACUAUAAUCACAAAAAUCAUAACUUUCAUAUUCUCUGUUCUUGAAACUCUUCUGAGUCUUAUCCGAUUAAAGGUUGGGAGUACCACCCAAAUACUUUAAUUUGAAAGUGUACACAUGAUUCUCAGAAUUUUCAAACCUUUUGUUACCCUGAAUUUCUAAAAAGGAUGAUGGGAAAUAGAGAACAAUAAUUUUUAUAACAUCAAGUCAACAAAAACACAAGGAAUAAAGAAGUAAAGGAAGGUGGAAAUUCAAUAACAAGAUGAACCGAUGACAUGUACCAAUAAGACAAAAGGCUCAAGUAGUUAAGAGUUUGAACAUAUUGUCAUAUGUUAUCCAAGAAAGAAGAAUUUUAAAAUUUAUGGAGACUUAUCAAAAUACAAAUAAAAAACAAAAAACAAAAAAUAAGUGGGAUUCAACGUACCAAAAGGUAAAAUGAUACAAUAAAAGGAAAGAUGUUAUCACGACAUGAGAAGAAUUAAGUAUCCAACGUACCAAAAUAAGAAAAAGGCAAGGUUAGCGACCCAUUGAUUCAAAGAGAACCAAGGGUAAAAUGUCAUUUAACUAUAGCAUCGAAUCAUCGAUACAAAAGUGGGAUUCAGUUUUGGAUUUUUUUUUUUUUUUUUUUGUUUAGAAAUAAGUGCAUGCAUUAUAAGAUUUUUGAAAAAUUAUGGUGAAUUUUGAAAGUGCCAACUCAGCAUGAUUACAAAAGUCUGGGUUAUUUUUACUCUGGAUCGGAUAUUGCGUUUGGGCUGAUGUGUACUUUGGGCUCCUAUGUUUACGCCAGUUCCCAGCUCAUCUGGCGACCCAAUAUCUAGAUAACUAGAUAAACAAUACGACGUCAUUUAAGCAGUUCCUCAGUCUUGUUGUUGACUUGUUGUUCUCUACUCCACCGCCCAUAUCCUCCACAAGUCUCCUUCCUGAUUUGGAUUUUUUUUUUUUCGAAAACGACAAGGCAUCUUAACACCUAUAUUAAGUAAUAAACCAUAAACACUAUAUCUAUCGGUGGCUUUUAAAGAUUGAAGAAUUAAGAUAUUGCAAAUUAAGCACAAAAUAUUCGGAAGACGGAAAUCAAUUAACAAAAAAAAGCAACCAGGAAUCAAAAACAUCACAACACUAUGUUGCAAUCACAAUAUAAUUAAAAUUUGAAAUUUACCAAUAACCCAAUAACCAAGCAAAAAGGCCGAAAUAAAAAAUCAGGGUGAUAGCAAUUUGCAAAAUUUUGUCAGAUAUUAAUAUUGCAAAACAGAAAUAAAGGAGAGCAGAUGCAAUUUUUUGGUUUAUAAUAUGAGAUUGAAAGCAAAAUGAUAGUUUUUUUUUUUUUACAAUUCUUGCAAUCAAUUGGGAUUUGCACGAAGAAACGGGGCAUGAGCGUAAUUACUCCGGAAUUACGCAUCAUGAUUCACGAAUCAGAAGCUGAAAUUACUGAAGUUGGAGUACUAAGAAAUCAAAAAUCGACUGUUAAACACUUUACAGAGCUAUGUAAUAGAAUGAUAAAUGAGAAAUUCUGAAAGCAAAAUAUCAGAUUUAGAGAGCUAAUCAGUUCUUACUUCUUAUCUAAGAGAUCGGCGACUUUAAAAGUAACAAAGACAUUUGAAAUCGAUGCGAUUGUUUCUAGUUUCUGAGUGACGAUCUGCAGUCGAAAACUUUGAGUUGUUCGCGCCCACACUGCCCUCCUCAGUCUUAUAAGCAGAGCAACGCUAUAUCAUUGGGCUUAUAAAGUGGGCCUAAAUUUUUGUUGCCUUGGGCCGGGCCUGGUUUACAUGUUACCAACAAGCCAUCCGAUCAAGAUCUCUAAAAAUCCCAUCCUUACAGCGUGUAAGAAUUUGGCGAACUCACGUGCAUAUAAUAAGAAACAAUGAGUUUAGGAAAUAAUUAUUUUUGGUUGAUUAUCACCAUUUUUAGGGUAUGCACAAAGCAUUGAACUCUAUAGAGUUCAAUAGAAUGUCACAUCAUCAUUCAUUAUUCCAUACAAUUCUAUUUAUUUUUAUCUCACAAUACAUUAAACUCUACAAGUUCAAUGGAAUAUAUUAAAAAAAUAUUUAUUUAAAGAUUUAAAAACUUUCCUUUUUCUAUUGAAGAGUUCGAUGACCAUUGAAUUCCAAAUCCAUUGAAUUGCAAGGUGGCAUUUCACAAUGGUUGAGUUGUAUCCAUUAAAUAACAAGUAGGAGCUCAUUCAAUUCUUCCAUUAAACUCUCCAUUGUGAAUGCUCGUUUGCUUACAAGUUACAAUAAGCCACAAGUUGAUAUUGGUUUGAACAACAUCCAGAAGUUAUAAUCUCUGUGAUAGUUGGUUAAAGAAGUUAUUUUAAACACCUUAGCACCUGAAAACAUUUAGAGUGUUAAUAAGGUUUCCUCCUCUCAGACCAUCACAUACUUCCCUUUUUAUGAAUCAUGCUUUUUUUUUUUUUAACUUUUUUUUAUAUUUUUUUUAUCAUCGCAAGAGAACCACAAUAAAUGGACAUGUGGUAUAUAUAUUUCCUCUACUUCUUUGGCCUUAUAAGUAUCAGUUAAUAUGAACCUGACUUUGCCUUUCUGUUUAUGUUGCAUUUGUUGUGCAGCAGUUUUGGUUGUCUAAAAUAGAUUUGCAAUAACGGUAUGGUGUAAUAGCAAAAUUACAUAAAUAGUCUUUGUAUAAGAGGGCAUUACAUAAAUGAUGUUAAAAUGAUAGGAUUAAUAAAUCCACUGCGCAUCAGUAUCCCCACUAGUUACUAUCACUUGUAGCUUUUUCACAUACCUAUCUAUCUUUAUAUGAUCUUUAUGGAUCCACAUCCACCGUCAACCUUACAAAUAACCGAGGAAACGCUUUUGUAAGAACGGUGAUAAAAGAAGCAUCACUUAUUGGUUGAGAUAUGUUUUUCCAAGUUGAUUAAGGGUAUCAGGGAUACAUUGAACUUCAAAAAGUUAAAUGGAUUGUCAUAUCAUUUUCUAUAUAAUUCUAUUCAUUUUUUUUUCCUAUAAUGCAUUGAACUAUACAAAGUUCAAUAAAAAAAUUAAAAAAACUAAUUUAUAGUAUAUAUUUAAGAAGUAAAUUCUUUCAUUUUUUCUAUUGAAGAGUUCAAUGACCAUUGAACUUUAAAUUCAUUGAAUGCCAAUGUGACAUCUCACUAUGGUAAAGUUUAAUUCAUUAAAUGACAAAUAGACUGUGCAUCUCAUUCAACUCUCUCAUUGACUCACCAUUGUGGAUGCUCUAAUAUAUAAUGAAAUUUUACUAUAUAUUAUAGUUGUAACCUUUGACAAAACUACAAAAAUGGUCUAUGUCCUAUGUUGAAAAUUGUCACUUUUGUCCAAAAAGGUUUGCACUAGCACCAUCAUCUAAUAUUUUGAUUUUGUAGUGAGUUUGGUCUAAUUUACUUUAAUUUUUUUAAAAUGAAAAAUUUGCCCUUUAUUAAUUUCAUUUUCUAUUUUUUUCAUUUUGUUAUAUUUCUGAUGUUAUCAAUACCCUCACCCCUCACCCCCUCGUUCUCUUUUAUGCUGCUACUCUUACAUGCUGCUACUCUUACGCCUUGUUCCCGAGUUCUACUUGAGGAGGGAAAUGGAAGGAUACAUAAAGAAACUGAGGUGUGUCGAAGGAAAAUCAUGUUUUUAAGUUUCAUUAAUGGAAGGAAAGUGAGGAGAGGGAAAGGAUUUUUGAGUCAUAUUUUCCUUUCAAAUUUUCCUCCCAAAUUAGAUGGAUUUGGGAAAAAAGUAAGGGGAAGGAAAAUUUGAAGUUUUAUUUUCUUUUUCUUCCUAACUCGGGAAUACAAAAACUUAAAAUUUUCUUUUCAUUUCUGUUAAUUUCCUUCGAACUUGGGAAGACAGAAUAAUGAAUAUUUUCCUUGCCUUUAAAAAAAAAAAAAAAAAAAAAACUCGAGAACAAGGCGUAAUCUCGGUUCUUCAAUUUUCCCCCUCCGGUAAACAUCAUCACCACCACCAGCAGUCACCAUCCUCUCUCUCUCUCUCUCUCUCUCUCUCUCUCUCUCUCUCCAGAACGCUUCGAACUGAAAAAACCCUCACCGGAAGUGCUCUUUGUUUCUUCUUUGGCGAUGGCAACCGAUCUGUAAAGGAGGGUUUUCUUCGAGCUAGGGUUUGUUGAGGAAGAUGACGAAGGACCUCCCUUCUCGUCGGGCCUCCCUUUCACAUAUCGGAGGUAUCCGAUCUCAACACAUCCAAGGAUUUUCAUUACCACUUGCGUCAACGAUCGAAUCGGAGGAGAAGGCGAAGGGCGGCGAGUGGCGAUAGGGUUUUUGUCAGUGAUUUUUUCCUUCCAGAUCUUGAAACCAACAAGGAACUUCGAAUCUAUAAUGUGAUCUCUUUCGGUCGUAGCUCAACAUCUUUGUCGGAGGAGCGAGGGUUUUAGACGGUGGUUUCAAAGUUGGAUUAUUUGUUGUUUGCAGAUGACCGACAACACAAAACCAUGUCUCUUCGGAUAUCGAUUUGUCUUCCUGAUUGAAGGUUGGUGGUGACGGAGAAUAUGGGGGCUAAAUAUGAAAACCCUAAUUAGAUUAUUCAUGGGAUUUAAACUGUGGUGGUGGUGACUUUUUACAUGUGUAUGUGGUAUAGACAGGCGAUGGUGGUGACAAUUAAAGGAGGCAGCGAAAUGGGUGACACUAAUGGCGUUCAGAUCAGAGGUGUUCUGAUCGGUUAUGGUGGGUUCUCAUAAUCAUUCAUGAGGUGGUGAAGAUUACGGGUGUCAGAAAAUCGAUGUUGGUGGUGUUGAACUGGUGGUAGGUGAUGCAGGUGGUGGUCCGAAAAAUUAGGCUUGAAUUCAUCAAAAUUUUUAUACUCUUUUAUUCUAAGCUCGUGGGGAUGUUAGACGGGUGGUGGUGAUGGUGGUCCAAUGGUAGUUUGGUGGUGUUCCAAUGGUGAUACGGUGACUGCUCCGGGGGUGUUCCUAGAUCUCCGACGACUUGCUCAGGUGAACUAAAGAGAUCAAGUGGAAGAGGGUAUAAGGUGUGGGGUGUUUUUUUGUUAGAAAAAUGACAGUAAUUAAAAAAGGGAAAAUAUCAAAGCCAAAUCCAUUUUUAAAAAAGUUUUGAAAAGUUUGGAACAUGUUAGCAACAAAAUAAAAUUUUUGGACAACUGAUGUUAUUCCAAACCUUUUUGGAUCAAAAUAACAAUUUUUGACAUAUUAUUUUUGCAAUUUGGUAACAAAAUAUUAUGUACAUUACUAGAGAAUCUUUUUACAAACCCCACCACAUACUUAAAACAAUUUAUAGAUGCAUACACUUAACAUUAUUGCAAACACAUGAUAAUGGACAAACUAUAUGUCUUAGAUCACGCACAUAAGUGCUACUUUAUUAGUCAUCUAAACCAACUCUUUUCAAAUAUUGUAAAACUUGUAAAUAAUACUUUUUGUUAAACAAUGUUUUAUUUAUUUAAUCAUCUGUUUAUUAUAUUAACAUAUACAAUAUAAGCCUUUUUUUUAUAUUGUUUUCAUUCAUUUUGGUUCUUUUAUACGUUAUAUUAACUUUAAUUUUGAACUUUAAUUAUUAUUUGAUUAACAAAUAACUAUUGUUUAUUUAAAAUAUAUAUGAUUAUAAACAUAUUACAUUAAAAGAAAUAUAUAUAUAUAUAUAUAUNNNNNNNNNNNNNNNNNNNNNNNNUAUAUAUAUAUAUGGGUAAAUUACACGAAUGGUCCCUAUGGUUUAGGGUAAUCUGCGUGUUUAGUCCCUAACAACUUUUUUAUUUAACUCGGACCGUCCCUAAUUUAUGUUUUUGUUGCACGCUUCGUCCCUGUCCGUUCUAAAAAGACUAUUUUACCCUUAGGCCCCGUUUGAUAGUUGCUGAUUGAGAAAGUGCUGACUGGGAAAAGUCUGUCUUGGUAAGAAGAAAUCAUGACCGAGUAAGAAAUCAUGCUGUUUGAUUGUCUAUCUGACUGAAUGUACUGACUGGUGAAGAAGGACCAUUUUACCCUCCCACUUCAAAUACAAACCACCACCUCAAUAUACUCUGGAAUCACCAAUUCCGGAGUUGUCUUCAAUUCCAACACAUAAUCCAUUUCCGCCUUCGGUCCCUAUUUGAUGCCAUUGCAAUCCCAAUUUCAUCUCAAUUCUUUUCCACUUUCAAUUCAAUCCCUCAACACCCACAACAAAAAGCCAUCAUCUUUCGCUGGAAUCUACAAUUCCAUCCUCCAAACACAAAUCAUCUUUCGCUGGAAUCUACAAUUCCAUCCUCCAAACACUACUAUGGAACAAGAGGCAGGUACAUAACAUCAAAAAAUCGAAAAUUUUAGAGAAGUUUAAAAGGAAUCAAUUUCAUGAAUCAAUAGAAAUCAAUUUCAAAAAUCAGACUAUUCAGAAUAGAAACCUUCCUGAUCAAACAGGAACAUAACAUCAAAAAAUCGAAAAUUUUAGAGAAUUUUAAAAGGAGUCAAUUUCAUGAACCAAUAGAAAUCAAUUUCAAAAAUCCGAUUAUUCAGAACAGAAAGGGUAUAAAGAAAUAUGUGAACAAAAUUAAUUCAUGAAUCAAUUUCUGAAUAGAAAGGUAAACAUGCGAUUGAAGGAGAUGGUUUCAUGAAUCAAUUUAAAAAACGAUUUUCAUGAACAAGAUGGUUUCAUGAAUCGGUUUCACGAAUUCAUGGAUCAAAUUCAAAAACGAUUUCAUGAAAUUGGUUUUAUGAAUCAAUUAAAGAAGAAGAAUAGAGGCCUGUAAGAGGAGAAGACAUACCUGAUGAGAAGGGGAGAAGGAGUCGAUCGGUGGGGGGAAGGGGCGCAGAGGCGUGAAAGAGGAACGUAGGGAAGGACACAAUUGGUAACACUUCCUUCUUUCUCAGUCAGUCGUUGGUUUUCUUCUUACCGAGCCAGAACCUUCUUUCCGAGUCAGAUGGGCCAAGAUUGAUUUACCAAACAAAUUUGGCUGACCGAGUCAGCAAAAAUUGUGUGACCCAGUCCAGUCAGAUGCAUAACAAACAUGCCCUUAAUAACUUAUUUAUUUAUUUAUUACUUAUUCUUUUACCUUUUAAUAUUAAAAAUAUAUUUAAAAAAAUUUUAAAAAAAAAAGUAAAAAGAAUCCCUAAAAUCCUAAGCAACGCCUCCGAGCCUCCAUGGCUCCUCCUACAAAUCUCAUCUUCCAGCAUCACCACUCUCUAACUUCAUCUCUGACGACUCCAAUAACAUCAUACAUGGUUGGUGAGAAAAACCUUCAUCUCCUUUCGUUCUUCACUGGUGGGACUAACUUUUCUCUCUACUCCGCCUCUCUGACCCUCUAUUUCACUUGAAAGAAUACGUCACCUAAAACUCCAAUUGCCUUGCCCACGUUUAUUCCCAAUCUCUCGUCUUCUUCCUUCAAGGUUUUCCCAUAAACUUCUUCCUUCAUGGCCUCCGACCCCCUCUACUAUCAUACGCCAGCAACAUCUAUUGCCAACGCCACCAGAGAAGGCAGAGGUGAAGCAGACACUGAGACAAUACAAAUUUAAGCAUUGGCCUCUUUCUCUGUCUCGGAUUGGGGAGCAUGUUAUCGAACCAGAAGUGAGAUUUAAUGUUUGAUUGCAGUUUCGACACCCAAAACAAUCCUACAACACUGGUUAGGUUUGAUUUAAGGUUUGGUUUUCAAUUUUAGGUUUGAUUGAAUUCUAGGUUUGAAUUAAGUUUCACAUUCAAAUUUCAGUAUGAUUUCAUGUUUGAUUCCAGUUGUAGGUUUGAAUUCAUAUUUGAUUUUGAAUUUUGGGUUUGAUUUGUGUUUCACUUUCGAUUUUAGUUUCAGUUUCAGGUUUGCAUCAUGGAUCAAUUAAAGGUUCAAGUUCAAUUCAUUAUGGUGAUUACAGUAAUACGCUUCACUGUAGUCGGAUAAGAAAGUUGUGGGGGAGGUGGAGGUGGAGCAGGAGCAGACACAGUCAAUGUGUGAGAUUUUCCGGUGACUGAACACAAUGAGGGUAUGGUGGUGUAGGCUCUUGAAUUAUACCGAUAUAUAUAUAUAUAUAUAUAUAUAUAUAUAUAUAUAUAGAUUGANNNNNNNNNNNNNNNNNNNNNNNNNNNNNNNNNNNNNNNNNNNNNNNNNNNNNNNNNNNNNNNNNNNNNNNNNNNNNNNNNNNNNNNNNNNNNNNNNNNNNNNNNNNNNNNNNNNNNNNNNNNNNNNNNNNNNNNNNNNNNNNNNNNNNNNNNNNNNNNNNNNNNNNNNNNNNNNNNNNNNNNNNNNNNNNNNNNNNNNNNNNNNNNNNNNNNNNNNNNNNNNNNNNNNNNNNNNNNNNNNNNNNNNNNNNNNNNNNNNNNNNNNNNNNNNNNNNNNNNNNNNNNNNNNNNNNNNNNNNNNNNNNNNNNNNNNNNNNNNNNNNNNNNNNNNNNNNNNNNNNNNNNNNNNNNNNNNNNNAUAUAUAUAUAUAUAUAUAUAUAUAUAUAUAUAUAAUAGUUCUUCAACGUUUAAUUAAUAUGUUUUAUUUAACUGGUGAUUUAAAAUAGAUAAAAGAAGACAGUAAGGGUAGAUAAGUCUUUUUAGAACGAACAGGGACCAAACGUGCAAUAAAAAUAUAAAUUAAGGACUAUCCGAGUUAAAAAAAAAAAACUUUUUAGGAACCAAACACGCAGAUUAUCCUAAACCACAUGGACCAUUCAUGUAAUUUACCUUAUAUAUAUAUAUAACUAACAUCAUUUCCCAUUUAUUAAUUGCAUUUCAUACGACUUUCUUUGUCGUCCUGACAAUGUUGAUGGAUCAAUUUCUAAUAAUUUCCUUGUUACUUUACUUUUUUCCGCCCAUCUUUUUUCAUAUUGUGGUUUUUUAAACUUAUGUAUUCUUUCAUUGUGUUCAUUGUUUCCAUCUCAAUAUUAAUUUGGGUUUACAUUGUAUCUUUUAUACUUUCAAGUUUCAAGAGAGGUGCUUCACAUAGGUUUUUGCAUCCCUUUACCUUUAGAGGAUUUUCUUCCGAUUAGACAAAUAUUUGAUAUUGGCUCAUUAAUUGAUAUGUUUCUAUUUGAAGACGAUGAUGUAUAUUCACCGGAUAUACUAUUCUUAGUCCUAUUUGGUUCAAUACCUUCAAUUUCGUUGGAAUCUCUUUGUCUUUCUUGUAUACUAGUACACCACUUCUCUUCAUCACAUAAUGUCAUCCAAGCAUAUAAAAAAAUUAAUCGUAUGGUGAAAUAUAUAUUGCUAGAGACAUUUUUUUAUUCUUCAUUUAACCCACUUUCAUGCCUAUAUUGGAAUUGUUCAUAACACACAAUAAAUUUAGAAACAACAUGAUUCAGUCUGCUCCAAUGAUUCCGAAGUGCCUUGACUAUUCCUCGCCGCUUGGUUAGUAUUAUUAAAUGAUAUCAAUGUGUUAGAUCAUUCUCCUAUUUUUCAUGAGGUGUUAGAAAGAUCACCAAAGGUUAACUUCCAAGUGAAUGACAACAAUUACAAUUUUGGUUACACCUUACACAUCAAAAUGUUGUAUAUUGCUCGACUUGAUGCUUAUGUUCCGCAUAAUAUAUAACGCACCGCACAAUUUAAUACCCAAACUGUCGGUAUAUUCAGUCAUUAAUAAAAACAAACUUUGCUUUAAUAUUAUUAUUUAUAAUAUUUUUAAUAAUAAUAAUAUGAAAUCAAAUAAAUUAAAUAAUAUUAAUUAAAAAAAAAAGAUAAAAUAGACUAAAGACAAAAAAAAAAAAAAAAAAAAAAAAAAAAAAAAAAAAAAACAAAAAAAAAACAAAAAUUAAAAAAAAGAGUAAAAUUAAUAACGAAAAGGUGUAUAUAGACUUACCCUUUCAAUAAUCAUCAAUAUUAUGUAUGAGUGCUAUUAUAUCACUCAUAUAGCUUAUCAAAUCAUGAGGAUACACACAUUACUCCAUUUAUAAUAAGAGUACACAAAACAAUUUAAAAGAUACGUAUAAAAUCAUGCUUUAACAAAACCAUACCAUAAAUAUAGCUGAGUUGGAGUAAUAAGACAAUAGUACAAGUAAAAAUAAUAAUAAUGGCAACAAUUCAAAUAACUUUCAUCAUAUUUGAUAUGAAUUUAGUUGGAAACAUUUGUGUGUUGAAUAUCAAUUAAAUAAAGUUUUGGCAACCCACAUAAAGAGAACCAUAUAAAGUAAAGUAGGAGUAAGACAAGGAAAUUCUCGUUUACUUAUGAUAAUUUUGUCCCUACAUCUUUCCACCACCCUCGAUAGGGAUGAGAGUUAGAACUGGAAAACCGGACCGAAACCAGAAUCGGACCGGAACAGGAGCCGUUAGAACCGGAAUAUGUAGAACUGGGUCUGGUUCCGGGUUUAAAAAUUGGCUUUAUCCGGGUUCUGGGUAAUUCGGUUUUGGGUCCAUAGGGUCUGGGUAAACCGGGUCUAAAAACCGGAACCGGUUUUUGGAACCGGAACCACUUUUAGGGCCGGAACCGGUUUUUAUGAAACGUUUAAAAGAUGCAUAUCUUAUUUGUUUCAAUUCCAAUUGACAUACAGUUUUUUCCAACAUGUAGUUUAGAGUUUGUACUUGAUUUUAGACUAUAAAUUUGUCAUUUUUAGUUUUAUAUUCAUUGACUUACAGUCCUCCAAAGUUGAGAUAUCAAAGCUAGAAGUUUUUAGUUUUUCAGUUUUUUUGUAUUCGGUAAAAGUUUUAAAACAUGCAUAUCUAAUUCGUUUGAAGUCGGAUUGGCAUGUGGUUUUUUCCAACUUCUAGUUUACAGUUUGUACAUAAGUUUAGACUAUAAUUUUGUCAUUUUUGGUUUAACAUUCAUUGAUUUACAGUCCUUCGAAGUCGGGAUAUCAAAACUGAAAAUUUUCAACUUUUCAGCUAUUUGUUUUUGUACUUUGUAUAAUGUGAAAAUAUUAACACAAGCAUAUCUCAUUCGUUUCAAGUCGAAUUGAUAUGCGGGUUUUUCCAGAGUAUAUUUUAGAGUUUGUACAUGAUUUUAGACUAUAAUUUUGUUAAUUUUGGUUUCGUAGUCAAUGAGUUACAGUCCCCCAAAGUCGGGAUAUCAAUAUGAAAAUUUUCAAAGUUCAGCCCACUAAGUAGCAAGUAAUUACCAAAAAAUUCCGGUUUUUCCGGUUCUAAACCCACUUUAUCCGGUUCCAACCUACCCACUUUGAUGUUUUCGGGUUUUCCGGUUCUAGACCCACUUUAUCCGGAACCAUACCCGGAACCGGUUCCUAUAUACUUGUCCGGUUUCCGGUUCUAUAAAAUCCCGUUAACCGGUUCCGGAUUUUCUGGGUCUGGGUCCAUCCGGUUCGGGUUUGGACCCACUUUCAUCCCUAUUGCUCGAUACCUGUUCGGCCGACUACCGAGUAGCGAGUACUCGAGAAUACUCGGGGAGUACUCGGAUUUGGAAAUUUGUGUAGAAAUAUUUUUAGGGAAAUUAUAUAUUUCAAAAUCAUAAGAUAAAAUCAUAAGUUGAUUAAAAUAUAUAACAAAAUUGGAUACAUGUGAAUACACAAAAAAUGGAAAACACAUAAUGGUCUCACUUCGUGAAUAAUUACUGAAAAUUUAAGAUAUAUAUGUAGUAAUAAUCACAUGUGUGUGUGUUAAAUAAUAAAUCAUUAAGUAUAUUAUACAUAUUAAUCANNNNNNNNNNNNNNNNNNNNNNNNNNNNNNNNNNNNNNNNNNNNNNNNNNNNNNNNNNNNNNNNNNNNNNNNNNNNNNNNNNNNNNNNNNNNNNNNNNNNNNNNNNNNNNNNNNNNNNNNNNNNNNNNNNNNNNNNNNNNNNNNNNNNNNNNNNNNNNNNNNNNNNNNNNNNNNNNNNNNNNNNNNNNNNNNNNNNNNNNNNNNNNNNNNNNNNNNNNNNNNNNNNNNNNNNNNNNNNNNNNNNNNNNNNNNNNNNNNNNNNNNNNNNNNNNNNNNNNNNNNNNNNNNNNNNNNNNNNNNNNNNNNNNNNNNNNNNNNNNNNNNNNNNNNNNNNNNNNNNNNNNNNNNNNNNNNNNNNNNNNNNNNNNNNNNNNNNNNNNNNNNNNNNNNNNNNNNNNNNNNNNNNNNNNNNNNNNNNNNNNNNNNNNNNNNNNNNNNNNNNNNNNNNNNNNNNNNNNNNNNNNNNNNNNNNNNNNNNNNNNNNNNNNNNNNNNNNNNNNNNNNNNNNNNNNNNNNNNNNNNNNNNNNNNNNNNNNNAUACUUAAAAUGAGGAGUAAAUUAAACGAAUGGUCCUUAUGGUUUGGGGUAAUUUUGCACGUUUGGUCCCUAACUUAUUUUUUUUUUUUUUAACUCGGAAGACCCUAAAGUUUGUUUCUGUUGCAUGUUUGGUCCCUGUCUUACCUAAAAAGACUAUUUUGUCAUUAACAUUUUAAUUUAUUUAAAUAAGGUGGGGUAUGAAAGGUAAGGUAAUGUGAGAUGGAAUUGUGGUUGGAGGUGUGUUUAUUUAAAUAAAUUUAAAAAAAUCAAGGGCAAAAUAGUCUUUUUAGGUAUGACAUGGACCAAGCGCACAAUAAAAACAAAUAAUAGGGACCUUCCGAGUUAAAAGCUAGUAGGAGCGUAAAGGUUAUGCUGGAAUGGAAAUAAUCAUCAUGUUAGUGGAAGCAUGAUUAUUAUUUGAGUAUUGCAAGUUGGCAAUAUUAAUUAUAGAAAAACAAAAGUUUCACUUUGCAAAGUUGCAGGGGUAGAAAACUUGUUUUUGCUAUAAUUAAGGGAGAGAAUGUUAUACCUCGUUUCCAUUCUAAAAGCUUAGAUCGAUAAAUUUUAAUUGAAUUUAGUCAAGGGUAUAUUUAUUAUUUGCAAUCUCAAAGUUCGAUUAUGAUUACGACAUCCCUCUUCAUAGUUCAAAUUUUGAGAACACGGCAAAUAGAAAUAUUAUGACGAUAUUAUAGUAAGAAACUGGUAAAGUAUCACGUUUUUCAUUAUGAAUUGUAUCCCAUACGCUUCAGGUAUAGGAUCGAUUGCAUAUGAUGUAAUAUUCGACCAUUCUAAAAUUCUCCAAAUGCCUUGGGCAUUUAGAGGGAAAAAGGAAAUAGAACCGGUUUUGACUAAAAUAAUUAAACAACUGCCAAGGACCAUAUUGACAUUAUUAUGAAUAGAUAAGAUUCUAUUUAAAAUGAGUUGUCGUAUGGAAAAUAUGGAAAUGUUUCCAUAUUGGGAGUUGGAUAUCGAGAAUAAAUGUUUAGAUUAGAAACUUUUUUGCAAGAAGAAUGUUCAAAGGAAUGUACUUUGAAUAUGAGACUUCAUGACUAUGGAAUUGUCUUGUAACAAUCUGCAAUAGAGUAUUUUGUAAUUUCAUUGGCCGAGUCUUGGUGACUUUUGUGACAUGACAUUACGAAAAGGACCGUUGCAUAAAAUGUUAGAAUCUAACAUAUUCUAGUAGUGGCAAGAAUUUUGUAUUCUUACACUAAUGGAUUAGGAAUUGUGAAAUGAGUGUGAUUGAAAAUGUUAUUCAAUUAUACUAUUUCACAAAGUAAGGACCAUAGGUAAACAUAGUGUGCAUGCUAAGAGCAUGGGACAAUUGUUGUUAUAAUUCAAGUAAGAAGUUGAUUACCCGAAACAACAAAUAAUGAGUAAUCAAUAUGGUGAUUAAAUAAAAUGUUUUAUUUAUACUCAAAGGUUUGAAGCCAUAUAGGAUUAGUAUUAUUCUUGUGUUUCACUUUGCNCUCAGAGUCAGUUGCACAUUGAUAAUAUGUAAACGCACCAGUAACUUGAUGUUAUACAACGUAUUGGUAUGUGUGAUUCGGUAAGUGAGUGCAAGCGAGCAUUAAGUCGAAGUUUAUCCGUUCCUUUUACCCAAAGUGGGAUAAAAGCGAUAUAUGUGGGCCCCUCGAUGUUUUAGUGAUGACACCUAAGAGUUUGGCCAAGCCGGGACUAAUUUUAUGUGUUCAAUUGUAGUCUGUUGUCAGUCGUCAUAAAUUAGAAAUCGGGAAACAACACAUAGACUGAGAGAAUGAUUUCAAUCCAUGUCUCAUGUCUAUACGAUAUCUAGAAUGGAGGAAUAUAUGAUCCCUUAUCUAAAGGACACACUUCUGAUAAGAUUAGAGUUGACAACGACUUUUGAAAGCUACGAUUGCGAAUCAGGAUCUGAAGUCAUACGCAUAAUAGUUAUUAGACUUAUCCUAGUGGGAGACUGUUGGAUUAGUGUCUAAGUCCAUAACUAUUUUGGUAUGUACUUGACCCAGUGAUGCAUGGUCCUUUUGGGUUGCCUUCACCAAAGCAACUUGAUAGGAUGAAUUAUGGAAAUAGAGGAUUAAUUAUGAUUUAUUAAUAUAUUACGAGAAUAAUAUAUUAAAGGAAAAAUCAUAUUGUUUAAUUAAUAUUAGUCAAUAAUUAAUUAAGAAUUAAUUUUGUGGCUAAAAGAGAUUAAUUAAACUUAGGGGGACUAAAACUAUCAAUUGUGUAAUAGUUGAAUAUUGGGCUAAUGGACUCCAUAUUAGAUGAGUGGACGAAUUCUAUGGGAAUUCUAUGGGGAAACCCAUUAGAAAUCGUCCAAGGCCUCUAAAGAGGGAGUCCAUGGGCUGCUUAGGGCCUAAGCAGUCAAAUUAGGGUUUCCUUGUUAGAUAACCCUAAUAGUCUCACUAUUUAAGUACCCCUAGGGCACCAAAAAACGGGAAAAACUGAUUCCUUAGGGUUUCUAGACGUUUUUUGGUGCCUCCUCUCUUCUCCUUCUUCAUCCUGUUGCUCUUGGUGUUUGUGAGCCAUUAGAGGAGCGACACUUGUGACUCUAAGCUUUCAGAAGCCAAUUACGAGGAGGAUUUGAGAUUGUUAUUGCUACAUAAUAAUCAAAGUUAAUUUCUAAACCCUUAAUUCGGUUCAUAGUAUGAUAGAUCUAGGGUUUAAAGUCUUGGAGGAAUGCAUGUACAAUAGAGAAACCUAGAUCCAAGCAUUAGGGUUUGCAUGAGCACAUAGGAUGUUCUUCUGGCUAAAACCCAUCACAAUCAUCCACGGGAUGGAAUACUCUCGGCCCUCAACCAUCGGGUUGGAAUGCCCACAUACUAUGAGUCCAAUCAUCCUCGAGAUAGAAUACUCUCGGCCCUCAACCAUCGGGUUGGAAUGCCCCGGUCUGUUGGUUCAUGCACAAAGCAGAAGUGCCUCAACCACCAAUCAAACAUAUGAAAAUAUAUCAAAUAAUCACUUAACAGUAUAUAGACAGUCAAACCGAUCUACAGAUCACUAAGCAUAACAAUAUCCUAUCUACUAGGAUACCGAUCUAACAGAUCAUAACCAUAUAGAAACAUCCUAUCUACCAGUAUAUCGAUCUAACAGAUCAUAUUAAUAAAGUAGGAUAACAAUCCAAAGGGUAGGCCUUGGUGCCUUAGACCCUUGAGUAUAGUGAGGAAAACUCACCUCAGAAUGUCCACUGAACUGGAAACCUUCGGCUACUGACUCACCGAAAUCCCAAACUAUCACAAUAACGAACACUAAUCAAUAGUUGGAAAAUCAAUCUUGGCUAAGGGCCCAAACAUAGGGUAAUAGUUUGUUUUACCCUUUCCCUAAUUUGUGACAAGGACCAACUCCAAAUCCUUGAUCCAAAGGUCCAAAUAUACAAGGCUCCUAAUUGGCCCAAUUUUCCACAUUCGGCCCAACUCUUUAAUUGGGACUCAUCCUAAGGCCCAUUUCCAUAAUUGGCCCAAUACACUUCUAUUCAGAAAGUAUAGCAAGGGACUAAGCCAAACUGGCCCAAAGAUAGCUCAAAUUCGAAGCCCAAAUCGCAAAAGCCCAACAGAGGGCGUACGCGAGCCUUGAGUUGAUUGGAAAACGGGUGCUAACUACGUACACGGGGCGUACUGCUCUCUACAUGGGGCGUACCCUCGCUGUCUUCAAAACUCCAAUAAGUGCUUAAUGGCUUAAGCACUUAAGCCCAAAUUCCAGAUCCAUUGACCAAAUGUAUCUCAGAACCAUAAAGUCUCAAACUUUAGGACUUUGGAUGUCCAGAAAGUCCUUAAUACAUGGUCUUAAUCCAUUAAGACCUUUCUACCGAUUGCAUGGGACAUCUCUAGACAUUGGGACUUCAUUUUUAUCACUUAGAACCCUUCCUAGGGUCUGAAAGGACAACUCAAAACGUCCAAAAUGAAUCAUGCAUUAUAAUGGGACUUUAUGGGACAAAAGAAUGCAAAUAAGCUGCCAAGGAGAGAUCUAGAAGAGAUAGACAUAAAGGUAGCAAUGUUGUACCUUUUGGACCUCCCAAAACAGAUGAUGAACCAAGAUUUACAAGCCAAUCUUCCCUCCUUGACUCCUUAAUGCACAAGCUUCUCGUUUAGGGCAAACAAAACACACUUAUAAGCUUAAAAUGCUCACUAUGAGGCUAGGUUUCUCUCAAGACGGCUAAGGGAGGUUUAGAGGCUGAAAGAGUGAGCCACAAUGUCCUAUAAUGAUGCUUAAAUACUGUACAAACCCUAAAAAUUAGGGUCUUAUCCGGACACACGUACGCCCACCGUACAUAAGUGUACGCCCAGCGUACUAGGACGUGCUCUAAUACGCAUGGCGUUCCCAAAUGUAUGCCCAGCGUACUACUCAACUUCCCAAAAAUUACUGAUCUGCCCCUAGGGCUAGGUCCAAACCAAUAUCAGGGGCUAAAAUUGAAUUAUUAACAUACCAAGGAAGGAUUCGAAAAAUACCUGAAAUCCAGAAUGUUACAACUCUCCCACACUUGAACUAGACUUCGUCCUCGAAGUCUGCUGUAGCAAACAAAUUUGGAUAAUGCUCCCGUAUCUCGGGCUCCGGCUCCCAAGUCCACUCGAAUCCAUUCCGAUACUGCCACUGUCACUUUACCAAAGGUAUCUCCUUGUUACGAAGUCUGAUACUGCCACUGUCACUUUACCAAAGGUAUCUCCUUGUUACGAAGUCUGAUACUGCCACUGUCACUUUACCAAAGGUAUCUCCUUGUUACGAAGAACCUUUAUCUUCGUUUCCAAAACAGCCACCAGCUUCUCAACAUCAUUCGGGCAUUCAUCAACAUGAAUGUCAUCUAACCACUACCGCAUCCUCGUCUAAUAUGCAUUUCCGUAAUUGCGAAACUGUAACACUCGGUUCCUGGUAUGUAUUUAAUUUAAAGUAAUUUCAUGUUUUUCUCUGGGACUCAGCGAGUUGGAGGUCCAAAUCGUCGAGUAGACUCGAUUUUGAUCGGGAGGUUUAGUGACCUACUCGACGAGUUGGGAGACCCACUCGAAGAGUAGUGCUGUCUGGAUGAAACCCUAAUAUUUAGUGUUUUACACCCUAUUUAAACAACUUAUUUUUGUCUAAACCCAGCCUCCAUCAUCCCUCCCAACUUAGAGAAACCCUAAAUCGAAACCCUAAACUUUUUUGAGUGUUCUUGAGCCAUUUUUGUGUGCUUGUGAAGCUUAAGAAGGAAGAAGGAGCUUGGAAGUUCGAGUGGAAGCUAGUAGAUCCAAAGGUUGUGCCCCAUUUCCAGCUCACUUGAGGUAUAAAUCUGAAACCUUGACCAUCUAUCUCUUAGAUCUCUAAUUAAGGUUCAUUUCUACCUUUUCUAAGCCUUAGAGGUGCCAUACUCGGAUUUUUUUUGGUUCAUUGAGGGUAUAGCUUCAGAUCUAGAACCAUUAGGGGUUCUUAUGGCAUAAAGUUGCCAACUUUAUUGCCAUAAGCACCCCAUGCAUCUUGUUGGCUUCAUUCUAGAGCCAUUUGGGCAAAAUACCUCAUGCAUGGACGUCAAGAUUGGAACUUUACGUAUAAUAUGGACCUUAGGAGGCUAGAUCUAUGAUUUGGAUGCAUUAAGACCGAUUAAAAUUGACAAUAUAGUUUUGGACAAAGAGGGACUCGACGAGUCACUUAGGUGACUCGGCGAGUCGGGUCGUAGUUUCCCCCCAAACGUCUUCUGGAAAUGGUCUUUAGUUGAGUUGGAGGAAAACUCAGUCUUUUGGGGUUUGUUAUGGACUUGAAGAUCGAAGGACUCGACGAGUUCAAGGAGGAACUCGAUGAGUUCAAGGCAAUGUCCCAACCACAUGAAGACGGACUCGACGAGGUCAAGGAGAACUCGGCGAUUCAUAGACUAAACACCUUCAAACGGAUGAAGAUGAACUCGACGAGUUCAAGGAUGAACUCGGCGAGUCAGUUGAAGAAGGUCCUGAUGUUUUGGUGAAGGUGAACUCAUCGAGCUCUUGCUAGACUCGACAAGUAAGGACGGGGUUGUAGCAUUUUGUGGACGUGGGGACUCGACGAGUUGGUGGACCAACUCGGCGAGUCUAGUCAACCAGAUGUUGACUUUGACCAAGGUUUCGACCUUGACUUUGCCUUUGACUUGAGUUGAACCUUGUAGGGGUUAUGAGUAUGAAAUGGUAAUGUAGAAAGGUUGUUGUGUAGGGAUUAAGGAGUCGAGAAGAGUUGAUUUCCAUACCAAGGACAGUGCAGACACUACAUGACAUUGAGGUGAGUUACCUUCUAGUAGUGGUGGGUCUACAACCACAAUGUCGGCCCACUAGCAGGGAAUGUCUUUAGAUGAUUGUCUUUGUGAUAGUUGUCUAGGUUUACUGCUACCUGAUGUCUUCUAUGUGGCAGUAUGAUAUGUUAUAUGCGAUAGUGGUGGUAGGAGGGGAAUAGUCCCCCGAUUCGGUCAUUAGGGCCGAAGGGUAGGUCGGACACCCCAUAUAUGUAUGACAACAUGAUUAUGAUAUGAUAUUAUGUGAUAGUGGUAGGGGUGAAACAGUCCUCGUGGCCGGUUGGGAUAGACCAGAGGGUAGGCAGGCACCCCAUAAUGGUCUGACACGGGUAGGUCAGCACACUAGAAUGGUUUGACACGGGUUGGUCAGCACCCCAUAAUGGCUUGACACGGGUAGGUCGGGCACGCCAGAAUUGCCCGACAGUAUGUAUGAUUGUAUGGUAUGUGGUAUGAUGGGGGAACUUACUAAGCUUUGUGCUUACAAUUUUUCAGUUUUUGUUUUAGGUACCUCUUUGUCUAAGGGGAAGAAGCCGGCAGGGUAGCAGCGCAUCGCACACACAUGAUUACACAUUUGAGAUUUCUAGGAUUGUACUAUGAUAUUAUUACUAUUUGACGAUAUGGUUUUCGGGACAUGUAACUGUGGUUUAUGAAUUAAUAUGAUAUCAGUAAUGUUUUCCUCCAACAAAUUGUUAUAAGCAGUAUAAUUGAAACAAAAAUUUUUGGUCUCGAUUUUUGGGAUGUUACAAGUUGGUAUCAGAGCCUUGGUUUGAGGGAUUCGGGCACACCUUCGGGGGUGCCUGGACUCAAAUCGAGGGCUUGAAAGAUUUUACAAGAAAAUAGUUUUCUAAAAUUUAAAAAUAAGGAUUUUUGAGAAAGAACAAGGUGUGUGAUGCGUGCGACCGCCCGAUCUCAAGUAAGUUUUCCCCAAGAUACCCAUGAAUGAUAUGUUAUAUGAUAUGAUUAUGAGAACUACAAGUUAGAUUAAGGCUAAAGAUCUAGGGAGGAUGCCUUGUAUGUCUUUUAUGUGAUUAUGAGAACUAAAUGGUAGAUUAGGGCUAAAGACAUAGGAAGAAUGCCUUAUAUGCCUGUUGUAUGAGCUUAUUGAGCUAUAUGCUAGGGCUGGUUAGUCAGCAGUACGAUAGCCUGAUUAGGUUAUGCUUAGUUAUGGUUACUCGAUGCACGAAUGCUGCCUGCUUUGUGCUUAUAGGGGUUCUAGUUAGCUUUAACAAACUAGUAAGUGAAUAUGUAAUAGUAUUUGCAAGCUAGUUAGGGAAGGGUAGUAGGGACUCCUUGUGCAGCUGAUGGCGGAGAGUAAGUCAGAGAGUACCCUAGGACAAGCCUAGGAUGAGAUUAGCUUGGAAAGCAAUAUUAGUGUAAGGGACUUGGUGAAGUCAAAGCAAUCCUUGAGGAAAGUACGGAUAGAUGUGGAUGGUAGUAUUGGCCUGUACUACUGGAAGCAUAGGAUCCAUACUCGAGUCAUGAGGGUCCGAGAUAGAACCAAAGAACUCGGAGAGUGUGUGAGACCUCUCGAGAGUAUGGAUGACCCUGAUGUUUAUGUGUUUUAUUUCAUAAUGGUGAUUACGCGUCAUGGAACAGGAGAUUUCGGGUUUGGAUCAGGAUCAAGAUAAGGAUCAGGCUCGGGUGCGGGAUCCAAGUAGGUUGAUGACGGGAUAUGCAGAUUCGUCGCGUCUGAGAUCAUGAGAGAUAUCCUUGAGGUGACCCUGGUCAUUUUCGGGUCGAUCAAGGAGGGGAUUAUUGAGCUGAUUGAGGAUAGCCUCUGGACAUUCAGGAGUGACUUGGCAUCCAGUCAGUCAGGGACGCGCAUACUAUCCUUCAAGGACUUCAGGGGGAGUGGUGCGCUAGACUUUUACGUGGUGAAAGGACCUUAUUUCUUCCAGGAGACGGAUCACAUACAUCGAGUCUGCGCUGUUGACAAGCUUCUGCUCGGAGGGGUCGACGGUUCGCUUUGCAGCGGGUAAUUUGAGAGACGGAGCUAGGGAUUGGUGGGAGUCAGUUGGUGAAUCACUGGGAGCCCCAGUCAUCGAGGCUAUGACUUGGUCGGACUUUGUGACCAAGUUUAGGUCUGAGUUUGCUCCAGCUAUGGAGCUUUAACAACUGGCUAGGGAGUUUCUUGACAUGAGACAGACUACUGAGACAGUGGCGGAGAUCACCGCCAAGUUCUGAGAGAGGGCCUUGUUGGUACCUCAGUAUGCAGGGGAUGAAGAAAUGCAGAAGACCCGCUAUAAUUACAUGUUGAGGGCUGAUAUUCGAGAGCAUGUCAGCUACUCAGCCUGCCCGACCCUGGAGUCCAUGAUUGCCAGGGCGAGGGAGAGGGAGAUUGAUUUAGAGCACAUCAGGAAGAGGAAGGAAUAGACAGAGCAGGUUACUGGGGUUUCGGGGAAGAAACCCAAGGGAUCCGACACUAGGUCGAAGGGCCAGCUGGGCCAGAUCCACUGCAUGAAAUGCGGCAGGCUGCAUGAAGGAGCUCGUAGAGCGGGAUCAUCAGGCUGCUACAAAUAUAGCAAGACGGGGCACUUUGGCAGGGAUUGUACUGCCCUCUGCCCCCACUAUUCAGACAUCAGACCUGAUUUUCUUUCAUUGGAUUUAGAGGGGCCAUAAAAAAGGCCAACUGCCCUAGGUUGACAGCAGCAGCAGCAGCGCCAAUGGUGGUGCCAACUCCAGUGACUACUCAGGUUACGGAUGGCCGGAAGGUCAAGUCAGAGGCUCCAGUGGUGAGGAUCCAAAGUUUCUAGUUGAAAGUCGAUGAGGCACGUGCCUCACCCAAUGUGGUGACGUGUAUGGUUUCCUCUCUCUAAAUUUUAUUAUAUGUUGCUUGUGAUAUUGAUGUGCAUUGUUAUAUGUUUUGUUUAGGAUCGUUCCAUGUGAAUUCAUGUGUUGUUUGAUUCGGGUGCUACCCGAUCAUUUAUCUCUCUUGCGCUUAGCAAGAGGUUCCUUGAGUCUUCAGGCAUGUUAGAUUGCCCUUUAGAGGUCAAGAUUGCGGACGACCGAUCAGUGCGAGCAUAAGAGGUUUUUAGGGAUUGUGUUUUAAGGUUGUUUGAGGAGCGCUACUUGGUAGAAUUGGUUCCCAUACCAUUGCAAGGGAACAAGGCUAUUAUAGGCAUGGAUUGGUUGAGCCCCAAUGGGGGCUGUGAUCGACUGCGCGCAAUAGUUGGUCCGGGUCAGGACCCUAAGUGGGGGAGAGUUGGUGAUUCAGGGCGAGAGGCCACAGCAUGGACCAGCUUUAUGUUCAACAGCGAGAGCUAGGCACUAUCUCCAGCAGGAGUGCGCAGGCUAUGUCGCCUAUGUCUUGGAUACCCAGGAGGCAGUUAAGGCGAUGGUGAGUGACGUAGCGGUGGUAUGAGAGUACACAAAUGUAUUCCCAAAGGAGCUACCUGGUAUACCUCCGGAGAGGCAUGUAGAGUUCAGGAUUAACCUAGUCCCAUGUGCGACCCUGAUAGCCAAGGCACCGUACCGGUUAGCUCCUCUUGAGAUGUAGGAGUUGUCUACACAGCUGCGGGAGCUGUUAGACAAGGGAUUCAUCAGAACGAGUAGUUCACCCUGGGGAGCCCCGAUUCUAUUUGUGAAGAAGAAGGACGGGUCGCAUCGGAUGUGUAUAGAUUACCGAGAGCUGAAUAAGGUAACGGUGAAGAACCGUUACCCAAUCCCGGGGAUUGAUGUUCUCUUUGACCAACUUCAGGGAACAUCUUGGUUCUCCAAGAUUGAUCUGCUUUCGGGUUAUCAUUAGAUGAAGGCCAGAGAGGAGGAUGUGCAGAAGACUGCUUUUCGGACACGAUAUGGUCACUAUGAGUUCGUGGUGAUGCCUUUCGGGCUCACCAAUGCUCCUGCCGUGUUCAUGGAUCUCGUGAACCGUGUGUGCGGACCGAUGUUGGAUCGGUCUGUGAUAAUUUUCAUCGAUGACAUCUUGGUUUAUUCUAAGACGCAGGAGCAACAUGAGGAGCACUUGCGAGAGGUGUUGGAUACUCUAAGGAGGGAGAGCUUGUAUGCCAAGUUCUCUAAGUGGGAGUUCUGGUUGCACGAGGUGCAGUUUGUUGGACACCUUGUCAACCAGAACGGGAUUUCGGUCGACCCGGCCAAAGUGGAGGCCGUGAUGAGGUGGGAGGUUCCGAGGUCUCCAUCUGAGAUUUGGAGCUUCUUGAGACUGGAAGGUUAUUAUCGGAGAUUCAUUCAGGACUUCUCCAAGAUAGCAGUGCCCUUGACCCGGUUGACAAGGAAAGUCGUGGUCUUUCGCUGGGGGCCUGAGCAGUAGGCCGUAUUUGAGACACUGAGACAGAGAUUAUGUGAGGCGCCAAUCUUAUCCCUGCCAGAGGGUGUGGAUGAUUUUGUAGUGUAUUGAGAUGUGUCCAUCUCAGGUUUAGGCACGAUAUGGAUGCAAAAGGGGCAUGUUAUCGCCUACGCUUCGAUCCAGCUGAAGCCUCAUGAGGCGAACUAUCCGACGCAUGAUUUGGAGUUGGGAGCAGUUCUUUUCGCCCUCAAGAUUUGGCGUUAUUACCUCUAUGGGGUCUGGUGUACCAUUUACACGGACCAUAAAAGUUUGAAGGACCUCAUGGAUCAGCCAAAUCUGAAUAAGAUAGCGUCGAUGGCUAGAUGUGGUGAAGGAUUACGAUUGUGAGAUCCUCUACCACCCGGGGAAGGCCAAUGUCGUGGCCGAUGUGCUUAGCCGCAAGGUAGCGCCGAUCAGAGAUAUUUGCUUGAGGAUGACCGUGGUGACUCCGUUGUUGGAGCGGAUUUGAGAGGCCCAUCAGGAGGCUAUGAAGGAGGAACAUCGCAAGAGUGAGCGUAUUGUGGGUCAGGUUUCCUCAUUCGAUUAUGAUAGCCAUGGAUUGUUGACACUACACCAUAGGGUGUGGGUUGCAUAUCAUGGAGGUGUGCGUCAGGUACUGAUGGAGGAGGUGCACAAAUCCAGGUUUUCCAUCCAUCCCAGGGCGACGAAGAUGUACAGAGAUCUUCGUCCUGAUUAUUGGUGGCCCUACAUGAAGCGGGAUGUAGCUUGGUAUGUUGAGAGAUGCCUGACCUACAGGAAGUUCAAGGCCGAGCACCAGAGGCCCCACAGCAAGAUCCAUUCGUUGGAUAUCCCGAUGUGGAAAUGGGAAGAUAUCACUAUGGAUUUCAUCACAAAUCUUCCCACGACCGCGUGGGGAGUGGAUUCGAUUUGGGUCAUCGUGGAUCGAUUGACCAAGAGCAUUUCGGCCGAAAGGUUGGCCGACAUCUACAUCAGAGAGGUAGAGGAUCGGCAUGGGGUACUAGUCUCGGUGGUUUCUGACAGAUAUGUGUAGUUCACUUCCAGAUUCUGGAAGAAGUUUCAUGACUCCCUGGGUACUCGUCUGCACUUUAGCACUGCUUUUCACCUGCAUACGGAUGGUCAGAGCGAGCGCACCAUCCAGACUUUGGAGGAUAUGCUGUGGGCAUGCUUUUUAGACUUCAUAGGUAGUUGGGAUACUUACCUUCCAUUGAUAGAGUUUUCCUACAAUAACAACUAUCACACGAGUAUCGACCGUCCUCCCUUUGAGAUGUUGUAUAGGAGGAAGUGCAUGACCCCGAUAUGCUGGGGUGAGGUUAGACAGAGGGUCAUGGGGAGUACCGAAGUGGUACUCAAGACUACAGAGAGGAUCCAACUGGUUCAGAGCAGGCUUCAGACUGCUCAGAGUCGGCAGAAGAGUUAUGCCGACAAGUGUCAUUCAGACCUGGAGUUCUAGGUUGGAGAUAUGGUGCUCCUGAAGGUGUCACCUUGGAAAGGUGUCAUUUGCUUCAGGAAUUGGGGAAAGUUGGGCCCCAGGUACAUUGGACCUUUCAGGGUUGUAGCCCGAGUGGGCAAGGCGGCUUAUAGGUUAGACCUGCCAUCCGAAUUCAGCCAGAUUCAUAGCACUUUUCAUGUCUCCUAGUUGCGGAAGUUUCUGGUAGACGAUUCAACAAUGGUGCCUUUCGAGGAUAUUCAGGUGGAUGACAGCCUGAACUACAUCAAGCGGCCAGUAGCUAUCCUCGUCAGGAAGUCGAGGGAUCUGAGGAACAAGAGGGUGGAGUUGGUAAGGGUGCAACGGCAGCACCACAAGGGCUCGGAAUUGACUUGGGAGUCGGAGGAAGAGAUGAGGGAGCACUACCCAUAGCUUUUUCCGAAUUCAGCAGCAGACUUCAAGGACGAAGUCUAAAAUAAGUAGGGGAGAUUUGUAGCACCCGGUUCCUGGUACGUAUUUAAUUUCAAGUAAUUUCAUGUUUUGCUCUGGGACUCGACGAGUUGGAGGCCCAACUCGUCGAGUAGACUCGAUCUUGACUUGGAGGUUUAGUGACCUACUCAACGAGUUAGGAGACCGAAUCGACGAGUAGGGUUGUCUGGAUGAAACCCUAAUAUUUAGGGUUUUGCACCGUAUUUAAACAACUUAUCUUGUCUCAACCCAGCCUCUAUCGUCCCUCCCAACUCAUAGAAACCCUAAAUCGAAACCCUAACCUUUUUUUAGUGUUCUUGAGCCAUUUUUGUGUGCUUGUGGUGAUUGUGAAGCUUGAGAAGGAAGAAGGAGCUUGGAAGUUCGAGUGGAAGCUAGUAGAUCUAGAGGUUGUGCCCUAUUUCCAGCUUACAUGAGGUAUAAAGCUGAAACCUUGACCAUCUAUCUCUUAGAUCUCUAAUUAAGGUUCAUUUCUACCUUUUCUAAGCCUUAGAGGUGCCAUACUCGGAUUUUUUUGGUUCAUUGAGGGUAUAGCUUCAGAUCUAGAACCAUGAGGGGUUCUUAUGGCAUAAAGGUGCCAACUUUAUUGCCAUAAGCACCCCAUGCAUCUUGUAGGCUUCAUUCUAGAGACAUUUGGGCCAAAUAACUCAUGCAUGGACGUCAAGAUUGGAACUUUAUGUAUAAUAUGAACCCUAGGAGGUUAGAUCUAUGAUUUGGAUGCAUUAAGACCGAUUAAAAUUGACUAUAUAGUUUUGGACAAAGAGGGACUCGACGAGUCACUUAGGUAACUCGGCGAUUCGGGUCGCAGUUUCCCCCCAAACGUCUUCUGGAAAUGGUCUUUAGUUGAGUUGAAGGAAAACUUAGUCUGUUGGGGUUUGUUAUGGACUUGAAGAUCGAAGGACUCGACGACUUCAAGGAGGAACUCGGCGUGUUCAAGGCAAUGUCCCAACCACAUGAAGAUAGACUCGAUGAGUUCAAGGAGAACUCGGCGAGUCAUAGACUAAACACCUUCAUAGAAAUGAAGAUGAACUCAACGAGUUCAAGGAUGAACUCGGCGAGUCAGUUGAAGAAGGUCACGAUGUUUUGUUGAAGGCGAACUCGUCGAGCUCUUGCUAGAAUCGACGGGUAGGGACGGGGUUGUAGCAUUUUGUGGAAGUGGGGACUCGAUGAGUUGGUGGACCAACUCGGCGAGUCUAGUCAACCAGAUGUUGACUCUGACCAAGGUUUCGACCUUGAAUUUGCAUUGGACUUGACUUGACCCUUGUAGGGGUUAUGAGUAUGAAAUGGUAAUGUAGAAAGGAUGUUGUGUAGGGAUUAAGGAGUCGAGAAGAGUUGAUUUCCAUCCCAAGGACAAUGCAGACACUACACGACAUUGAGGUGAGUUACCUUCCAGUAGAGGUGGGUCUACGGCCACAAUGCCGACCCACCAGCAGGGAAUGUAUUUAGAUGAUUGUCUUUGUGAUAGUUGUCUAGGUUUGCUGCUACCUGAUGUGUUCUAUGUGCCAGUAUGAUAUGUUAUAUGCGAUAGUGGUAGUAGGAGGGGAAUAGUCCCCUAAUUCGGUCGUUAGGCCGAAGGGUAGGUCGGACACCCCAGAUAUGUCUGACAGCAUGAUUAUGAUAUGAUAUUAUGUGAUAGUGGUAGGGGUGAAACAAUCCCCAUGGCCGGUUGGGAUAGAUCGGAGGGUAGGCAGGCACCCCAGAAUGGCCUGACACGGGUAGGUCAGCACCCUAUAAUGGCUUGACACGGGUUGGACAACACCCCAGAAUGGCUUGACACAGGUAGGUCGGGCACCCCAGAAUUGACCGACAGUAUGUAUGAUUGUAUGGUAUGUGGUAUGAUGAGGGAAAUCAAUAAGCUUUGUGCUUACGGUUUUCAGUUUUGGUUUCAGGUACCUCUUCGUCUAAGGGUAAGGAUCCGGCAGGGUAGCAGCGCUUCGCAUACACAUGAUUCCGCAUUUGAGAUUUCUGGGAUUAUACUAUGACAUUAUUACUAUUUGACGAUAUGGUUUUCGGGACAUGUAACUAUGGUUUAUGAAUUAAUAUGAUAUCAGUAAUGUUUUCCUCCAACAACUUUUAUAAGCAAUAUAAUUGAAACAAAAAUGUUUGGUCUCGAUUUUUGGGAUGUUAUUGAAACAUGGAAAGUGUUAUGAAUCUAACGGAGCUCCUUCGGAAUGUCCAGUCUAUACGUCACCUUGACAACCUUGGCAAUAAUCCGAAACGGUCCAAUAUACCGGAGACCCAACUUUCCCCUCUUCCUGAAGCGGGUCACACCCUUCCAGGGUGAUACCUUCAGCAACACCAUAUCGCCGACCUAAAAAUCCAACUCGGAUCGGCAUAAAUUUUCUGCUAACUCUGAGCAGUUUGCAAUCUCUGCCUGAUCUGCUGAAUCUUCUUGGUAGUCUACAGAACCACCUCGGUCUGUCCUGUGACCCGGUGACCAACCUCACCCCAACAGACUGGGGAACGACAUCCCCGCCCAUACAACAACUCGAAAGGUGGACCACCAAUGCUGGAAUGAAAGUUGUUGUUGUAGGAUAACUAUGCAAGGGGUAGGUAGGAGUCCCAUGUCCCGUCAAAAUUAAUGAUGCAGACCCUCAACAUAUCCUUGAGGGUCUGGAUGGUCCGCUCGCUCUGGUCGUAUGUCCGCGGAUGAUAAGCAGUGCCAAAAUGCAGUCUCGUGCCCAAUUCCUCAUGAAACUUUUGGCAGAAAAAGGAGGUGAAUCGAACAUCACGGUAUGAGACAAUAGAGACCGACACCCCGUGUAAAGCAACGAUAUCGCGGAUAUACACAUCAGCCAACUUCGACUGAAGAACUCUCCCGAAUUUCCAGAAAUAUGGUGCUCUUGGUCAUUCUAUCAACGAUGACCCAUAUAGCAUCAUAUCCCUUCGGCGUCCUCGACAACUUGGUGAUAAAGUCUAUCGUGAUCUGCUCCCAUUUCCAUAUGGGAACCUCCAAAGGCUACAUCUUGCUAUGCGGCCUCUAAUGCUCGACCUAGACCAUCCUGCACGUCAAGCACCUCUCGACGUACCAAGCGAUCUCUCUCUUCAUGCAUAUCCACCAGUAACUCAACCUUAGAUCCCAAUACAUCUUGGUGGCUCCCGGGUGAAUAGAGAAGCGAGACUUGUGAGCCUUCUCCAGCACAAUCUGUCUAACCCUGCUAGACACCAGAACCCACACCUGACCGCAACGGGUCAACAACCCACGACUGUCCUGAAAAAAUUCGAUGAUCUCACUCAUGAACCUCUCAAUCUUCCAAUUUUCCUCUCGUACUCCCUCGUCCUAAGCCUCUCUAGUCAAUCCCACUAGUGUGGAGUCCAUGGAAAUCCUCAUACAUGUCGUCGGAACAGCAAGUCCAGCUGACUUGCGGCUCAGGGCGUUCGCCACAGCAUUCGCUUUACCCGGAUAGUAAAGGAUCUCGCAGUCAUAAUCCUUAACUAUAUCCAGCCAUCUGCGCUGCCUCAUGUUGAGGUUUGGAUGAUCCAUAAUGUGUCUCAAUCUCUUGUGGUCCAUGUAGAUGGUACAACGGACCCCGUAGAGGUAAUGCCUCCAGAUCUCGAGGGAGAACACAAACACUCCCAACUCAAGAUCAUGUGUAGGAUAUCUCGUCUCAUGCGGCUUCAACUGUCGUGACACAUAGGCUAUCUCUUGUCCUCUCUACAUGAGGACCGCUCCUAAUUCGGUGAUGGACGCAUAACAGAAAACUACAAAAUCCUCAACUCCCUUAGGGAGUGUCAAAAAUGGAUCCUCGCAAAGUCGUUGUCGGAGGGUCUCAAAUGUUGUCUGCUGCUCAGGUCCAUAUUGGAAAUCCACCCCUUCCUCGUCAGACGAGUGAGGUAUACUGCAAUCUUGGAGAAAUCUUGUAUAACUCUCUGGUAGUACCCUGCCAAUCCCAGAAAACUCCUGAUAUACGUGGAAGAUUUCGGAACCUCCCACAGCAUCACUGCCUCGAUCUUGGCCGGAUCGACCAAAAUCCCCUCCUGGUUAACGAGAUGUCCAAGGAAAUGAACCUCUCACAACCAAAACUCAUAUUUCGAGAACUCGGCAUAAAGUCGUUCUCACCUCAACAUUCCCAAAAGCUCGCGGGGAUGCUCCUCAUGCUGCUCUCUGGUCUUGGAAUACACCAAGAUAUCGUCAAUGAACACAAUAACUGAGUGAUCGAGCAUCGGCCUGCAUACCUGAUUCAUCUAGUCCAUGAAUACUGUCAGCACGUUGGUGAGCCUAAAUGGCAUCACCUCGAACUCGUAAUUUCCAUAGCAAGUCCGGAACGCAAUCUUCUCCACGUCCUCCUCUGUUACCCUGAUCUGGUGGUACUCGGACCUCAGAUCUAUCUUGGAAAACCAAGAUGCUCCAUGUAAUUGAUCAAAAAGGUCAUCUAUCCGUGGAAGGGGAUAACGGUUCUUCACUAUCAACUUAUUCAGUUCCGGUAGUCAAUCCACAUCCGGUGUGAACCAUCCUUCUUCUUGAUGAAAAGGAUCAGCGCUCCCCAUGGAAAACUGCUCGGACAUAUGAACUACUUACCUAGAACUCCUCCAUCUCAGGCGGUGUCAAUCGAUACGACACCUUGGCAAUAGGGGCCGCAUCUGGCAAAAGGUCGAUCCUGAACUUGACCUGCCUCUCAGGAGGUAUUCCGAGUAAUUCCUCCAGGAAUACAUUGGUGAACUCUUUGAUGACUGGAACCUAUGAAACCAAGACUUGAUCCCCAACCCGCGUAUCCACCACAUACGCCAAAUAACCUGCACACCCGUGCUGAAUAUAUUGUCGAGCCGUAGUGGCUGAGCAAAACCCUGAACCCAACCUGGUGCCCUCACCAUAGAUUACCAGUUCUCCCCCACUUGGGGUUCAAACUACCACACGCUGACCUUCGUAGUCGAUCAUAGCACCGAAACGACUCAGCCAGUCCAUACCCACUAUAACGCAAACAUCCCCCAUGGGAAUCGGAAUCAAGUCAAUUGGAAAAGACACCCUGAAUAUCUCUAGAACGCGACCCCGAUAAACUGAUCAAGCAUAAAUUCCAUGUUCGUUGGCAAUGGAGACUCGCAACGGACACUCUAGCUCACCUAAAGGCAAACUGAACUCCCUACUAAACGAUCAAGAGGCAAAUGACCGACUCACCCUCGAUUCAUACAAUACAAGAGUAGGCAAUGAAUUCACUAAAAAUGUACCAGCCACAACAUCUGGUGUAGUCCAGGCCUCCUCGGCAGUAAGCUGGAAAACAUGACCCCUAGCCUUCGGGGGAUCCGCUCUACCCUGACCCCCGUUAGUGAUCCGCAGAGUAGACGGCGUUAGAACUUGGAUCGGUUUGGCAGCUAGUAGGGGACAUUGGGCCUUCAUAUGGCCCACCUGCUUACAAUGGUAACAAAUCCUGACGCUAGAAGUUGGAGUCUGCUGCCUACAAUCCCUAGCAAUGUGGCCAUGCUUGCCAUACUUGUGGCACCCUAAAGAAGAUCAAAAAAACCCAAUCAUGCACCUUGGCGCACUUCCCACAAGUGUGAUCCCUCUGACUCCCCUUCCUGGAGUCAACGGACGUAAACCGUUUCGGCGCAGGCUGAGACUGCGUUGGAGCCUGCCACCGCUCCCUCAACUGAAGCUCAAUCUAUAACUCACGCCACCUGGAGGCCUCCUGUAACUCCAUCAAAGUAUCACAUCUGUGAUUGGACACGAAAUGUCUGAUGUCCGUCUUGAGCAAUCUCAGAUAUUGGGUCAAUUGAUCAUGUUCAGAAGCAAACUCAGGGCAAAACAUCGCCCUCUCAGUAAACAUCCAGGCGAUCUCCAUCACCGACUCCGUACCUUGUCUCAGAUCCAAAAACUCCUGAGCCAUCCUCUCACGCUCAACCUUAGGAAUAUAGCGAGUGCGGAACAUCUCCCUAAACUGAUCCCAUGACACUACAGCUCUCUACUCGUUAGAAUACGACCCCGUAAUCAAUCUCCACCAAUCCUUCGCUCCGAACCUCAGCAGUUUCAGAGUGCACCUGACCUUCUGGUCAGUAAGGCAGGAACAAGUGAAGAAACAUCCCUCCACAUCAGAUAACCACCUCAUGGCUACAAUCGGGUCCUAAAAUCCAUCGAAAGUUGGGGGCUUCAUGUUAUCGAAGUCCCGAUACUGAAACACCCGUCCUGGCCUAACAAUCACAGCCGCCAUAGUUGUAGAGGUUGCAACAACAGCAUUCUCAGCUAUGGCUGCAUAUCUGUCAUCAAAGUACUCCAUCAUUGCGGUCUUGAUAGACCCAAACAUCUCUGUAAUCUGUCCCCGAACAAUCUCAACCACCUCCUUACGGAUGAUCUCUCUGACGCGAUCCUCUGUCAAUGCUGGCCUAUCCUGGGUGACAACUCCCGAUCCUGGCCGGGAUCUGGUCUCAAAUCGCCUCGUAGUCACCAUACUGAAAAUAUAACAGGAAUAUAUCAGACAUUCCAUGGUAAUAAUGGGGAACCAACUCCUAAUAAAACCCUAGGGGUUGUGACUUCCUUGCUAUGCAUAUGGGUCCUGUGCUUUUAGUAAUACGGGCCUAUACUACCUUCCACACCUACCCAUAUUUGUCUCAAGGAUCAUCACACCCCCUAGCAAUAUACAUAAGCAUAGGCGAGCGCUCAAUCCUCACUCCUAGAGGAACGCUAAACAUCUCACAACUGGCCGACUGACCUCGCACAAAUCAUCCAUGAAACUUCCACCAACCCUGCAGUGUAUGCUAGCCAUACAUAACAUUGGACUUUAUAGACAUUCGAAUAUCCGAUCCUACCCUAAGCCCUUCAUCAAACAAGAACAUGAAAUAAGGAAAAACCAAACAUUCACGGGCUAUAAGAUCUUAGUUAUAUACAACCGUGAUGCACACACUAAGCAACUACAGUAAUGAUGUCAAUUUCAUAUAAGGAAAACCCUAAGCUAACAUGCAUCAUAUAAUCAGGAAAUUCUAUCAUGCAAUUUCUGAAGAUCCCUAGACUAUCACUAGCAUACUAUUUUGACAUAUCACAAUAUCAAAUAACAAUAUGGUAUUUUGGGGUCUACUUACUGGCUCCGGCUGAUCGUACACAUUACAACCUCCUUUAGUAUUUUGAAAAUCUUUUCCUUAGUUUGAGACUGGAUUCACACAAGUGUUCCUCCAAUUCACUAAAACAAAGGAUCUGAUACCAACUUGUAAUAUCCAUACAAUUCAUGAAAAGUUUUAAAUUUUUUAACAUUCCAAAACCAUCCAUUGUUUAUAAAUUGUUUUCAAAAUAGUUUAACAUCAUAGAAAUCCUAGAAAUCAUAACAUAAAAUAUGAGGAGGUGCACGAUCAAGCCUUUGCCUUCCUGCGAUCAUCCAAUGUACCUAAAACUAAAUCCACAACUGUAAGACGAAAGCUUAGUGAGGUCCCCCAAAAUACUCGCACAAUAAUAACACACAUAUAAUAACAACAUACUAUGGGCCCAAUCAACCAUAGGGUUGGGAUGCCCCACACCCUCAACCAUCGGGUUGGACUGCCAACAUACUACGGGUCUAAUCAUCCUCGGGAUGGUAUACCCUUAUCCCACAACCAUUAGGUUGGAAUGCCCACAUACUCUUAGUCUAAUCAUCCUCAGGAUGGAAUACUCUUGGCCCACAACCAUCGGGUUAGAAUGCCCACAUACUAUGAGUCCAAUCAUCCUCAGGAUGGAAUACUCUCUGUCCACAACCAUCGAGUUGGGAUGCCCACAUACUAUGAGUCCAAUCUGUUGGAUAAGGUGUCUAAGCCCAUAACUAUAAUUGGUAUGUACUUGACCCGAUAGUAGCAUGGUCCUUUUGGGUUGCCUUCACCGGAGCAAUUUGAUAGGAUGGAUAUUUGAGAAAGAGGUUAUUUGUGAUUUAUUAAUAUAUUAUAAGAAUAAUAUAUUAAUUGAGAAAUCAUAUUAUUUAAUGGGUAUUGAUCAAGAAUUAAUUUGGAAUUAAUUUAGUGAACAAAAGAGACUGAUUAAAUUAGUCGGAACUGCAUAAGUAAAUCAGUAAUACAUAUAGUUUGGGCUAAUGAUCCAUGUUGAUUAGGAUUGAUUAAUUUUAUGUGGGAGUCCAUGAAGAGUUAGUCCAAAGGGCUUAUCAGAUGGAUUGUUGCACUAAAGGCCCAAGGAAGUGAAUUAGGGUUUACAAGUGAAACCUUAGGAAUUCCACACUAUAAAUCUAACCACUAACAUCACCAAAAGGGCCCCUAAGAGUUCCAAGAUGAACCCUAGCCGUUUUGGUGCCUCCUAGCCUCUUUCUCAUUAUCCUCUAUUUGCUUAUGGUGUUUGUGAUACAUUAAAGGCAUCACAUUUGAGGUGCUAAGCUCUUGUAAGACCAAGUUCUACAAGCUACAAGAAAGAGGUAAUCAUCUAACUAGUUUUUAUGUUUCAAAUAUCAAAAUUGUAUGCUAGUUGUGGGUUUCAUGCUUUGGAUAAUUUUAUUGCAUGUAUAACGUGAGAAAACGUAGAUCCAAAGCAUUAGGGUUAUAUGUGCACGAUAGGAUUGUUAUAGUGCUCAAAACCCGUCAGUAGUAUCAGAGCCUAGGGUGUUUUCUGUUAUAUUGAUGCAUUGGUAAUUGUUCAAAGCAAGGAAAUCGUUUUUUUUGGAAUCUGCCUGAUGACCACGACGUGGUGACGGUUCAAUGGACAUAUUCUCAAGUUUUGGAUUAGAAUCUUUACCACAAACUAUUUUGACUGAUAAAAAAAUCGUUUUUUUUAUGAUAAAGUACUGACUAUCUUCAUCCAAAUUCAAAGAUAAUUGUCAAAAUUUUAAGAUAAUUGCUAGUUGAUAUGAUAAACUCAUUAUUUGUAUUAUUUGAUUUGAAAUUAUCUUGCUAUAUGAAUCGAAAGAGGUGAAAUUGAUAAAAGGUAAAAUUAUAUGAUUAUUUUAUUAGUUUAAAAUUUGAUCUAAAUGGUUUUAAAUAGUUUUAAAACUUGCCUUCAAGUUUUGGAAUUCAAAAGAUUUUAAAGGUUUCAAAACUUGCCCUCAAGUUUUGGAAUUUGAUAAGUCUCUUUUAUGGAACUUUAUAUUCUAAGUUAUGGAUUUCAAAAUGUUUUGAAGAGUUUCAAAACUUGCCCUCAAGUUUUGGAACUUGAAAAGUCUCAUUUAUGAAACAUUAAAUCCAAAAUCCAUAGUAAUUUGAAAAUGUUCAAACAAUUGCACCUCUUGGUUUUGUAACUUAAAAUUUAAUUAAAAGGCCUUAAUUUUGAAAUCUUAAAUUUAGAACCUUGAUAUUUUGAAUAGUUCAAAUUACAACCUUAUGGUUUUAUUAAAUUAAUUAAGUGUUAAAUUAUAAGAGACAAUUUAUAAAUCCAUAAUGAUAUGGUUUAAGUUCAAUUAAAUUAAAACUCUAAUUUAUUAACAAAUUUAAUCACUUAGUAUUUUAAAUAUUUAAAAUACACCCUUAUACCAUAUAAAAUUAAAAGUCUAAUAUAUUAUAUAUGUAUAAGUUAAAAGUCAGUCUUACCUUUACUAUGACUCAUUCACGAAGCUGGUAUAUAAGGGGUGUUUAAGGAAGUGGCCUAUAAAUGACCGCCAUUGGGUAUACACUCUUACCCACCGCACCCUUGACCAGUGGAGGAUCGUUAGCCGAACGGGUUUGAUAGGACAUUUAAAUCCUCAUUAAAAGUAUAAUGGAAUAUAAAGUAACUAAAUCUUUUAUAAAUUCCCAUUUUUAGUUACUUUAGGAAAAAUGUGAAUUUGAUGUUAACCCAUGAAAUUGCACAUUGCACCUUAUUAGUCGUUAGUGGAGCGUGUGUGGUUAACCGGCACACUAAUAAGAGACUAAUGAAGGAUGACAAUGGGUAGCUCGUAGGUUAUCAUAGAUCAAUGGAGCAUGUGUGAUAAAUGACUUCGAGAGUUUGUGAUCCUCGGUAUCCCAGUCACAAACUUGAGAGGGCAUAAUCAAGAUUAAACAUGCCAUUGAAAAGUUCAAUGAAUCUCAAAAGAUCUAGGAGUUUCAUUUAAAACCUAAUUCGUGUAAAAUUUCGUUUUUGUGGUGGAAUUGGUAAAUCGUCAUUUAUCAACCGACAAAUAGUUUACAAUUAGAUUACGACAUCCUUCUUCUAAAUUAUGAAUUAUUGUGUUGGGUCAUAGACUUAAUAUUUUAUGUGGGUGUUAUAUUAAGGAUUAAAUCAACUUACUUGAAUUUCUCCCCUUGUAGAUGUCUAGUUUGUACAACUAUAGUCUUCCUUAUCCUUUAGGAAAAAGCUUUCCUCAUGAAGAUGAUGUUCCACAUUUCAAUCGAGGAACUAGAAAUCAUUCUUCACUUCCUCCACAUCCUCAAAUAAUUCUCCAUGACCCACAUGUUCGUCGACUUGAAAAGUUCAAGGUCACUCAAGCCCUAUUGACCAGUAAACAUGAAGAUGGAAAGUCUGUAUGUGCUCACAUCUUGGAGAUGAAGUUGCAUAUUGACAGGCUGGGAAUGUUGGGUGUCACUUUCCCGAGGAAGUUGGCUGUUGAAUUCGUUCUUUAGUCACUUCCCAAGUCGUAUGGUCAGUUUGUUAAAGACUACUAUAUAACAGAUCACAACGUGACCCUAAUUGAUCUUGCAUAUUUGCUAAUUGUUGCUGAAUCAACAAUGAUUUGGCGCACUAGUCAAGUGAAUUUGUUUGGAAGAUCUACAUCCCAAAUUGCCAUGGACAUAGGCAAUGGCAUAGACAUCCCAUAAAUGAUUUCUUCUCCUAAGGGAACCGAAUUGGUCAUGGUCAAAAGAUUUGACCAUAAGAGAAAACCCAGUUCUGAGAUAGUUUCAUGUGCGAAUGCCAAAUAGUCCACUUGUUUCUACUGCUAUUUAAAGGGACAAUGGAAGCGAAGCUGCCCUGACUACCUGAAAGAUAUAAGAGAGGGUAAAAUCAAAUUGUAUGGUUCUACUCCAGGUAAGUCUAUUAUCUAACUCUAUUAAGUUCCUAUUUAUAGAUUCUUAAUACAUGAUGUGAUAAGAUUGCAUUUUGAUGUUUUGUAGGAUUGAAGAAAAGAAAGGAAGCUUAAAAGGAAGAGUGAGUUAUGUCUGGUCGCGAAGAGAUGGAUUUCGAUCGCAUGGUUCGAUGAUCAAAAUUUUGAACUGCUACUUAGGAGCUAUGAUAGAUUGCUUAUGAAUAUUUAAAAACAUAGUUUUCAUAUGUAUCUGCAUUGUAAGGACAAGUUUUUUGCAUUUUUAUAGAUAAAGAAAAAUCUUGAUUUUGUCUUAUUUUAUAUCAUCCUUGCAAUGACAUUGGUGAAAAUUGGUGUUUAUAUAUUAUUAGCAAUAUUGGAAAUGAAGUUGAUUCUUGUGGAAAUGCAAUAAUUUACCAAAUAAGGAAGGCUUCUCAUCAAUCAAGUAUGCCUGAUAGUAUGGUUAUGUUAUGUUGUUAUGUGGUAGUAGUAGGGGCGGAAUAGUCCCCAUAACUGGUUAAGAUAAACUGGAGCGGUAGGUCGGACACCUCGAUAUGUAUGACAGGGAUAGGUUAGGCACCCUGGUAUGCCUAGCAGGGGUUGGUUGAGCACCCCAGUAUGCUCAGCAGGGUAGGUCGGGCACCCAAAUAUGCUUGGCAGUAUGCUAUAGUAUGGUAUGUGGUAUGAUCGGGGAACUCACUAAGCUUUGUGCUUACGGUUUUCAGUUUCUGUUUCAGGUCCUUCUUCUUCGAAGGGAAAGGAGUCGACACGGUAGCAGCGCAUCACACAUAUGAUUCUCCGUACCAGAGAUUCUUGGGAUCUGUACUCUGACACUAUUUCUAUUUGCUGAGAUGGUUUGAGACAUGUGACCUAUGGAUUUUAUAAAAUGAAGUAACUUGAUGAUGUUUUCUAUAAACUGUUUUACGAAUAGUUACAUUAAAAUGAAAUUUUUGGUUUGUAUUUUUGGGAUGUUACAAGUUGGUAUUAGAGCCUUGGUUUGAGGGAUUCAGACACACCUUCGGGGGUGUCUGGACUCAAAUCAAGAGUUUGAAAUAUUUUUACAAAGAAAAUAGUUUUUCUAAAAAUUAAAAUAAAGAUUUUUGAGAAAGAACAAGGUAUGUGUGGUGCGUGCGAUCGUCCGAGCUCAAGUAAGUUUCCUUAAGAUGCCCAUACAAGUUAUGUUAUGAUUAUGAGAACUGUAUACUAGAUUAGGGUUGAGGGUCUAGGAAGGAUGCCUUAUACGCCUAUUAUAUGUGUAUGAGAACUGCAUGCUAGAUUAGGCUAAGGAUCAAGGAUGAUGCCUUAUGUGCCUGCUAUAUGUGCUUAUUGAAUUUCAUGCUAGAACUAAUUAGUCAGUGAUAAGAUGGCCUGAAUAGGAAAUGCUUGGUUUUUUUUACUCAAUGCUCAAAUGUUGCUUUUUUGUGCUUUUAGGAGCUCUAGUUAUCUUUAACUAACCACUAAACGAAUACGUUGAGUUACAUAUUGCGAGGACUAAAUAAUUUCAGAAGGUUAGGUGUAGCCCUAUUUCGCAGCUCUUGUUUGAGUCCAACCGUUGUAGGCUAGGACUUCUCAUUCGAAGAAUAAUCUGGUCUGAGUGAUAUGUAAUGGUAUUCGCGAGCUAGUUAGGUAAAGGUAACAUGAAAUUCUUAUGCAGAUGAUAGCGGAGAGUAGGUCGGAGAGUUUCCCUAUGGUAAGCCUAGGAUGAGAUUAGAGCAGUGAGCAGAAGUAGUAGAAAAGACUUGGUGAGGUCGAGGCAAACCUUGAGGAAAGUACAGAUAGAUGUAGAAGGUAGUAUGGGCCUGUACUAUAGAAAGAAGAGGAUCUGUACUCGAGUCAAGGAGGGUCGAGAUAGAACCAGGAAACUUGUAGAAUGUGUGAGACCUCUCGAGGUUAUGUAUGACCCUGAUGAUUAUGUGUUUUGUUUCAGAAUGGUGGUGACACGUCACGGAGCAGGAGGUUCGGGGUUUGGGUCAGGAUCAGGUUCAGGUUCGUGUGCAGGUUCCAAGCCAGUUGAUAACAGACUACGCGAGUUCAUCACGUUUGAGAUCACGAGGGGCAUCCUUGAGGCGACCCCGGUGAUUUUCGGGUCGAUCAAGGAAGGGAUUAUUAAGCUGAUGGAGGAUUGCCUUAAGGCCAUUCGAAGUUGUUGGAUUAGGUGUCUAAGCCCAUAACUACAAUUGGUAUGUACUUAACCCGAGAGUAGCAUGGUCCAUUUGGGUUGCAUAACACCGGAACAAUUUGUAAGGAUGAACUUUUGAGAAGAGGAUAUUCAUGAUUUAUUAAUAUAUUAUAAGUUCUAAUAUAUUAAUAUAAAAUCAUAUUUAAUUAGUAUUGAUCAAGAAUUAAUUUGGAACUAAUUUUGUGAUCAAAAGCGACUAAUUAAAUAUAUGGGGUUGAUCUGGUAAAAUCAUUCAUUCUUAUGGUGUGGGCCAAUGAUCUUUGAUUCCUUAGGUUGGGCUAAACCCAUGUGACAACCCAUGGAUGAUCCAUGGAGGUUUAAACCCAUGGAGCCUAAGGAAUAUGGAAGGUCAUGCACGUUAAGGUUUACAUGUUGUAACCCUAGUUUUUCCACACUAUAUAAGAAACCCAUUAGCUCCAAAAAUUGGCACCCUAGUGCUCUUGGAAUAGCUAUAGCCGAUUUUAGAGUACAAGUAUUCUCUCUCAAGUCAUCCAUUGUUGGUGGUGCUGUGUGAUUCCAUUUGAGGUGCAACACUUGGGACACUAAGUUCUUACAGGCCAAACUCAAGAAGUUCUACAAGCUGCAACAAAGAGGUAAUUCUAUAACUCAAUUCCAUGUUGUUUAUAUCAUUUUGUAUACUAGUUGUAGGCUUAAUGCUUUGGAAACAAUAUUGUAUGUAUAAUUAGAGAAAACAUAGAUCCAAAUCAUUUAGGGUUGUAUGUGCACCAUAGGAUGUUGUAGUAUACAAAAACCCGUCAGGAGUGACAUGACGUCAAGCCAGUCAGGGACAUGCACACUCUCUUUCAAGGACUUCAACGGAUGUGGUGCACCAGACUUCCACGGGGUGAAGGACCCCAUCAUGGCCAGGAGGUGGAUUGCAGACAUGGAGUCUGCUAAGCUGACGAGCUUCUGCCCUGAGGGGUCGAAGGUCCGGUAUGCUGCAGGUUGUUUGAGAGACCGAGCUCAAGAUUGGUGGGAGGCGAUCAGUGAUUCCUUGGGAGCCCCAGCCAUUAAGGCUAUGAAUUGGUCGGAAUUUGUGACUAGGUUUAGGGUUGAGUUUGCACCGGCUGUGGAGCUUCAGCAGCUAGCUAGGGAGUUUAUGGAUAUGAGGCAGACGACUGAGUCGGUGGCGGAGAUUACCGCCAAGUUUAGGGAGAGGGCCUUACUGGUGCCUCAGUACGCAGGGGAUGAGGAGAUGCGGAAGACCCGCUAUCAUGACAUGUUGAGAGCUGACAUUCGGAAACAUGUCAGCUACCCGGCAUGCCCAGCAUUAGAUGACAUGAUUGCAAGGGAGAGGGAGACGGAGAUUGACAUAGAGCAUAUCAGGAAGAGGAAGGCGGAGGCUGUGAGGGUUACUGGGGUUUCAGGGAAGAAACCCAAAGGGUUUGACUCUAAGUCGAAUGGCCAUUAGGGCCGGAGCAGCUGUGGGAGGUGCGGCAAGCCAAAUGAGGGCGUUUGUAAAUUAGGGUCAUCGGGUUGCUAUAAGUGCAAUAAGACUGGGCACUUUGGCAAGGAUUGUACUUCCCCUACCCCCACAUUUUUUGCUAUAUUCCUCUUGAAGUUUUCAGUCUUAACUGAAGCUGACACAUGGAUUUGGCCAUACUGAGCAGGAGUUUUUCCUUACUGGUCUCAAAGGGUGGGUUAUAGUUGUCAUUAAAGGGAGGUGGAACACUAUUAUACCUUAGACCCUUACUUUGAUUAUCUUUGAACUUUAUUUGUUUUUCAGUCAUGGAUGCAACUACCUCACUUGACACAUCAAAUUUCUUAAAACAUGAAUCCUGCAUCAUUAUAUUUAACUUUCAAUGCAUCAAGUUCGGCAGUUAAUUCAGCAAGUUGUCUCUUAACAUAGUCAUAGUUUUCACAUUUGUUGCUAUAUUCCUCUUGAAGUUUUCAAAAAUCCUUAAUUUUGGCCUUUAGUUGUGUUUUUAAGGGUUUUUGGGCCUUCCUAAGAGUAUAUCCUUCAUAUUUAAGGUCCUCAUUUUCCCUUUUUAGUAAAUCAUUUUGUUCACGAAGAAAUUUAAUUAUAGCUUCACAAGAUUUAGAACAUGAAACUUCAUUGACCGGGAUUUUAAAAAAAAUUGCCCUUUGACUUACAACCUCAAAAGUCAACCUUAAAAGUCAAGCUUAAAAGUCAAACUUAAAAGUCAAAUUUGAAAAGUCAAACUUAAAAGUCAAACCGAAAAGCUAAAAGUGAAAAUUUGAAGGUUAAAGAGAAAGUCAAAAUUUAAAGUCAAAGUCAAAAUUUUAAGGUCAAAAGUCAAUUUAGGAGGUAAAAAAUUAAAAGUCCAAGUUUUUGGUAGAAAAUGGAAUUUUAAAAUUCAAAAAAUUGAAUUUUGGGCCAAAAAUGUCAAAAUUGCAAAACUAGGAUCAAAAUAGUGAGGCUAUUUGAUCAAAAUUGGGAAGGCAUUAAGCAUCAGGCAUGGUAGAUGGAUUGGUAAGAGCGUUGGCUGAGUAUGCAUGGGACCCGGGUUCGAAACCUUACACUCCCUGAAAUUUUUGAAUAUUGGCCGCGAAUGCGAAGGCUGAAUCCGAACUCGAGCUGGGCCGAAAACCUGCUGGGCGAGAACGUAUGUGAGACCGAAAAGAGUUGAGGCUGAAAAUGACGAGGUCCGAACACGUGCGCAGCCGAGAACUAUCCGAACCGAAAACCUUCGAAGACGAAAACGGAUAUCGGCUGUAAACACUUCGGGCCGAAAACUCAAACGCUCCUCCUGACCGCAAACGUGAUUUCGGCUGUAAACUGCGGAACCGCUAAUCAUUUUCGGCCGCAAACCCUUCGCAGAUUACGAACAAAAACAAUGUUUUCUCACCUUUUUAGCUCCAAAACUUGAUCAAAAACUCAUUUUAUGAAAAACUCGAAGAACAAACCCCCAAUAUUUCUUCAAAAACUAUCCAAAAACAUAAAAUCCUUCAGGAAAAAGUGCAAAAACGCUCCAGAUCUUGCAAAAAUGAUUGAUACAAUCCAAGCUCUGAUACCAACUAUAAGUCCCUAAUUUUGUUUGAUGUAUCAAUCAGAUCCAAUUGAUGGUGCGUAAUCCCAAUCAAUUGGAUGAUGCAAGAUCAAAAUGAAGAAGAAGGAGAAGAAGAAGAUGAUGAACUUGAUGAAUCUUCAAUGUUUAUAUGAUUAGAAUGAUGUUCCAACACAAGAUUCACACACACAUAUACAAGUUCUCUCACUUUCUCUCUCUAGAAUAUGCUCCACUAAACAAAGGCUUCCCUCCUCCACUCUCCUAACCGAAAAUGCCCCUCCCUUACUAAUGAUAUAGCCAACUUCUGCUCCUCACUUUUACAUCUAUAUUUAUACUAAUGGACUAAAACCCAAGGCCCAAACCGAAAACCCAUGAGUUUUCGGUUCAAACUACAAUUACACAAAAUAAUAUUUUCGGCCCAAGACUAAAAAUAAUAAAUUCUUAGAAAAGCAAAGUAUAAACCAUAUUUUUGACCCAACAUCAAUUAACAACUAAAAGAGGAACAAAAGACAACUAGAUUCAAUCAAAUUAAAGAGACUUCUGUUUAGAUUCGAUUCACUUAUUCCUAUGGUGGAUUUCGUGGCAAGUGCAAUGGAUUAAUAUAUCAAUGGUUACCGAUUUCUAAUAUGAUUAGGUUCAUGUUCACUAUUACUAAUCCUUUAGCAAACAAGUUAAUUUAAACAAUGAUUAGUUGAUUAAACUAAUAGGUUUCCUAGUGUUCAGUUUGGAUCAAGUAAGACUUGUAAUAUUAGUUAACUAAAUUUAUCAAUUCAAUCAAAUCUUGUGUGGUUGUUCAUCACACAAGCUUACACAGUAACUUACUUAUUUUCUAGUUAAUCCUAGGUUCAUAUUCACUAAUACUAGGCAUACAAUAUUGUUUUCAAAAAAACCAUAUGAUACAAGCAAUUAAAAUAUGUUCAUGCAACUUAAUAAACUUGAUUAUUAACAGAAAAUAAUUAUUGUCAACACAUAAGGGUCUUUAACAAGCUUAACAAGACAAUUCACCAAAUCAAAUUAAUCCAAGCCAUAAAAUCAAACCAUAUUCAUAAGUUUAUCUUGUCUAAACAGAAGUAAUGAGUUUUUAGCUCAUAUCUACAAAAAAAAAACUAACUAAAAACAAAAUCUAAUGAUUUAAACAUGGUUCACAACAAAGAUUAAGAUAAAAGUAAUGUUUCUUUGCCUUGGAUCUCUUCAAAAUUGACUUCUAGGUUGAAUUCUUGAAAACACAACUCUAAGAAUCCUUUUGGCCUCCAAAAAUCGUCCAAAGCUUCUAGAAUUAGUUAGGGUUUCAAAUGAAAGUGAUCCUAUAUAUAGAUUCUGAAAACAGAUCCAACUCGACGAGUUUUUUGACCCAACUCAUCGAGUUGGUCAUUAAAAUCUCGUGUAGCGAAUUUUCUGAUCAACUCGUCGAAUUGAUGGCCCACUCGUCGAACUCGUUUGGAAUCAACAUUUUCUCAAAACACGAAAGUCGUCCAAAAUUGUGUCUAGUUUUCAGAACAUACUAAGAACGUCAAUCGGAGUUACGGUUCAUGAGAUAUGUCCAAAACACCGACGAGGGGUCAAGCUGUCCAGCAACAUCAUUCUUUAUUCAAAAUCUAAGAUCCAAGCUUCCAAUCGCCAAUUCCGCUUCCUUUUCCUUCUGAGCAUGUCUUUAUUGCUUAAAAUGAAAUUUAAAAAUAAUUAAGCAUCUUUUGUUCAUUAAAUGAGAUAAAAUAAACAUAAAGUAUUAAGAUAAUUCAUGAAUUUUAUAACUAAAUAUGCCCAUAUCAGUUGACCCGGCCAAUGUGGAGGUCGUGAUAAGAUGAGAGGUUCCGAAGUCUCCAUAUGAGAUUCAAAGUAUCCUAGGGUUAGUAGGCUAUUACUGGAGAUUGAUUCAGGAUUUCUCCAACAUAGCAGUACGCUUGACUCAACUGACGAAGAAGGUCGUCGUAUUUCGCUGUGGGCCUGAGCAGCAGGCAGCGUUUGAGACUUUGAGGCAGAGGUAGUGCGAGGCGCCGAUCUUAGCCCUGUAUGAGGGCAUGGAGGAUUUUGUAGUAUAUUGCAAUGCGUCCAUUUCAGGAUUGGGCGUAGUAUUGAUGCAGAGAGGGCACGUCAUCACCUACACCUCGAGGCAGCUGAAGCCUCACGAGGCGAACUACCCGACGUACGAUCUGGAGUUGGGGGCGGUUGUCUUCGCUAUCAAUAUUUGGUGACAUUACCUCUAUGGGAUUCGUUGUACCAUUUACACGGAUCACAAGAGUCUGAGGUACCUCAUGGAUCAACUGAACCUGAACAUGAGGCAGCGCCGGUGGCUAAAUGUGGUGAACGAUUACGACUGUGAGAUCCUCUACCACCCGGGGAAGGACAAUGUUGUGGCCGAUGCUCUUAGCCGCAAGGCAGCCCCAAUCAGAGAUAUUUUCUUAGGAAUGACAAUAGUGACUCUGCUUCUAGAGCAGAUCCGAGAGGCCCAACAGGAGGCUAUGAAGGUGGAACAUCGGAAGAGUGAGCGUAUUGUGGGUCAGGCUUCCUCCUUCGACUAUGAUAGCCAUGGGUUGUUAACACUACACCGUAGAGUGUGGGACCCAUCUCAUGGAGGUGUGCACCAGGUUUUGAUGGAGGAGGCGCAUAAAUCCAGGUUUUCUAUUCAUCCCGAGGCAACGAUCUUUGUCCUAACUACUGGUGGCCCUGCAUGAACCGGGAUGUAGCCUGGUACGUCGAGAGAUGCCUGACCUGCAGGAAGGUCAAAGUGGAGCACCAGAGACCUCACAUCAAGAUGCAUUCGUUGGAUGUCCAUAUGUGGAAGUGGGAGGACAUUACUAUGGAUUUCAUCACGAAGCUUCCCAGGACCGUACGGGGAUUGGAUUCGAUUUAGGUCAUCGUGGAUCGAUUGACCAAGACUGCCCACUUCAUUUCGAUCUAAGAGAGCAUCUCAAUCGAGAAGUUGGCCGACAUCUACAUCAUAGAGGUAGUAGCUCGACACGGAGUGCCAGUAUCCGUGAUUUCAAAUAGAGAUGUAUGAUUCACUUCCAGAUUAUGGAAGAAGUUUCACGAUGAGUUGGGUACUCGUCUGCACUUUAGCACUACUUUUCACCCGCAGACGGAUGGUCAGAGCAAGCGGACCAUCCAGACUCUGGAGGAUAUGAUGUGGGCGUAUGACCUAGACUUCGGUGGUAGCUGGGAUACAUACCUUCCCUUGGAAAAGUUUCCCGACAAUAAUAGCUACCACGUGAGUAUCGAUCGUCCUCCCUUCGAGAUGUUGUAUGGGAGGAAGUGCAGGACCCCGAUAUGCUGGGGAGAGGUUCAUGGGGAGCACCGUGCUCAAGACGAAGGAGAGGAUACAGCCGGUCAGGAGCAGGCUUCAUACUGCUCAGAGUCGGUAGAAGAGCUACAUCGACAGACGUCGAUGAAACCUGGAGUUUCAGGUCGGUGAUAAGGUUCUCCUGAAGGUGUCACCUUAGAAAGGUGUCAUCCGGUUCAGGAAGCAGGGAAAGUUGGGCCCCGAUACAUUGGUCCUUUCAGGGUUGCAGCCCGGGUGGGCAAGGUGGCGUAUAGGCUGGAUCUGCCAGCCGAGCUUAGUCAGAUCCACAAUACCUUUCAUGUCUCCUAGCUGCGAAAGUGCCUGGUAGACGACUCUUCGGGGUGCCUCUAGAGGAUAUCCAGGUUGAUGACAGCUUGAACUUCAUCGAGCAACCAGUAGCCAUCCUCGACAGGAAGACGAAGGAUCUGAGGAACAAGAAUGUUGAGUUGGUGAAGGUGCAAUGGAAGCACCGCAAGGGAUCAGAAUGGAUGUGGGAGCCAGAAGACGAGAUGAGGGAGCAUUACCUCGAGUUAUUCCUAGCAGCAGCAGCAGACUUCAAGGACGAAGUCUAAUUCAAGUGGGGGAGAUUUGUAACAUUCAGGAUUUUUAAGCUACUAAUUUUUCGAUUUAUAUAAGUUUAAUAGUUUUGUAAGGUUUGGGCUUAGACCUUUGGGCCCUUGUAAUUAGGCCGAGGAAGCACCGUACGCGAAGCGUACCUUGCCAUGUACGCUCAGAGUACUCAAGAGACUGGAACGCGAAAGCCAUGCAAGUACGCCCAACAUACCAAGAGUAUGCGCAAUGUGCAUAUACAGGCUCUAAAACCCUAAGUUUUCGGGUUUGAUCCCUAUAUAAAGGACCUUAUUCCUUUGGUCCAGCUUCCCUCACACCCUUAAACAGCUACCACAAAAACCCUAAUUCGUAUUUAUGUGUUCUUGUGAUUUGGAAGGCAUUUGAGAGACUUUUAGUGUUGUUUUGGUGUUUAGAAGAGUAAAGAGUUUGAAGAAGGAGCAAGGAUUCAAAGGGAGCUUGUGAAUCUAGGAGAUUAGCACCAUUUCUAACUCAUUUGAGGUAUCAAGCUUCAAACUUGAUCAUUGCAAGUUUAUAUUUGAUUUUGGGGUGUUUUAGGUCACUUUUGGACUCCAUUGUUGAGGUUUCUUGAGUCUUGAUAGUUUCAGAACAUAAGAGCUUUCCUUUUGGGCUUUUAGAAGCACUUAGAGUAACAAAAAUCGGACCUUGAUGGUUAAGCCACAACCAUGCAAGUUUUUGAAGGUCACAAAGUUGGGUUAAGGACCAAAAAUCAUGUUUUUGUUGGAUUAGAUGUCUAAGUUCAUACCUAUUUCUCGGAUGUACUUGACCCGAUUGGCAUGAUCCAUUUUGGGUUGCAUGGCAUUGCAACACUUGGAUAGACUAAAUGAGAGAAAGGAUACUUAAGGUUUAUUAAUAUAUUAUAAGUUCUAAUAUAUUAAUAAUAUUAUUUAAUUAGUAUUGAUCAAGAAUUAAUUUGGUGAUCAAAAGGAGACUAAUUAAAUAUAUGGGGUUGAUUGUGUAAAUCUGCCAUUCUUUGAUAGUGGGCUAAUGAUCCAUGGUUUAUUGAAUUGGGCUAAAACCCAUAAGGUGCUCCAUGGACAGUCCAUGGAGGUUAUAAACCCAUGGAUCAUGGAAUAUAAAAAGUCAUGUCAAUUAGGGUUUACAUGAUGUAACCCUACUUGUGACACAACUAUAAAAGGACCCCAUGGGCUACCAAAAUCGACACUAUGUGUAGAACAAGAGGGCUAACCGAUUUUGAGUGAUAGUGUACUUCUCUCAAAGUUAUCCCAAGAGUUGUGGUGUUGUGUGAAACAUUUCAGGCAUCACAUUUGAGGUGCUAGGCUCACAAGGUUCUCAAGGAAUCCAAGUAACAAGAAAGGUAUGUUCUUCUACUAGCUUUUAUGUUUCAAAGUCCCCCCUGCCAUGCUAGUUAGGUUAAGAACCUUGGAAAAAUCAAAUUUUCAUGUAUCUUAGUUAAACAUAGAUCCAAAGUUUCUAGGGUUGCAUGUAUACCUUAGGAGUGUUAGAAUGCUCAAAACCCUUCAGUGGUAUCAGAGCCUAGGCUUGUUUUCUUGAUACUUGAUGCAAAUUGCUGAAAAACUCAUUUUUCCUGCAUUCUGUUGAGUGAACUCGCCGAGUCCAAGGGGGGAAUCGAUGAGUCCAAGCACAAAUUCAUCCUACUCGUCGAGUAGGUUCUUGCACCCGACGAGUAGGAGGCCCAAAAUGCAGUUUUUCGAGUUUUGCUGUUGGAAAUGGACUAGGAUCAUUACCCUUAAUUGUUUUGGACUUAUAAAACUGUUUUUUGAUGUGGUAAUGAUUAUGAUAAUCCAUUUACAAUUGUAAUUAUCAAAAUUUCAAGUUUUAUAUGUGUUUUUUAUGAUUCUUGAAAUUGUUGAUAUGAAUAUUCAUACACUUAUGAGUUUAGUAGAUCAUAGGAAUUAUUUGCAAAAUUGCUUGGUAGUUUAAUUCUUGAUAUUGAUGUGUUUUAAUGGAAUCCAUAAUUUGUCCUCAAGUUAUGGAUUACCAAAACUCUUCCUUUUAAAGUCCAUUAAUGAACACAUAGGUUACAUAAAAUCAAGAGUCUUUCAAUUUAAUAAACCAUUAACUCAUAAGUUAUGAAAGAUGAAAAGUUUUAAAAGAUACAAAACUUGCCCUCAAGUUUUGGAACAUGUAAAGUCACCUUAAAAACUUUAGUUCCAUCCCCUAGAAUUUUAAAAGUUAAAAUUCAACCCUUAUACUUUAUAAUAUUAUAAGUUAAUAAUAUAUAUAUAUAUAUAUAUAUAUANUCAUUCACGAAGCCGGUCUAUAAGGGGGUAUAAGGUUGCUGCCUAUAAAAUGGCAGCUUAAUGGGUGUCCACUCUCACCCACCGCUUCCUUGACUGGUGGAGGGUCGUUAGCCGAACGGGUAUGACAAUGAGUUAAAUCCUCAUUAAAAGUAUGAUGGUUAUAAAGCAACAAAAUGUUUUAUAAACUCCGAAUCUUAGUUACUUUAGGAAAAUGUGAAUAUGGUGCUAACCCAUGAAAUUACUCUUGCACUUUGCUUAAGUCGUUAGUGGAGCGUGUGUGGUUAAUCGGCACACUAACCUGGACUUAACAAGGUAGGCAAAUGGUGGCUUAAGGUUUAUCAUAGAUCGGUGGAGCGCGUGUGGUUAACCGGCACAUCGGUUAGGUGAUAAACAUUAAGAGUACCAAGUAAUUUGCAUGGUUAAUUCACACCUUGUUCUGUGAUCCUCGACAUCCCAGUCACAAAACCUGAAGAGCACAUUCGAGAUUAAAAUAUGCCAUUGAAAAGUUCAAUGAAUCUCAAAGAAUCCAGGAGUUUCAAAACCAAUUAAAACCUAAUAAUACAUUUCUUUUUUCAUGGUGGAAAUUAGUGAAUCGUCAUUCACCUACCUUCAAAUAUUUUAUAGCUUGGAUUACGGCAUCCCCCUUCUAAGUUAUAAAAUAUUGUGUUGGGUCCUAGCCUUAAUAUUACAUUUGGGUGUCUUAUUAAGGACUAUCUUUAUAUCUAAUCUAAACUUGUCCUUCCUUCUUUUCAUAUGUCUUCCAACAAUGUUGCUUUUGGCUCAAACCCUACUGGCUCCUUCUCUCUCAUGAAACUUUGUGGGAGAGUCAUCUUCGAUGGUUCCAACUUUAUGGAUUGGAUCCGGAACAUCAAGAUGGUCACUCGUUACGAGGACAAGGAAUAUGUCCUCGACAAGGAGCUUAAGGAACAUGAUGAGUCGUCUGCUACUCCUGAUGAGAUCGCUGAAUUUCAGACUCAUGAGAGAGAUGCCACCAAAGUGGCAUGUAUCAUGUUGGCCACGAAGACAGUCGAGCUCCAAAAGUCAUAUGAGGACUAUUACCCUUUUGAUAUGCACCAGGACUUGAUGGACAGAUACCAUCAGAGUGCUUGUCAAGAGCGGUAUGAAAUCAUCUCCUCCAUGAUAACAACCUGAAUGAAGGAUGGUGAACCCAUCACGGGCCACAUGCAGAAAAUGCAAAGAUUCGUGGACCGUUUGUUGAAAUUGAAUGUGAACUUCCUCGAGGAGUUGGCAAUUGACAUCAUUUUGCACUCCUUACCUUCGUGUUAUGAUCAAUUCCAAAUGACAUGUCACAUAAACAAGGAGGAAGUUACACUCAGCAAACUUCAAGGACUUUUGAAGACUGCCGAAAGUGGUCUUAAAGGUAAAUCGGUUGUUACCACUCCUACUCCUACCGCGGCCCCUGUCUUGGAAAUCAGGCAAGGUAAAGGGAAGAAGAGGAAGAGACCUACAAAGGGUGCCAAGGGAAAGUCCCUUGAUGGAUCCUCUUCGAGUGGAACCAAAAGAGGUUUUGUCACUCUUUCUGCCAACUCUAAAGAGGCUGAAUGCUUCUAUUGUCAUGAAAAGUCGCACUGGAAGCGAAACUGCCCAAAGUACUUGCAAUAUGUUAAGGAUGGGAAAGUGAAACCCAAACAAACAUGUAUUUACAGUAUAUUGUCUAAUAACUCACCCUAUUCUAAUUCUUGGGUCCUUGAUAUUGGUUGUGGUAUUCACAUAUGUUCUGAUUUGCAGGGACUAAGAAGAAGUGAGAAUGUGGAGCAUGGGAAGAUAAACUUAAUCAUGGGGAAUAGGAAAGCUCACCUGUCACCAAGAUUGGAUUUUAUUCUUUGUUGCUAAGUAGUGGGUUAACAUUAGAUUUGAAUAAAUGUUGUUACUCGUUUGAAAUGGCGAGAAAUCUUAUUUCCUUUCAUGGUUUGUACAAACAAGGGUUUACCUUUUCGUUUGAUAAUGAAUGUGGUGGUAUUAAUGAUUUCUUUAUUAAUGUUCUUUAUUUUAAAGCAUUACCUUGUGAUGGUGUGUAUGAAACUAUGUCGGUUGUUGAUAACCUAGGAAAUAAUGUGUUGUGUAUUGAUUCUUCCACUAACUUGGAUAAAGCAUCAUUAUGGCAUUGUCAUCUUGGACAUGUAAGCAAGAAACGCAUAGGCCAACUCUAAAAGGAUAGAGUCUUGGAGUCAUUUGACCUAAAGUGAGAUGAUAGUUGCGAAUCAUGCUUACUUGGAAAAANGUCACCCUUCACUGGUACUUGUGCUAUGGGUGAGGGUUUGUUGGACCUCAUACAUACUGAUGUGUGUAGACCCUUCAGAACUGCCAAAAGGGAUGCUAACCACUUCUAUGUGACUUUUACUGAUGAUUAUAAUAUAUAUGGAUAUGUCUACUUAAUCAAGCAUAAUUCAGAAACCUUUGAAAAGUUCAAGGAGUUUAAACAGGAAGUGGAGAAUCAGUUGGGCUGGAACAUUAAGACGCUUCAAUCUGAUUGAGGUAGUGAGUAUCUUAGUACAGAGUUCCUUGACUAUCUUAAGGAAUGUGGGAUUGUCUCACAAUUGACACCUCCUAGGACACCACAACUUCAUGGUGUGGCUGAUAGGCAUAAUCGAACCUUGUUGGAUAUGGUUCGUUCCAUGAUGAGUUGAGCUUCACUACCAAUCUCAUUUUGGGGGUAUGCCUUAGAAAGUUUUGUGCAUAUUCUUAGUCUAGUCCCUACCAAAAAGGUUACCAAAACACCUCAUGCGAUGUGGUCUGGAAAAGUUCCCAGUCUGGACCACAUUAAGAUUUGGGGUUGCGAAGCUUUUGUGAGGCGCGACACUCACGAUAAGCUCGAACCUCGAAGUUAGAGGUGUAUUUUCAUCGGCUACCCACUGAAAUCCUUUGGUUAUCUCUUCUAAAAACCCAAUGAUAAUGUGGUCUUUAUAGCAAGGAGAGGGGUCUUUCGCGAGAGAGUUCAUAAGCCAAGGAAACAGUGGGAGGCAAAUUGACCUUGAAAAAAAUUCAUGAUUCAAGUGGUGAAGGAACCUCAAACCCUAGCAAUCAACCUGAGGAGGAAACUCCUAUUGAUCCGACUGACGAGUCCGUACCUCUAAGGCAUUCCACGAGAGUUAAGAAUGCACCUGAGCAUUACUAUGGUUUCCAUAUUACUUCAGAAGGUGAUACACUUAUCAGUGAUAAUACACCGGUAAGUUUGGAUGAACCUAACAACUACACAUAAGCCAUGGCAGGCCCUGGGGCUGCUAAAUGGAAAGUGGCUAUGGACAACGAGAUACAGUCCAUGUAUGACAAUCAAGUUUGAAACUUGGUUGACAAUGUACCAGGUUGCAAGACAGUCGUGUGCAAAUGGAUCUUCAAGAAGACGACCGACAUGGAUGGUAAUGUACACACUUAUAAGGCACGACUGGUUGCAAAGGGCUUUUCUCAAACUCUGGGAGUUGAUUAUGAUGAGACCUUUUCACCAAUAGCAAAGAUUAAGUCUAUUAGAGUUAUGUUAGCCAUUGUUGCAUUUCAUGAUUAUGAAAUAUGGCAAAUGGAUGUCAAAACUACUUUCCUUAAUGGAAGGUUGGCUGAGGAUGUUUACAUGAGUCAGCCAGAGGGUUUUAUCAGUACAGAGUACCCUAAUAGAGUGUGUAAGCUUGAGAAAUCCAUCUAUGGAUUGAAACAAGCUCCUCACAUAUGGAAUCUUUGUUUCGAUGAGAAAGUCAAAGAGUUUGGCUUUUCAAAGAGUUUGGAUUUUUGGUAUUGUAUGUGGAUGACAUACUACUCAUAGGAAAUGACAUCCCAACUCUGCAGGAAGUGAAGUCCUGGCUUGGGAAGUGUUUCUCUAUGAAGGACCUUGGAGAAGCUACCUAUAUCCUAGGGAUAAGGAUUUUGAGAGACAGGAGUAAAUAACUAAUUGGACUUAGUCAGAGUACGUUCUUGGAUAAGGUGUUGAAUAGGUUCAGUGUGCAAAAUUCCAAGAAAUGAGAGUUACCGAUCCAGAGUAACGCCAGAUUGAGUAAGACUCAGAGCCCGAGUAUAGAGUCUGAGAUAGCAGAGAUGAGUCGAGUACCGUAUACUUCCGCUGUAAGAUCGAUCAUGUAUGCUAUGACUUGUACCCGUCCUGACGUGGCCUUUGCGUUGAGCAUGGUCAACAGGUAUCAGGGGAAUCCUGGCAAGGCUCACUGGACUGCGGUAAAGAACAUUCUCAAGUACCUGCAGAGUACUAAGGAUUGGGUCCUUACCUUCGGUAGGAGUGAUGACUUGAGACUAGUAGGGUAUAGUGAUGGUAGAUUCCAGACUGAUAGGGAUAAUUUCUGCUCUCAGUCAGGCUGGGUCUUUACCUUAUGUGACAACCCGAUAUUUCAACUCUAUGUAAUGACCUAAAAAGUCAAGUAUUGUAACCACUUUUGAUAUAAUGAAAUUAACUUCGAAAUGUCCAAAAAUCUCAAAUUUAUUACCUAUUAUGUUAGAUGACAUUAAACCGUGAUCGUACGUAAAAAGAAUACCCAAAUCUGACUUCGUAUAAUGAAGUUAUGAUUUUUCCAAGUUCGGCUUAGCGGCAGACAGCUAAAAACUCGAAACGGAGAUCGAGCGACUUUUGGCCGAAAUGACCUAAAUGAGAAUCGAAGGUCUCGACAAUGGUUUUGCAGCGGUAAAAAGUCUGGCAAAAACAGAAGUCAGAUAAUGAAGUUAUGAAUUUCUAACAAAAUUUUCUUACCGUGACCUUUUAAUAAUAAAUAAUAAAAAUAAUUUCAAAAUUUGCUGACGGAAUCUAAACAAAAGUUGUAGAGCGUAGUCUCACCUACGUGUGGAUAUAAAGAACGUCGAAAACGGAGUUCGUAUGAAGAAGAUAUGAAUUUUUGAAGUUUAUUAAAUAAAUAAAAUAUAAAUUUUAUUAUUUAAUCUCGGCAUUAUCCGAAGGAGGAGUCACCAGGUCGAUUCGACUUAUAAAUUUUAUUAUAAGUUCUAAUAUAUUAAUAAUAUUAUUUAAUUAGUAUUGAUCAAGAAUUAAUUUAGAAUUAAUUUGGUGAUCAAAAGGAGACUAAUUAAAUAUAUGGGGUUGAUUGUGUAAAUUAUCUAUUCUUUUAUAGUGGGCUAAUGAUCCAUGGUUUAUUGAAUUGGGCUAAAACCCAUAAGGGGCUCCAUGGAUAAUCCAUGGAGGUCAUAAACCCAUGGAUCAUGGAAUAUGAAAAGCCAUGUCAAUUAGGGUUUACAUGAUGUAACCCUACUUGUGACACGACUAUAAAAGGACCCCAUGGGCUACCAAAAUCGACACUAUGUGUAGAACAAGACGGCUAGCCGAUUUUGAGUGAUAGUGUACUUCUCUCAAAGUUAUUCCAAGAGUUAUGGUGUUGUGUGAAACAUUUCGGGCAUCAUAUUUGAGGUGCUAGGCUCACAUGGUUCUCAAGGAAUCCAAGCAACAAGAAAGGUACGUUAUUCUACUAGCUUUUAUGUUUCAAAGUUCCCCAUGCCAUUCUAGUUAGGUUAAGAACCUUGGAAAAAUCAAAUUUGCAUGUAUCUUAGUAAAACAUAGAUCCAAGGUUUCUAGGAUUGCAUGUACACCUUAGGAGUGUCAGAAUGCUCAAAACCCUUCAGUUUUGACCCCAACCAUGCAUGCAAGCACAUAAAGUUUGUGACUUUAUGGACUAUGAUGCCUUAAAGGACCUGGAUCUACAUUAUGGACGUGAGGACUUAAUGGUUUAAGUCACAAAUUAAGCCCCAAGAAAGUUGGUCGGUACGUCGUGCGUACACCCUAAUAUGCUACGCGUACUAGGUCAACUUGCCAUUUUUGUCAAGGCCAGCGUACGUUGGGCGUACAUGCAAGGUACGUCACGCGUACGCAUGCAGAGUGGCGAAUUUGGGCUUUUGUGCCUUAAAGGUCUGGGCCUGGAUAGUUGGGCCGCAUGGCCCCCUAUGGAGCAGAGUUUUUGGGCCUAGAGUUGACACUUAGAGUAUUGGGCCUUUCGGGUCAUAUUGGGCCACUCGAGAUUAAUUAUUUUGGGCUAAGGGUUUAUUGGGCUUGUAAAAAGGCCCAUUUGAAGAGUUGGGCUCCAUUUUGAAAAUUAGGCCAUUAGUGGGCUCAUAGUGGGCUGCGAAAGAUAAUAUGGAAAUGGGCCUCGGGUAUGGUCCAAAUUAGACCAAGUGGUAAAAUGGUCAUUUUACCCUAAGAAGUAUUAUGGAUUUUGACUAAGUGUUGUUAUGAUAUUGAUAGUUGAGGAGUCAUCGGCGCAACUGUUAGAGAUUUCUUCCAGUGAUAUUUGACAUUCAGCUUUACGAGGUGAGUUACCUUCCCGUAGAAGUGAGUCUAAGGCUACAAUGUCGGCCCACUAGUAGGAGUUGCUUGUUAGAUGAUUGUCUUUGUGAUAAUUUCCUGGUAUAGUAGGGGGAAUAGUCCACGUAUACGCCGAAAGGACCAAAGGGGUAGGUCGGGCACCAUGGCAUACCUAACAAUAUGGUUAUGUUAUGUUGUUAUUGUUGGAAUAGUGUCUAAGGCUGCAACUAUAAUAGACAAGUAUUUGACCCGGUUGUGCAUGGUCCUUUUGGGUUGCCUUCACCAUAGCAACUUGAUAAGAUGAUUUAUUACGAGAGAGUAAAUAUUAUUAAUAUAUUAUGAGAAUAAUAUAAUAAUAUAUUUGUUAUUUGAUUAAUAUAAGUCAUAGAAUUAAUUAGAAUUAAUUUGGUGACUUAAAGAGAUUAAUUAAAUAAAGGGGUAUAAACUGUCAAUUGUUUGAUAGUUAAACUUUAGACUGUAAAUCCAUAUGGAUAUGGUAUGGACGAAUUCUAAGAGUUUUAGGAUAGCUAAAAUCGUCCAUAUAGAUAUCUAAGGAAUGGAUUUGGAUAGCCUUAAGAGAAGAUUAUCCAAUUAGGGUUUAGGUUGUAACCCUUAAGGAGUCUACAAGUAUAAAUAGACCCCAUGGCAUAAGGAAAUCGGCACCUCUCCUAAAGCAAGAGAACCCUCGCCGAUUUCCUCCCCUCUCCUCUCUCCUAAAUCAUCUUCCUUGCUAUUGGUGUUUGUAAGCCAUUAGAGGAGUGACAUUUGUGACUCUAGAAGCUCCAAGACCUCAAGAUCAACAAGGAACUCAAAGGUAUGAUUCUAGAUCUGUUUCAAUGUUGUUAUUUAACCUAAUUAGUCAUUAGAAGUCUUGGAUUCAAAGCAUGUUUAUUAGAAAGCCUAGAUCCAAGCAUUAGGGUUUUGCAUGCGCACAUAGGAAAGUUCUUAUGGCUAAAACCCAUCAGUGGUAUCAGAGCCUAGCUUGGUUUUCUUUAAAUUGUUGCUUGAUUAACUGAAACAAACCUGCAAAAUUCGAUUUUUAGGUUUCUGAGUCAUGGACUCGGCGAGUUCCAAGGUGGACUCGGCGAGUAGGCCUGACUCGGCGAGUCCCCUUGUGCACUCGGCGAGUCCAGGCGUCAGGAAUGGCCAGAUUCGGGAUUUUUUCAUAAUUAUCUUAUGGAAACUUACCUUAAUCAUAAUAGAUCAAUCUAAAUCCGAUUUUUUGAUAUAUAUGACUAUUAUCUUGAUCUAGUUAAAGGUAUUUAUCAACUAAUAAAAUAUUUAAUUUCCUUAUAUGAUAAUUAAUUAAUUAUUUUAAUUAUUUUGGUAAUUAUCUUUCAAAGAAAUCUUGAAUAAAAUCAAAUAUAGAUAAUUAGGAUAUUAAUUGUUAAUUGGAAUUAUUUGUUAUUUGAUCCUCCAUGUUUUAAAUGUUUAAAACUUACCCUCAAGUUUUGAAAUUUAUAUUUGUGAUUAAAAGUUUUAAUUUAGACAACUUAAAUUUCAAACCCUAGAUUUUAAAAGUUUUAAAAUACAACCCUAUACUAAUAUGAUAUUACUAGAAUAAUAUAUAUAUGUAUAACUAAAUGCUAGUCUUACCGUUAGUAGGCCUCAUUCACGAAGCCGAUCUAUAAGGUGGGUAUAAGGUUGCGGCCUAUAAAAUGGCGCUUAAUGGGUGUACACUCACACCCACCGCUUGCUUGAUUGGUGGAGGGUCGUUAGCCGAACGGGUAGGAUAGGGCAACCUCAUCCUCUCAUUAAAAGUAUAAUAAGAAAUACAAAGUAACUACACAUAUUUUAAAAUUCCCCAAUCCUAGUUACUUUAGGAAAAGUGAAUUGAUGCAAUCCCAUGAAAUUACACUUUGCACCUUGCUAAGAUGUUAGUGGAGCGUGUGUGGUUUACCGGCACACUAAUUGGUUCUAAGCGAAGGUGGCAAAGGGUGAUUCAUUGUUUAUCAUAGUUCGAUGGAGCGUGUGUGGUUUACCGGCACAUCGAAUAGGUGAUCGUUACAAUGAAGGCACCAUGUGAAUUUGCAUGGUAAUUCACACCCGCUUUGUGAUCCUCGGUAUCCCAGUCACAAACAAGAGGGGCAUAUCGAGAUUUAAACAUGCCAUUGAAUAGUUUCAAUGAAUCUCAUCCGAACCUAGGAAUUCUCAAUACAUUUAGGACUAAUAGUUUAGGUUUUUGUGAUGGAGAAUUAGUGAAUCGUCAUUCACUUACCUUCAAUUUAUUUGCAUGUUAGAUUACGGCAUCCCUUUUCUAAUAUGUAAAUGUUAUUGUUGGAUCCUAGCCCUAAUUUUCUUAUUGGGUGAUAAUUAGGGAUUCUUAUUCUAAUCUAUCUUUGUCCUUUUCUAAUUGUAGAUGUCGAACGCAAACAACGCUGCUGCUAGUUCUUUCACGUUGAUGAGCCUUUGCCAAAAGGUCACCUUCGAUGGAACGAACUUUAGCGAAUGGAUAAGAUACAUUCGCACCAUUGCUCGCUAUGAGGAUAAGGAGUAUGUCCUCGAUGAGAAGCUCGAGAAAAUCAACCCCGAAAUCGCUACUCCGGCUGAAAUCACCGCUUUUGAGACUCAUGAGCGAGAUGCAACGAAGGUACAUUGCAUCAUGAUCGCCACCAUGAACUCCGAAUUCCAAAAGUCCUACGAGGACAUGUACCCGUACGAGAUGCACCAAGACUUAUUGGAGAGGUACCACCAAAACGCGAGACAAGAGAGGUACGAGAUUUUCACUAACAUGAUUUCCGCGAAGAUGGGUCAUGGAGAAUCUCUUACCGUGCACUUGCAAAAGAUGCAAAGGUAUGUCGACCGCCUUCGCAAGUUAAAUGUUGACUUCGGUGAAGACUUGGCGAUCGACAUGGUGCUUCACUCUUUGCCUCCGAUGUACAACCAAUUUAGGAUGACCUACCACAUGAACAAAGAAGAGGUCACCCUAAGCAAGCUCCAAGGUCUCUUGAGGGUUGCUGAGAGCAACUUCAAGGACAAGUCUGUUGCACCUACUCCCAAUCCGCCCGCUGCUCCUGUCUUGGCUAUUGGACAAGGGAAGGGAAAGAAGAGGAAAGCUUCAUCGAAGAACUAUCGCAAGGUGAAAGCCCGAGAUGGUGCCUCUUCUAGUGGGACCAAAGUUGAUCCCGCUAAGCCCUGCUCUAACCCGAAGGAGGCAGAGUGCCACCACUGCCACAAGAUAGGACAUUGGAAGAGAAGCUGCCCGGAUUACCUGCAAGCAAUCAAAGAAGGAAAGAUCAAGCCAUCUUUCGCAGGUAUAUAUACAAUCAAAUCUAACGAUUCUAAUCAUGCUAUUUCUUGGGUUCUUGAUACCGGUUGUGGUUAUCACAUUUGUUCUAAUGUGCAGGGACUAAGAAGAAGUAGGGAUGUGGAGCAAGGAAGGAUCAAUCUAAUCAUGGGGAACAGAAGAUCGUCGCCUGUGACCAAGAUUGGAGUGUAUUCUUUAGUGCUUAGGAAUAGUUUAGUUUUAGAUUUGAACAAUUGUUGCUAUUCGCCAGAAAUGGCAAGAAACAUCAUUUCAUUUCAUGGUUUAUAUAGACAAGGAUUUAGAUUUUCUUUUAAUAAUGAGAAUGGUUCUAUUUUGGCUUAUCUAAAUGGUGUCUUUUACUUUGAAGCUAUACCAUGUAAUGGAAUAUAUGAAACCGUUAUGAUUGUUGAUAACUUAGGAAAUGAUGUUUUGAAUAUUGAUUCUUCCACUAGUAUGGAUAAAGCAUCCUUGUGGCAUUGUCGUCUUGGACAUGUCAACAAGAAACGCAUAGCCCAACUCCAAAAGGAUGGAGUGUUGGAGUCAUUCGACCUUAGGGAAGAUGACACAUGCGAGUCUUGUUUGCUUGGAAAGAUGACUAAGUCACCCUUCACGAGUACAUGUGAAAGGGGCGAGGGUCUAUUGGACCUAAUACAUACCGAUGUAUGUGGACCGUUUAGAUCAACCACGAAGGAUGGGAACCGCUUCUAUGUGACUUUUACCGAUGACUAUAGUAGAUAUGGGUAUAUCUACUUAAUCAAGCAAAAGUCAGACACCUUUGAAAAGUUCAAAGAGUUCAAGAAUGAAGUGGAGAAUCAAUUGGGCAGGAAAAUCAAGAUGCUUCGAUCCGAUCGAGGAGGAGAGUACCUAAGUCUUGAAUUCCACGAUUAUCUCAAGGAGUGUGGAAUAGUUUCACAAUUGACGCCUCCUAGGACACCGCAGUUGAAUGGUGUGGCAGAAAGGCGUAAUCGAACCUUAUUGGAUAUGGUUCGCUCUAUGAUGAGUCGUGCUUCACUACCAAUCUCUUUUUGGGGGUAUGCCUUAGAGACUGCCGCCCAUAUCCUUAACCGAGUCCCUACUAAGAAGGUUGCCAAAACACCUCACGAGAUGUGGACAGGGAAAGCUCCCUCGUUGGCACAUAUCAAGGUUUGGGGUUGCGAGGCUUUCGUAAGACGAGAUACUCACGACAAGCUUGAACCUCGAAGUGAGCGAUGUAUUUUCAUCGGCUACCCGCAGACAUCCUUUGGAUAUCUCUUCUAUAGACCGAAGGACAAUGUUGUCUUCGUUGCGAGGAGAGGAGUUUUCCGAGAGCGAGAACUCAUAAGCCAAGGAGACAGUGGGAGGCAAAUCGAACUUGAAGAGAUUCAAGAGUCGAUAGAUGAAGGAACCUCUACCGCUGGCACUCAACCCGAGGAGGAAACUCCGGUUGAACCGAUUGACGAAUCCUUACCUCUUAGACGUUCCGAUAGAGUUAGAGUUCAUCCCCAGUUUUAUGGCUUUCAUAUUACUACCGAAGGGGACACGUAUAUUAGUGAUGGUACACUAGUAAAUCUUGAUGAACCUAAUAGCUAUAAGGAAGCCAUGGCAGGCCCGGAGUCUGCAAAAUGGAAAGAGGCAAUGGAUAGCGAGAUCCAAUCCAUGUAUGAUAACCAAGUUUGGAAUUUGGUUGAUUAUGUGCCCGGACGUAAGACCGUUGGGUGCAAAUGGAUCUUCAAGAAGAAGACCGACGUGGAUGGAAACGUACACACAUAUAAAGCGCGAUUGGUUGCGAAGGGCUUUACUCAAACUCCCGGAGUUGACUAUGAUGAGACCUUCUCACCAGUUGCGAAGAUUAAAUCUAUUAGAGUGAUGCUAGCUAUUGCCGCAUUUCAUGAUUAUGAGAUUUGGCAAAUGGAUGUCAAGACCGCUUUCCUUAACGGAAAGUUGGCUGAGGAUGUUUACAUGGCUCAGCCAGAGGGGUUUGUGGAUCCGAAGCAUCCGGAUAGAGUGUGUAAGCUUGAGAAGUCCAUUUAUGGACUUAAGCAAGCGUCUCGCAGAUGGAAUCUUUGCUUCGAUGAGAAAGUCAAAGAGUUUGGAUUUGUACGAAGCGAAGACGAAUCUUGUGUAUAUGUCAAAGCCAGUGGGAGUAUAGUAAGCUUCCUCGUUCUAUAUGUCGAUGACAUAUUACUCAUAGGAAACGACAUCCCGACUCUGCAGGAGGUUAAGUCCUGGCUCGGGAAGUGCUUCGCUAUGAAGGACCUCGGAGAGGCUUCUUACAUUUUGGGAAUAAGGAUAGUAAGAGAAAGAAGUAAGAGACUAAUUGGACUUAGUCAGAAUACUUACUUAGAGAAGGUACUAAAACGUUUUAGUAUGGAAAACUCAAAGAAGGGAGAACUACCGAUACAAAGUAAUGCCAAAUUGAGUAAGACUCAAAGUCCGAGUACCGAAGCUGAGAUAGCAGAAAUGAGCCGAGUACCAUACGCUUCCGCAGUUGGCUCAAUCAUGUACGCUAUGACUUGUACUCGCCCUGAUGUAGCCUUCGCUUUGAGCAUGGUUAGCAGAUAUCAAGGGAAUCCUGGCAAAGCACAUUGGAUUGCGGUGAAGAAUAUCCUUAAGUACCUUCGGAGGACGAAGGAAUGGUUCUUAGUCCUCGGAGGGAGUGAUGACUUGAAGGUGCGAGGGUAUAGUGACGCCAGUUUUCAGACCGACAGGGACAACUACCGUUCGCAGUCGGGCUGGGUCUUUACCCUAAAUGGAGGAGCAGUGACAUGGAAGAGUUCCAAGCAGGAAACCGUAGCUGAUUCAACGUGCGAAUCAGAGUACAUUGCAGCGAGCGAAGCGUCGAAGGAGGCAAUAUGGCUAAAGAACUUCAUCGGUGAUCUUGGAGUUGUACCUGCCAUAAAGGAGCCCAUGGAGAUUUUCUGUGAUAACGAAGGAGCGGUUGCCUUGACCAAGGAACCGAGGGAUCAUGGUAGAUCAAGACAUAUCGACAGAAAAUAUCACUUCAUCAGACAUCGUGUAGAAGAAGGACAACUCGUAGUGAAGAGGAUAUCAUCAGAAGAUAACCCAGCAGAUCCGCUUACGAAGGGACUGAGUAGGGUUAAGCACUUGCAGCAUGCUAGGAGUAUUGGGCUGAAGGAUGAUAUUAGCAUAGAUUAGAUAGUAUUAGAAACGUGUAAUAGAUAAAUGUAAUUAACAUUUGAUGAUUAAAUAAAGGAGUUUUAUUUAUGAGUAAUGUUACUAUCUUAUGUUAAUUGUUUAGCUAUUGUUUCACUUUGCAUGUUUUGACUUCCAGAAUAAUUGAGUUUAUUAGGAAUAAUCGAAUUGUUCAAAUGGUCCACAAUCGUUCAUAUGUUGGGAGUAGAUAUGAAUGAAGAUUGUCAUGAAUUGGUGUGUAGAAUGUCUAAAUGGUGUUAGACAUAGCAAAGGAUUGCUGCAACGUUCAUGAGUGCUUAUGAACUAGUUUUGAGCAUUGGAAUAAACCCGCGCUUGCUGGAAUCACCUUAUGGAAUACGAUAUAAAAGGUGAUCGCAAGACGAUAAUAUCAUAUAGUCUUAAAACCUAGAUAUAUGGUUUAUUAUUUGUUAAUUGAUUGUACAUUGAUAAUACGAAAACGCAUCAGUAACUUGGUGUUAUAAAACGUAUUGUUGUGUAUAGUUGGUUAAUGAAUAAGUAAAUGCAUAUAAGUCGAAGUUUAUCUGUAACUUUUAUCUAAGAAGGUAAAAGCGAUAUCUCGGCCGCUCGAUGAUUUGAUUUGACUUAUGUGCCGGGCCCGGUCAGAACUGAAUUGAUGUGUUCGAUUAAGUUCUAUGUCAAAUAAAUCAGAGAUCGAGAAACCUAAAUGCUUGACUAACCAUUCCAUAGGAUUGUCAGCAUGAUAUCUAACAGAGGACUGUACGUUCCCUUAUCUAAAGGACAAGAUUGAUUAGAUCAGAGUUGACAGCGUCUUUGAGAGCUACGAUUGCAAACCGAAUUGUACUUGUAUAGUUACUAGACUUAUCCAAGUGGGAGACUGUUGGAAUAGUGUCUAAGGCUGUAACUAUAUUAGGCAAGUAUUUGAUCCGGUUGUGCAUGGUCCUUUUGGGUUGCCUUCACCAUAGCAACUUGAUAGGAUGAUUUAUUAAGAGAGAGUAAAUAUUAUUAAUAUAUUAUGAGAAUAAUAUAAUGAAUAAUAUAUUUGUUAUUUGAUUAAUAUAAGUCAUAGAAUUAAUUAGAAUUAAUUUGGUGACUUAAAGAGAUUAAUUAAAUAAAGGGGUAUAAACUGUCAAUUGUUUGAUAGUUAAGCUUUAGACUGUAAAUCCAUUUGGAUAUGCUAUGGACGAAUUCUAAGAGGAUUAGGAUAGCUAAAAUCGUCCAUUAGAGUUAUCUAGGAAUGGAUUUGGAUAGCCUUAAGAGAAGAUUAUCUGAUAGGGACUUAUCUGUAAUCCUUAAGGAGUCUACAAGUAUAAAUAGACCCCAUGGCAUAGGGAAUUCGACACUUCUGAAAAAGCAAGAGAACUCUGGUCGAAUUCCUCCCCUCUCCUCUCUCCUAAAUCAUUCUUAUUGCUAUUGGUGUUUGUAAGCCAUUAGAGGAGUGACACUUGUGACUCUAGAAGCUCCAAGACCUCAAGAUCAACAAGGAACUCAAAGGUAUGAUUCUAGAUCUGUUUCAAUGUUGUUAUUUAACCUAAUUAGUCAUUAGAAGUCUUGGAUUCAAAGCAUGUUUAAUUAGAAAGCCUAGAUCCAAGCAUUAGGGUUUUGCAUGCGCACAUAGGAAAGUUCUUAUGGCUAAAACCCAUCUGUUAUGUGGUAGUAGUAGGGGUGGAAUAGUCCCCGUAAUCGGUUAAGAUAAACCGGAGGUGUAGGUCGGACACCUCGGUAUGUCUGAUAGGGGUAGGUUAGGCAACUCAGUAUGCCUAGCAGGGGUAUGUUGAGCACCUUGGUAUGUUCAGCAAGGUAGGUCGGGCACCCAUAUAUGACUGACAAUAUGUUAUAGUAUGGUAUGUGGUAUGAUGGGGGGAACUCACUAAGCUUUGUGCUUACAGUUUUCAGUUUCUGUUUUAGGUCCUUCUUCUUCGAAGGGAAAGGAGUCGACACGGUAGCAUGGCAUCACACAGUGUUCUAAAAGGCGCACCAUGGCGUGAGGUGUGGCUCCGCCAUUACGAAAAGCCUCAUAACAUUGCUGUUAGGCGUGGCGCGUGGCAAGGCGUGAUAUGGCGCGCCAUGGCGCGUUAUGGCGUGUUAUGGCGCAUGUUUUUUCGUUUGAGACAUAGUUUUUUGCUCUUUGUUAUGUUUUUUCUAAUCGGAGAUACAAAUAUUGUGGUUUUUGUUAAAAUUUUGUUAAUAGUUAUUGAUCUAACACUUCUAAAAAGUAUUUAUAUUUAAUAUAAAUUUAUAUUUAUGUGGUAAUAUAAUUUUAAAUUAAUACAAAAUCACCGCCUUACAUCACGCCUUGAAAAACGCCAUGGCUCACCAUGGCUCGUUAAGCUUUAGGCUUGACCUUGCCGCCACGCCACGCCUCACGCCAUUUAGAACCUUGGCAUCACAUAUAUGAUUUUUCGCACCAGAUAUUCUUGGGAUUUGUACUCUGACAAUAUUACUAUUUGAUGAUAUGGUUUGAGACAUGUGACCUGCGGCUUUUAUGAAAUGAAGUAACUUGAUGAUGUUUUUCUAUAAAUUGUUUUACGAAUCGUUAUAUUAAAAUGAAAUUUUUGGUUCGUAUUUUUUGGGAUGUUACAAGAGAUCUAGAAGAGAUAGACACAAAGGUAGCAACUUUGUACCUUCUGGAGCUCCCAAAACAGAUGAUGGACCAAGAUCUACAAGCCAACCUUCCCUCCUUGACUCCUUGAUGCACAAGCUUCUCCUUUAGGGCACACAAAACACACUUAUAAGCUCAAAAUUCUCACUAUGGGGCUGGGGUUCUCUCAAGACGGCUAAGGGAGGUUUGGAAGCAGAAAGAGUGAGCCAUAAUGUCCCAUAAUGAUGCUUAAAUACCCCAGAAACCCUAAAAAUUAGGGUCUUAUCUAGAAACACGUACGCCCGACGUAUAUGAGUGUAUGCCCAACGUACUAGGGCGUUCCCUAAUACGCAUGGUGUUCCCAAAUGUACGCCCAAUUUACUACUCAACUUCCCAAAAAUUACCGAUCUGCCCCUACGGCUAGGUCUAAACCAAUAUCAGGGGCCAAAAUUGACUUAUUAACAUACCAAGGAAGGAUUCGAAAAAGACCUGAAAUCCGGAAUGUUACAGAUUCCAUCUAAAACAUAAUUAUGUCAGCAUCCUUGUUAUAAAUGGUCAUUGAACAAGUUAGAGACAAUCAUUGUAUCGGUAUAGCAAAAGAAGAAGAUAAUGCAGGAGCAAGAACUAAAUUGUUUAAACAUUGAACCAAUAUCUUAAGUUCUUCAGGAUAAGCAGAAAAUUUUGGAUUAAACCAAACAUUGUUUGAUUGUAUCUUCAUCUGAGAAAGUAAAGCAACAUCAUCGGUUGUGUUAAAUAGAUCAGUUGUAGAUGGUACACUAGACAUGAUAAUCAAUGUCGUUCAAAAAUUUUGCAGAGAGAAGUUUUAGUGUUGGUUAAGAGAAAUCAGAAGAUUAGAAAAUAUGGAAACAUUAAAACCCCUUCUAUGAAUGGUGUUGAAUUUGAAUUUGAAUCAUUCACCAAUCAGAACAAGCCACGUGUGAAGUAGGUAACUGAAGUAAUAACAUCUCUAUCCGCCACGUGUGGACAUAAUACGUGAAUUCCUCGAUCAAAGAUAAAGCAAUAGUAGCUAUAUGUCAUCACACCAAUGGUUACUUUGUCUCACAAUCAGUAUCGAACAUUAACUGAAUGAAGUAUCAAACAUUUGCUAAACAUUGAUAGUAACAAUGAAUCUAUCUCCGAUAGUUAAGGUUAGGUCUCAUUUACUUAUGGGUAUUGUAAGUGAAAUCAUAAACCAGACUUUGCAGAAUCUUGGUAUGGGUUGGUAAUACCCAAAACCUCGAGGAUCCCAUUGCAAUUUGUGUGCCAAAGAUAAAGGUAGAAUCAAAUAUAGAAAACUUUGAAUAUGUCGUGAUAUCAAAGAGACUUUGAUAUAAAGGCAAUAAGAUCUUGAGCAAAGACUCUCUUCCUUCGACAUCUAGAAAGAUAUCAAAGUACUUGUGUGGUUUCCUAUGAAUUACAAUUCUAAUACUUAUAGAGAAGUAUCGAAGGGCCUAUUUUAGUCAGUAUCGAAGGUAGGCUUUAUUUUCAAACAUUUUCACAACUUAACAUAAGAGCAAAACAAUGUCAUAAAAUACUUGACUAAUAAGUGUAAUCAACAUCAAUUAAGAUUUGGUGAUAUUUUUCAGUGAAAAAAGGUACAGAAAAUGUUCAAACAGAAAUCUCAUUUCAUGAAAAAUAAAGUACUGGAUCUAAUUUGGUAGAAAUGACUUAGGAUUAGUCAACUUCACUAAGAUCACACAAAAUAAUAAAAUGAGAUUUUGAACAUUACAAAUUGUAAAUUGACACAUGAAAGUUUCACCCAUCAAUUCUCUUGUCGAAAUCUAGAAUAAUAAAUUGUUCACUGUCAAUCCCUUAAAAUGCGUUGGGUCUUACUAUCAUCAUGUUUAUAAUGAUUUCAAGAUCAUCAACACAAAGUUUUGGCACACCUACAUACAAGUUGUAUCUGACUAGAGAUGUCUUGGAAUAUGCGUCAUUGUGUAUGCGAAGUAAAAGAAAUAUAAGAUAAGAAGAUAGACAACGAGUCUUUCACAAACUUAUGGUAGAAAUAAGUAUGGUCAUUAAGACAAUUUUUGAAUAGCCAUAGCUCCAAGUUGGUUCAAACCUGGAAGGUCAAGGGUUAAACAAAAAUCAAGGUUGGAUAACCUGUCAAUGAUUUUGGUGUAGAAAAUGAACCCUAUGUUUAGGUUUGUAUAUACCCAAGACGUCAUCGGUUUCCAAGAUUGGUUAACAGAAUCAUAGUACCUCAACUAUGAAAUGGUGAACAAUCAGUUCUCUCUAAACUCCAAAAUGAGUUAAGAAAGGUAGCUCGAUGAAUUCUAUUAAUAUAGCCUUUUGGGAAGAAAUUCUUAGAAGAAGAAAUUUCAUUAAGGCUUCACAAACAUAGAUUCUAUUUGGCUUAGGACAACAUUUUGUAACCUACUUCUAAGGACUCUUAACUAAUCAAUUUGUAUCAAACAAUACCUAAUCCCUAUAAACUUCGUUAUUGCAUGCAUAAUCAACAAGUGAUAAAAAAAAUAUGACCAAAAGUAAUAAGAAUUAUAAAAUAAAAGAAAUAUCUUUUUGGAUUUUUGAAAAAUUUUAUAAAAGAAAAAUCUUUUUGAAAAUUUUGGAUUUUUGAACAAAAUUUAAAAAUAAAGAAAAUAUUUUUAGACUUUUUGAUUUUUCAAGAAAAGGCAGAAAUAAAGGAAAUCUUUUUGUGAUUUUUGAUUUUUCAAGAAAAUACAGAAAUACAAAAAAUCUUUUUGUUAUUUUUUUAUUUUUGAAAUGAAAGAAAAAAAAAACUUACCAAAACUUCGAUAGUAAACCAAUCUUGCUGAAUGAUUCAGCGCAAUUGUAUCAAAGAAAGCCGAAGCUUUGAUUGUGAACAGUAAUCUCUGAAUGAUCCAGUGCCACUGUCGAAGUGAUAUAAGUAUCGAAGUUAUCAAAAACAUUUGAUAUCAAAGAUAAAAAUAUCAUUUAGAUUUGAGAAUGUAACAAGCUUCCAUCAUUCCUAAUCCAUUUAAAAUUCUCAUGAAAGAUUUUUUGUCAAGAGGUUUUGUAAAAAUAUCUACAAGUAUCGAUGGUAUUAACAAAAUGAACUUCGAUAUUGCUAUCUUCGACAUGAUCUUUAUUGAAAUGAUAUCGAAGAGAAAGAUGUUUAGUUUUGGAAUGUUGAACAAGAUUAUGAAAAAUGAAAAUUGCACUCUGAGAGUAAUAAAACAAAGAAAUUUUCUUCAUGUUGAUCACAUAGUUAUGUAGUUAAUUUUGAAUCCAAAUUACUUACGAAGUACAUACAACAACAGCAAUAUACUCAGCCUCUGUUGUAGAUAUUGAUACACCUGUUUUGUUUCUUCGACCGCUAACUCACAAACUUUCCAUCAAGAAAUUGACAAACUCCAGUUGUACUUUUUCUAUCAAGUUGACAACCUUCAAAAUCUGCAUCUGAAUAGACUUGAAUGAAAAAUCCAGUAUUUGCAGGAUACAAAAUUCCAAGCAUAGGAGUGGGAUGUAAAUAUCGAAAGGUAUUUUUAAAAGCGUUGAGAUGUGGUUCCUUUGGGUUUGAUUGAUAUCUAGCACAAUUAAACACACAAAACCUGAUAUCAGGUCAACUUGUAGUUUGAUAUAAUAAAGAAUCUAUCAUGUUUCAAUGUCUUCAGAUCAGUAGUAGGUUUAUCCAAAGAUAGAUUCAAUCUCGUGCCGAAACCAUGGGUACUCUUGCAUCUGAACAAUUCGUCAUCCCAAAUCUUUUAAGUAAAUUCUUCAUGCAAUUAUCUUGAUUGUUAAAGAUAACUUCUUUACUUUGGUGAACGUUCAAACCCAAAAAGUAAUUAAUCUUUCCUAUCAUGCUCAUCUCAAAAUGACUUCGCAUAAAAUCCUCAAAUUCCUUUUACAAAUCAGGGUCGGUAAAACUAAAAUUAUAUCAUCUACAUAAAUUUAAACAAGCAUAAGAUGAUCCCCAACAAUCUUUUGAAAUAAUGUGGGAUCAAUUGAUCCUUGCCCAAAUUUAUAGAUUUUCAAAAAAUUGGUUAACAUUGCAUACCAAGCCUUGGGUGUUUUUUUAAACCAUAAACAUCCUUAUCGAGUAUAUAACAAUAAUUAGGAAACUCAUGAUUCACAAAGCCAGUUGGUUGUUCAACAUAUACAAUUUCUUCAAGCACAUCAUUGAGAAAUGCAUACUUGACAUCCAUUUGGUACACAUCAAAGUUCUUGUGAGCCGCAUAAGCAAGAAAAAUGCGAACUACUUCAAGUCUUGCGACAUAAGAGAAGGUUUCAUCAUAAUCAAUACUUUCUUGUUGACUAUAACAUUUUAACACUAAUCUUGCCUUAUUGCAAACAACAUUUCCUUCUAUAUGAAAUUUAUUUUUAGAAACCAUAUAAGAUCAACCACGAAAUCAUCUUCCGGUUUAGGAAUCAACCUCCAGACUUUAUUUCUACUGAACUCAUCUAAUUCAGAUUACAUUGCAACAUCCCAAUUAGGAUGUUCUAAAUCAUGCUUAAGUGUCGUAGGUUCAAUUUUAGAAAUAAACACAUUAAGUAUACAAAAUUCUUGAUGAACAUUAAGAAUUUCAUUUUUUUCUCAUAUUUAAGCUUUUUUUAAAACACCGAUAUUAAGAUCUCUGAUAAGUUAUUCCUUUGGAUGAUUUCAAGUCCACUUCUCCAUUGGUGUAAAUGAUGGAUCAAAAUCCAAGUCUGGAUCUUUCAAAAUUUCUUCAACAUCUAAAAAUUCUUCAGCCAUAGAAAGUGUGUCAUUAGAAUCAUCAUCGAUAUAAGCAAUACCAUGAGCAUCUUGUUCAUUUUCAACAUACAUUUGAUUUCGACUAAGCACCCCCUGAACACAUAAAUCUACUAAAUGUUGUUCCCCCCCCCCCUCAACAAUAGCAUUCGGUAUCAAUUUAUGCCCUCAACUUGAUGUUGUGUUUGUAGUUGCUCCCCCUUAACUAAAACUGGUAUCGAAGUUCGAUCUUCUACGAUAUGUGCAUUUGGUGUCGAAGUUACACACUCAUCUAAUUUCCCAUUUAUUAUCGUGGAAUCAUCAGAAUGUUUUGAUGCCUUAGGAACUUGAUUAUCUUUGAUAUUCACUUCAACAUUGAUUUCUUUGUUAGGAAUACCAAAGAUUAGAUCAAAGUCAAUAUAAAAAAUAAGCAUUUGUUCAGAAUCCUCAUUAGAAUUAGAAAGAAGUGGUUUUUAGGAAACUCAUGUUCGACUCUAUUAACAUAAUAAUCAUCGAAGGUAAAAUUGAAUGUCUUUUCGAUCUUCCUUGUUCGUUUAUUCAAUACUCUAUAUGUAACAGAAUUAUGUGAAUAUCCAAUAAAUAUUCCUUCAUCAUCUUUGGCUUGAAAUUUUGAAAUAUGAUCUUUUAAAUGCAUAAGAAAACACCUACAACCAAAAAUAUGGAAAAUUUUAACAUUUGGUUUUCUUUUGUUAAAGAUUUCAUAAGGAGUAAUAUCAAAUCUUCGAUGAAUGAAAGAAGAUUUUGAGUGAAACAAGUCGUAGAAAUAGCCUCGGCCCAAAAAUAUUGAGGUAGAUUUGCAUAUGUAAGCAUUGUUCUGGUUGAUUAACAUAAAGAAUGAUUUCUCCUUUUUACUACUCCAUUUUCUUGAGGUGUGUAAGUAGCAAAAAAAUUAUGAGAAAUUCCAAGAUUCAUGAAGAAUGAAUCAAGAGCUUGAUUUUUGAAUUCUUUUCCAUUGUCACUUUUGAUUCGUCAAACCUUAUUCUAUAAACUCAUUUCAAUGCUUUUGAUAAAAUCAAUCAUCACUAAAGUAGUCUCAGAUUUUUGUCGAAGAAAAUGAACCCAAGUAAAGUGUGAAUAAUCAUCUACUAUGACCAAUAUGUACUUCUUCCCAUAGAUUGAUUCAACUGUUGAAGGACCACAUAAGUCAAUAUGUAGAAGUUCCAAGGGUUCAACAAUCUUCGAGUUGAUGAUGAUUGGAUGUCCUUGUCGAUGUUGUUUUCCUUGUUCACAAGAUGCACAUAAAGAAUCAUUGUUAAAUUUAAGAGCAUGAAAACCUCAAAUUAAAUCAUUUAAAACAAGUUUAUUUAGAUUUUUAAAAUUAAGAUGAGAAAGUCUUCGAUGCUAGAGCCAGCUUAGAUCAGAAGAGGCCUUCGAUAGUAAGCAAACUCAUGGUAAACCAACUAUUAGUUUAAUGUCCAGAGUGAAAAUAUCCCCCUUCCUCUUUAAUUUUAGCAAAACAUCCUUCGAUGCUUUAUUUGAAAUGACACAUCCUUCUUCAUCAAACAAAACUUGAUUCCCGUUCCAAUAACUAAUUGAGAUACACUUUUAAGCUUGUGCUUUAAUCCUUCGACAUAACCAACUCGAUUGACUGUAAAUUUCCUAUUAGUGACCUUCCCAUAUCCUUUGACGUUUCACUUGUGAUUAUUUCUAAACUUUACUACUCUAGCGUUCUUAACUUUCCUAAAAUCUCUUAGGUUCUCCACCCUUCCAGUCAUUUGAUGUGAGCAUCCACUGUCGAUAUACAAAAUCUCAUCAUAUUACUUGUCACAUAGUACCUGCACUCAAUUAGAGAGAUUUAGGUACCUAAGGUUUUUUGGGUCCUUGGAUAUUAGCUUGGAUUGUAGUGUGAAGUGUAGAGUUACAAAUCCAAUUUCGUUCUUUGAAUUUAAUUCUAUCAAUCAAAUCGACUUCAUUAGCUUCAGGAAAAGAAUUAUAUUCAUCCGUUAUUGAAGCAUUAACUUUGAAAUCUUCUUUUUCAAAUUUGCAUUUUGAAAAUUUAGUUUUUGAUUUUGGUUGAACUUUCUUCCACUUUAAAGGCUUCGACAAUGACUCUUGUAACGAAAUACUUCCAUUCAUUGAUUCAUACAAGUAUUUCUCAUAAGCCUCUUUAACUUGAAUUUGUGAAAACUCCUUUUAUUGGUACUUCAUUCCUUUAUUUUCAAACCAAUGAUUGAAAUUGUUCAUUUCAGUUUUGCUUUUAGAAAAUGAAACCUUUGAUUUUUUUUUUGUUGAAUUUGGGUUUGGAAAACAUAGAUUAUCAGGUUUAAAUGACACAUUUUUCUUUGUCAUAUUAACUAUUGGUUUUGUUUGACUCAAUUUUGAAAAAGAUUAACAUGAUUCCUGUUGAAAACGAGUUUGAUAUCAAUUUUGAUAUCCAAAUCAUGAUUCUUAUAGAAAAAUAAGAAAAAUUUUGUGAUUUUGUUUAGAAAAUCUUUGAACACAUUUUUUAACAUGAUUUUGAAACCUUUGAUUAUGUCCAAACUUCGACACCUGUCGACUCCCAAUUUGAUUUUUGGUUUGAACAUGCAUAGGUAGAGUUUUCUGAAAAACUUUUGGUGAUUUAUUUGAAAAAUGAUUUUGUGACUAAUUUUGAAAAUUCUUUUAUGGGUUUUGUGGUGACUUUUGUUGAGAAAAUUUUUGUUUUUGAAGAUUUCGUCUUUUCUUCCAAUCAAGUUUAUUUGAGCAUGUCGAUUUGAUUGAGACCCUUUCAAAGAUGAUUUUUCAACAUCUUGUUUGGAAUCUUGGAUCUUCACAGCUUGGCCUUUCAACUCAUCUGGAAAAGAUUUUGACUUAUCUUUGACAGAAGAUUUAGUUCCUUUCACAGCCCAAACUCCAUUUUUGUCAUUUUGUUAUCUAUGAAAAAUAAUUUUUAACUCUUUUGUCUUUUGAAAAGUUUUUGACUUUUGAUUCAAAUCAUUUUCCAUAGCAUUCCGAUUAGAGUAAGAGCCAACAUUAGUCACUUUUAAAUCACCUCUUUUCAACAAACCAUUCAAUUUUGGAUCAACAUUAUUCCCAUUUCUUUUUGUAAUAAAAACCUGAUUUGGAAAAUCUUGAAAUUGUGGAUAAAGCACUCUAUUUUGUUCAAGAUAAUGUUUUUUCUUUUCUUUUAAAACCUUUAUAUACUAUUUUAUAUACUCAAAAAUUUCGGCUUCAACAACUUGUGGAAUUUCCUUUUCAUGAGAAUCAUCAUUGUUGUUACUUUCAUUAUUGGUUAUAUCUGCGAUAAUGACUCACUUUUGAGUUUCAUUGUUUUUAGGUGUCGAAGAUGAAUCAUUAUUAGCUUCGAUGUUGAAUCAACAUUUUUUUCACUUUUAGCUAAUGAAGUAAUUUUAAUGAUAGACAAAUUUGGACAAUCAACACAUUCUUCUUUUUCAAUUUCGCUGAUAUUAUCAAUAAUCAUUUUCGAUAUCAACAAAAUUUUGCUGAGAACAUUGUGUCGAAGAUUUAGUUUUGUUCAAAAUUUUCAUUUGUUCAUUUUUGGUUAAUGUAUUAUUCACAAUAUUCACUAAAUCAUAGCAUCCAAACAUUCAUCAAUAUUAACUAUACCAUAAGCAUAUGAAUCAUUUGGUACCGGAUCAAACUUAGAAACUUUUCUUUCACAAACAUAAGUAAUUUCAUAUAUAUAAGUUCUCUUUUGAAAUUUAUGAAAGGAAGAAGUUUUCUAUGUUGAUCUUUGCAUAUAUCAAUGAUUGAGUAUAGUGAGCUUUCCAUACAAUAUUUAGCGGUGUUACAAUAAAUGUUUUUUUGUUUAACUAACAAAAUGUUAUCCGUGCAAAUUGAAUCUCUAUCAACCAUAUCAUUUGUUAAUUUCAACUUUAAACUCUCUACCCUAGAGUUUUUUUUUCCAUUUUAUUCUUUGCAUCAUAUAGCAAAACUUUCGUUUUCUCCAAUUCACUACUCAUGGAAAUCAACAUGUCAUUCAAAUAAGAACAAGCAUCAUUUAUGAUUACAAAACAAAUUCACAUAACUAUCAGACGUUUUUUCAAAUUCUUGAUAUAAUCAUUUAUGAUUAUAACUAAGUUACGUGAAUAUUAAAAAUAUUACAUCAAACAUUAUUUCAAAUUCAUAAUUUAAUCAAUUCAUGAUUAUAACUAAAAUAUGAAAAUUAAUUCCAAAAACACAAAAUUCAAGUUGCAAACCUAAUUAUUAAAUGGUAUAAUACAAUUACUUAUGUGUUUACUACUUAGAUAACCAGACUAUGCAAUAGAUGUACAACAUUAAAUUGACACUUAAGUAACCAUAGCAAAGAAAUACAAAAUAAACUACAAGAUAAUCUCAUAAAAUUCAACAAAUUAUGCACAGUUUACUCAAAGUAAAUAAACAUAUAAUAAAAAAGGCAGUGAGGAAUCCAAAACUCAAACUUAUAUGUAUCAACUUAACUAGGGUAACAAAUACAUUAUACAUGGGUCUAAAAUUUUGGUUAUUACCUUCUCCGAUCGGAUUGUUUGCCAUUACAACUACAAUCACUAUUUCAUAAUACAAAAUAAAUUUUUGACGACAUUUUUAAUAAUAAUUACAAACUUAGUUAUCAAAACUGUAGAUUAAUUUGUUAUAUAACACUAACAAUUAUCAACAAACAAUCAAAAUCAGAUUAUUCUAAAUUUCUAAUACAUAACUCAAUUAGUAAUUACCAUUUAAACUAAUUAAAAGACAAUGUCAACAUAUAAAUUAGGUAAUCAAAUAUCUAUAACUUAAUGAUUAAUAAUAAUCCUUUUGUCAAAUACAUAAAAGAUUAGGUCCUAGACCACUACAUUUCAGUUUGCAGUGUGGCAUUUUGGUUUUUUCAUCGACAUUUAUUUUCUACUAUGCACUUGUUUUGAGUUCCAUUACAUUUUAAUAACCAUUUUUUUUUAAUUUUCUUAGGGACUUACAAUUUGAGAGAUAGAGAAGUUAACUUGAGGUCUUAAAGUUUCAGAAUACGAGUGAGAGAGAAUUUCAACUUGAAUUCCAUUACAUUUUACAUCUAUGUGUUUGUAUUUUAAUCUGCUAUACAUUUAGAUUACUCCUGUUAAAAACUAAUAUAUUUUAACUUUCUAUCUUUAUAUCCAUGUCUUUUAUGAAUGCAUGUGAAUGCUUUUUUAUAAAAUCACAAGUACUUAUGAAUGAUUACCCUAUUAAGUCAUUUUUCCCGUUUAACCUGAAGUAAUAUAUUAUCCUGUUAAGUCAUUUUUCCCAGCUAGCCUGGAGUAAUCGCUCAUAAGGACUGAAUGUGUACAAUUUAACAAGUUAAAAUGGUAAAUGUAGACGAAAAAAAACUCAUUGACCAAAUGUAUACAAAUCGAAAAAUAUAUUACCCUUUUAAGUCAUUAUCCAUGUCGGAAAAAAACUUAAUUUUUACUUGUUACUUGUUAAUUCGGACCCUAGCAUGACAUCAACAGGUAAAUUGAGUAUUUUUGUUUCACAAAAUACCAUACAUUUUUCUUUUUUCUAGUUUAGACCUAAAAUAUAUAUUUUUUUCAAAAUAAACUCAACUUUGAAUUUGGUUAUAUGUCGCACCCCGUUGUUAUUCUUUGUUCCGUUUCCAUACGACUCGCAAGGCUCAUUCAACUUUUCGGUGGAGUUUAAGUCAGGAAGCAUCGAUGGCAGCCAUGGAUGAGUAAUUAGGAGUGUUAUUCAGUCGGUUUAUCGGUUUACAAUUCAAUCAAUUUUUUAAUAUCUUUAGACUAACUAUAACCAAACCAAAUUCAAGUUCAUCUAUUUUGGUUUAUUCGGUUACGGUAUAUACACUUUGGUUUACCAGUUAAACCGAAUAAAAUUUCACAUGAAAAAUUAAAUAUUAAACUAAAUUUUUUAAACUCAGACAUAAAUAAUAUAUGUCAUAUUGAUAUGUCACUUAUUAAAUUAAAUUAAUUAUGAACCUUCGUCAUGAAAUUUAUUAUUUCUCUUUUCUAUAACGUAUUAUGUCCAUUAUAUCUUGGAUUGUUACUUUAUUUUAACUGAUUUUCAUUAGGUUACUUUUUUACCCUUAUCCAAGCUAGCAAUUUAAGCUACAUAUAUAAGAUACACUGUGAUACUUAUUGUGAAUACAUAACAUAUAAUAACAUACAAAUUGCACGCUCAACUUUUCUUAAUUAUUAUAUUUUAUGUUAUAUAUACCGACUAUUAAACAACAACGAUCAUUCUUAUGUUUAAUUUAAAUCAAACGGAAAUAAAAUAUAUAUAAAAUAUAUAAAUAUAUAUAUUAGAUAAAUAGCUUAUUCUGUUUAAGACUUUUACAUGGGUAUUAUUGUAUUACAAGUCUUUUACAAAAGAACAAAAAGGUUAAAUCAUUUCCUUUUUUAAUAAAGACUACACCACUAAUAAAAGAAACAUCGCAUAUGGGUUGAGAUAUGCUUUUUCCAGGUUGACUAAUACAUAUAAUGGAAUUUUACUAUAUCUAGUCAUGACCUUUUAAACAAAAUAUUAUGUAUAUUACUGUACAAAAUCUUUUCAUAAACCCCACCACGUAUCUAUCUCAAAACAAUUUACAGACGCAUACACUUAACAUUAUUGCAAACACUUGAUAGUGGACAAACUAUAUAAUAUGCCUUUAAGAAUAUUGCCCAUUAAUAACACACUUAUCAUUACCCCACACUAGUACGUCCGAUGAUACUCUUAGAUCUAGAGAUCCCCAUGUUAUGGACAUAGUGGGUUCCAUAUAUGUAUUUUAACAAGACCAUACCAUAGGUAUAACUGAGCUGGAGUAACAAGACAAUAAUAGUACAAGUAAAAAAAUAAUAAUGGCAACAAUCCAAAGAACUUUCAUCAUAUUUGACAUGACUUUAAUUUGAAACAUUUGUGUUUGGAAUAUCUACUAUAUAUAGAGUUUUGGCAACCCACAAAAAGAGAACCAUAUAAACUAUAAAGUAAAGUAGAACAGGACAUUGUAUGACAAGAUUGCACAAUAUGUCCAACACCAUUACUUAGGACUAUUUUGUCGCCACAUCAUAACUACCCUCUUGUCAGUUAGCAAAAUGACAUCAUUACAAUUAUCGCAAGGCUGUUAUUUUCGUAGUAGCAAGCAAUUUAAUAGGACCACGACACAAAAAUGUAACAUCUCAAACACUAACUUACAACGUUAUAAUAAUACUUGAUGUGUGUGUGUGAGAGAGAGCUCUCUCGUUUUGCUCCUGUUAAAAUAGGUUGUUUCUUAUGCAUUUUAUUUACUCCAUGACCUAAGGCUUACCACUCUACACAAAUCUUAUCUCCCAAAAAGAAGCCUAAGUUCGAAUAUGAAUCCCAUAGAUUAAGAAAAGAACUGGCUGACUCUUAACGUGGGACAAAAGCUUCCAGAUUCUUGUUCAAGAUCAAAACCAAUUACAGUGAGGAUAUGCCAUUUCUGCAAGAGGAAGUUCUACAGCCCACAAGCACUUGGGGGUCAUCAAAAUGCUCACAAAAGGGAGAGAGAUGCAGCAAGAACAUACCACUCGCUUCACAUGGACAAUAAGUUCCCAGUUCAUCGAACACUUGGUGUGCAUACCCACUCGCUUCCAAAUACACCAACCACAAAUGAAGGGCGAGUAACAAUGGGUGAGUAUGGAGCUACAUGGGUGAAUGGUGAAAAGGGUUUAAUGUGGCCUAGAAGUUUUUACUUGGAUUCACAAAUGGUGGCUUCUCAACCGCCGGAUCAACUCUCACUUGAUUUAACCCUCAAGUUGUGAAUUUGGUAAUCUACUUUAUGUAUAAACUUUGUUGAUUAGGUUUAUUUAAAUUGUGUAUUUGCUUCUUCUGAUGAUUUUGUUGCGAGUGUAUGGGUUCUUGAAGUUUGUAUAUAGGUAAUGAUGAAUUUAAAUGAAAAAUGUAGUGGAUAUUUCAUAAUAUACAUCCACAAAUUUAUGAUAAUCACUUAGUUGUCCAGAAAGCAUAUAUAUAUAUAUAUAUAUAUAUAUAUUGAAAGCCUGAUAAAGGCUGAAUGUCAAAAAGAUAAUGGAUGCCUUUNAAUAGACAAUUAACCGACACAUUAAUUAAACCAAACUACUUAGACGGAAAAAUCACAAAGAAAGUCGGGUAUUCUAGCGAUGAAUUUAUAUGCAAACAAGUAUUUAUGUAUAAUACAUUUUUAUAUUUGUUCAGAUGGAUCGUUGAGUUAUAAAGAAGCAAUAACAUGAUGUAACGUAAUUAGCAUACUUUUAAAAUACUAAUCCUGAUGUUUUCAAAAUUCAAACAUUAAUUUUUAUACGUAUUUCAUUUAAUUAAAAAUCACAAUGCUACAAAAUUAAUAUGAGAGGUAGGGUUGAUAGGAGAGAAGGGUGGUAUUUGGAAAUGAAUGUAGGGAAUGGGUUUUUCAUAACUAAUAAAGGGUAUAUUUGGGAGAAUUUUAGAAAAGCUCCAUAAGCUCAUUGAAACGAUAGUUUAAGUAGCUUUUUAAAAAGACUUAUUAGCUACUUUUAAGCUUGUCAAAAAGGAAAACAUAAAUAAGCUAGUUGUGCCAAGUGCCAAACAUAGCCUAACUAUUAGAAAAGGAUCAAAGAGAGUACUCCUUUUACUCCCUUAGAUGGGUGUAUAGCAACUUAAAUAAUCAAUUAAUCAUGAUCAUAAAAUAUGAAAUCAAUCAUGACAUUAAAAAGAAUAUAUACUCAAUUGUUAAAUAAAAAAUCUUUGGACAUAAUGAAAAAGGGGAACCUAGUAUUGCCAGGUAGGCUAGUAAUGAAAAUAGGGUACAUUGGUAUGUUUAGUUCUUCUUCAAAAACAAUAACACAACUAAUCAAAGCACUAAUUGUAGUUAAAAGUUAUAAAUGAACACAAACUUAUAACUCCAAUGCAUUUCCAUGUGAAUUUAUCUCACAUGGUACUAGAGUUCUAGCUUUUCAUGUGGUCCUCGAAAUUUAUAUUUUGUCAUGCUUCUCUUGUACAUAAUGUUUUCGAUUAUUUUAUGUGAUUAUGGCAUUAUUCCAGUAUGUUAGUGACUAAAUAACUACAAAUUAAGAAGAAGAGUGUGUAAGUAUAACCUUCUGAAUUUCCAGUGUGCAGCUGCAGGGACUUCAACUGGGGGUAGGGAUUCCUUCUUCCAGCCAAGUAAAGCAUCAAAAGCAUUGAAGUGGAUUUUGGUGCCACUGCUCAUGUGCUUAAGAACCAAACAACUGUCCCCAAACAUCAUAUCUGGCAAGUGGUUUGUCUCAAGCUUUUCUUCCCACUUGCAAAAGGUUUUGGAAAACAGUAUCCAUAACUUAUCAGGAAUGAAAAUAUAGUUUCAUAAUAUAGUGUUCUUCAUAACUUGCAAGAGGCUACACACAAAUCAUUUUAUUGCAAAUAUACCAAUUCAGAAUUACAAUUCAUGCGUGAGCUUAAUAUCUAUAACUUGUGUCAGUUGCCCAACUUAAAUUUAAAUAGAUAUGUAGAUGCAAAUCUAGGUUUUCAUUUAUUUCCUUUUACAGUUUCUUUUGGGGGGAGAGGGGGCUGGUAUUGGGGAAUUGGGGAUUACAAUUUCUUCUGAGUCAAAUCUCAGGAGGUGAGAAUUGAGCGGUUGUUAGACUCAAUCUCCCAGCCAUGAAUGCGGAGUCCUCUACGUCCGUCCGGUAGAAGCUCAGCCCCGGCGGCUUUAACCUCUUUCUCGUCCGCUUCCCACUCCAUCUUUGUAUGUGAGUCGGAGUCGUAGGUGGUGUUUGCUGAAAAUUUGAGAUUUACUCAACAACCACGCCAACUGUAGCAUCUAGGUUUGAAUGAUACGUUCUUCCGAUUUUACUAUUUUAGUUGAUGUCAUGUACCGACUACGAGUGAUCAAAUUAAUUUUCAUAUGAUUCUCUUAUAUUACAGAAAAUUGCAAAAUUAUAUAGUUUCUAAUUUUCUAAAAA
rnacentral:lncRNA from 1 species